CACAAUGUGGUGGCUUCUCUCCCUUAGGUGGUUUGCCAACUGGGGUUGGUGGCUUGUGUUCCGGAAGUGGCUUCUCUUUGUGUUCAGGAGGUGGCUUCUCCACUGGAGGCUUGUGUUCAGGAGGUGGCUUCUCCACCGGAGGCUUGUGUUCAGGAGGUGGCUUCUCCACCGGAGGCUUGUGUUCAGGAGGUGGCUUCUCCACCGGAGGCUUAUGCUCUGGUGGUGGCUUCUCCACCGGAGGCUUAUGCUCUGGUGGUGGCUUCUCCACCGGAGGCUUAUGCAAUGGUGGUGGCUUCUCCACCGGAGGCUUGUGUUCAGGAGGUGGCUUCUCUACCGGAGGCUUAUGCUCUGGUGGUGGCUUCUCCACCGGAGGCUUAUGCUCUGGUGGUGGCUUCUCCACCGGAGGCUUGUGUUCAGGAGGUGGCUUCUCCACCGGAGGCUUGUGUUCAGGAGGUGGCUUCUCCACCGGAGGCUUGUGCUCUGGUGGUGGCUUCUCCACCGGAGGCUUAUGCUCUGGUGGUGGCUUCUCCACCGGAGGCUUGUGUUCAGGAGGUGGCUUCUCCACCGGAGGCUUAUGCUCUGGUGGUGGCUUCUCCACCGGAGGCUUGUGUUCAGGAGGUGGCUUCUCCACCGGAGGCUUAUGCUCUGGUGGUGGCUUCUCCACAGGAGGCUUGUGUUCAGGAGGUGGCUUCUCCACCGGAGGCUUAUGCUCUGGUGGUGGCUUCUCGAAUGGGGGAUGCGUAGGGUAAUCAGCUAGUGAGGGGGCGGUGAGAACCACCAGGCCAAGCAACACUACUAGCAAGUAUGUAGGAGACAUCUUUGGGUUUGGGCUCAGAUGGUGCAAAACUAGGAGAAUUGGCUAGCCUUUUAUAGCGGAUCGUACCCAAUAAUGAAAUGACACGUGUCAUUAUGACCCAUGUGUCAUGUGGUCGAUUUGGGUCCUACAGUGUUGAAAACUUCGACAUCCACUUUUUUGGCCUUUUGCUUUCUCUACAGUCGCCUUGCUUUUUCCCUCUUUUCUUUUGUUUUCCUCCUGCCCCAUUCUAUCAACUAAUCACAAUUAUGUAGUUGUUUAAUUCUUAAAUGAGAUAUUAUCCGUCAAUCAUAUUAUCUUUUAUCAAGAGAGAACGGAGUGAAAAGUGGCAAUCCAAAGAAAGAAGAUCCAUAAUGCAGCUGUAAUUUUAUCGUUUACUUUUAUCUCUAGGACCACUGCAUUUUUGUUGAGAGGUGCAAUAAUACACGUCUUUAUCUGCCAUUCAAUGUUUACAGUAAAGAGAGGGCACAAAACUCUUCACUGCUCUGCAUGUGCCCCAAAAAUGCAAUUGGACAAAUUAUGAUUUGCAUGCUAAAAAGAGGCAAAUGAGGUUAAUUAGCACCAAAAUUAUUUUGUUUUCUGGACACCCCGGGGCCCUUUGGUUGGUUUGGGGGUCAGAAAAUGAACAUCAUAGGGGGUUUUUCCCUAAUGUGCAUUUGCAUUUGUAUCUGAUGGCUUUAACUCGCCUUGUUACUACAAAGAAAUUGUCACAGAUAGGAACUUAUUCCAGGCUGAGUAUCUCCGCAUGGACCCUAUAAAAGAAGACAAGUCAUAAUGAACAUCUAACCUUUGUUCAAUUUGAUUCAAUGCCCCUAUUGUGUCCAUCUCACAAAUCUGAAUUAUUAUAUCCAUUGAAUACAUAAAUUAAUGAAGAAAAUAUGAAACCCAAGAUACAUCUCUGCACAACCUCAACCCUGGUUGCUAUGUUUCACUUCUAUUCACAUGAGGAUAUUGAUUACGGAAUAAGGAAACCUAGCAAGGGUUUACUCGGCUCUGGUUUGAUGCUAAUUGCCAAACUUGCAACAAGCCCUGAGUUUGACACCUAAUCGAUGGGCGAAUUAAAAGUCUCCUCCAAACAUAUAUUCCACAGCUUGAAGCUCACAGAAGAUGCUAUACAGGCAGGGAAAAACCUUCAGAGUUAGCUACCAAAGAUAAUUAUCAAGGAGAUAUCACCAAGAGAAUUCCAUGGAGUCUGAAUCAAAGACAAAUUGCUCGCUCGUGGGGGUUCUUACUUAAUUUCUUUUGGGUAUAACUCACUGAGGGCACUGGCUUUGUUAUUUGCAUUUCGCAUUUAGAGUUCUGUUCUGGAAGGUUUGUUCUGGAAACAUAUAAAAGGAGCAUCAUUUUGUUCUAGGGUAACCCAUAGUUGUGAGUGGGUCCAUUUGCAUGCUACUUAGUUGAAAAGUUGGACAAUUUGCUCCGACGCCUACCUCCUGGAUUCCAUGCUCGGAUAAAGCAAGAAUAAUAAAAUAUUUAUAAUUUACAAAUGGGGGAAAGAAAAAAAUGUCAACAACAAACUAGGAAAAAAGAGUAGUAAAAUUUAUGCCACAUGCUAUUGAUAGAAGGGGCAUGUAUUAGAUCCAUCACCAUUUGGUAAGAUUUUAGUAUUAUAUUUUUCAAGGUUCAUUAUUUGAGGGUGUGUUCUUCAUCUCUGUUGCAUUGCUUCUUACUAGGCCCACUGAGGUGGGUUCUUCACCUUUUGUAUAUUCUCUGCACUAGAUCAAUGAGAAAGGGGGAAUUUUGGUGAAUUUGCAGCCGUUGGAUGAUUGAUUCUAGGCUCAGUCCACCAAUGAUGCUCUCUUCACUCUUUCUCAUCUAGUGUCAUUCACAACUAUGUUUUGAUUCAUAUUUGUACUAUCAAAGAUAUCUCAUUAUUCUAGCUCAUUAGGUAGAGUUCCUAAUCUUCCUCCUUUUUGGUCUAUGGACAGUAUUGGCUUCAUAUUAAGAUCAUGUUUCAAUAAUUGCACAUUAAUGAAUGGAUCAUGACCCACAUAAACAGAGUCAGGGUUGAGUCAGUGAACCCUAAAAUUUCACAAUUCUAAAUUUGGGUUCUUUAACAAUGCAGGGUCAAGGACGCGUGGUGAUGAAGGAAAGCUGGUAAGCUCAGUGUUACUUCAAUUCCUGCCAUGUAGGAUGGUGAGGAGAUAUUCACUAUGCAAUUAAUAAUAGACAAUAUUCACUAUGCAAUAAUAAAGCAUAAAUUAAGUUGAAUGAAAAGCAUUUUCUUUGCAAGGAGUUGAUUUUGGUUUCAUAGUUUGUUCAACUGCUAUUUUGGAUAGGAAAGUGUGAGGAGAAGAAAAUAAAAAAUAAAAAUAAAACAAAAAAUAAAAAAUAGAUUUUAUAAAUUCAUUUAAUUUAUUUUUUUUUUAUAAAAAUUAACUAAUUUAAAAUAUAUGUAAAUUUCUAAUUAAUUUAAUUACAUUUUUUUUUUCAGUUUUUCAUAAUAAACCAAAUAUUAGAAAAUUAUUUUUAUUAAGACACCCAAGAUGAGGUAAUAUGCAAUGAAAACAUGAAUUAUAUUAAAAUUCAAAACAAAUUAAGAGAAAUCGGAAAAUAUACAUAGAUAUCUAAACAAAGAAAUUUAAAGAGAAGGAACCACAAACUUUAUUUACAUAAUUUGAAAAUAAAAAACAUAAAACAUACUUAUAGUAAGGAGAAAUUGAAUAUCUUACAAUGGAAGAAGGGAGAAAAGCUUUGAAGAAAGCUUUUGCUUGGAAGCUUACAUGGUGAGAGGUAGAGAAAGGAGAGAGAGAGAAGAAAAUGAAAAAUGAGAAGUGGAGAAAAUUGGAAGUUUUGUGUGCUUACAACUGAGGAUAGAGCCUCCUUAAAUAGCAAAAAAUGGAAUAUUAAAUAGUACCAAUCAGGAGACAAAAUAUUGUUUGCUUUUGAAACCCGUGCAUGAAUAGUAAUCCCGUGAGUGAAUAGUGAAUAAUAAAAGUGAAUAGUAAAAGUCACUUUCUACUAUAGCACUUUAGACUUUUUCAUCGAGAAUCUUACUUUCGGCUGAGUGAUGAUAGCUGAUAGGUUGCUUUGGAUUGUGGAGUCAUAUGUUUGAUGUUUUCGGUGCUGAAACCGCUUAGUUGGAGAAUAAUCUCGUCAGUAGAGCAUCAUGAGAAGCUUGAAUGGAGAGAGCUUAAUGAUGCCAUAUGAUUGGAAGGAAUCCUAUUUUAAUUUCCUUAUUGGAGGGAGAAUACCCUCACAAUCAUCUUCAUUAUCUUGAAGGUAGUUUGAUAUAGAGUCAUCUGACUCAGCAUAAGAGUCCUCUUGGGAGAAGCUUGAACUGCUUUUGUCAAGGAUUUUCUGAAAUUCUUGAGGGGUUUUUGCUAUUGCUAACAUGGUUUGGAGUUGCUGUUUCUUAAGAAGAAACUGUGCAAUAUCAUAAGAUGAUGAAGCUUGUGUAGGAUGCUUUAGGAAAUAUUGCUUUAUUGCUUGUAGUGAGGUAUCAUUUUUCAAGGCAUCCCACCACUUAGACUUGAAAGUCCUUCCAAGGGUUGGAAAGGCUGCUGAUUCAUCUGCUAUAAUGAUAUAAUCCCACUGGACUAUCCAGGCAAGGCCAAAUUCACUAAAAAAGAAUAAUAAUUGGGGAAAACUGAAAGUUCUCUAGGGAUAACAAAAGAACUUUGGAAUAGCUCAAAGCCAUCCAAAAUGGGUUUUGGGAGAAUUUUAAUAGUUGGACCAAAAUAUGUCCACCAAUUGUGGAACCAAAAUGGAAAAGAGGGGAGUUGAUGCUUAGAUGGGAAAUAGAACAUCCCUGAAUGAUGGAAGUCCUUGUUCUGGAUCAGAAAAGCAUUGAACCAUACUCUUUGGUAGUCUCAAUAAUUGAAAAUUUUAGGUUUUGAAGGCUUAGAAAAUUCUCUUGAAAAAUUAGGAUUCCCACCCCACUGCUUAACUGUAAGGAUUUUAUAAAUAUGGUAAGUGGAGAAUGCCAAAUCCAAAUUGCUGAAUUUAUCAGCAUUGUGCUUGAUUUUAACAGAGCCGGUUUCCAUAAGGAUUGCUUCAUAAAAUUCUCUUGUUUUUAAAAGAUCACCAAAGGGAUAAUGAAAAUUUUCAUGAAAAGCUUUUGCUGCAAUAUCUCUAGGGUUUUUAGAGAAAAACUCUUUUUCAAUAACCAAAAGAGGUUGAUUUAAAUCUUUUUGCCAAUAUCUUGCUUUUGCUGAAAGAGGUGUGGGGUUGGCUACCACCACAAUUUGCUUAUUUGAAAAAGAAGAGCUUGAUGCUAAUUCAUUUUGAGAGGGAUUAGCUUUAGUAACCUGCUUAAAGGUCUGAGACACAGUAAUAGUUGGAUACUGAGUAGCCUUGACUGGUUUAGAAGGAUUCGAAGGAUCAUAGUACAAGGACAAAAUCUUAUUAGGCAUAUGGUCAGAAGAAUGAAGCCUUGCUUCUUCUUCUAGCUCAACUUGUUGGCUCCAAAGUAUUUUAUGGGGAGAAGGUUCUUUGCUGGUUUUAGAAGACUAGGAUUCUGGAAGUUUAGGAGCUUGGGUAUUCUUUUUAGGGGCCAUGGUUUCGUGAAUCCUGUAAAAUUCACAAGUUAAGAAAUCAGGGCUCGAAGAAUGUUCUCCUUUAAUAUACUCAAUUUGUAAAUUAAAAUUGCUUAAAAUAGCUUGAUAUAUAGCAAAAAUAUGCUUAGAAGUUAUAUUCUUAACAUCCUUUUGUAAAACUAAUUUUGCAAAUUUACAAUCAACUCUUAAUAAAAACUUUUGAUUCAAAAGAUCAUCUUGAAAUUUUGAAAUGCAUAAAACAACGCUUAAAGUCUCUUUUUUAAUGAUGUUAUGAAUGAGUUGGGUAGUAUUCCAGGUUCUUGAAGUAUACCUAACUAACAUCUCAAGGUUACCAACACUUUGCUUAAGAAUCCCACCAUAACCUAUGUCUGAGGUAUCGAUCCCAACAAACUCAAAGGUUUCUGGAUUGAUAGAGCCUAAACAUGGUAGGGUCUUGACUUUGGACUUAACAUCAAUAAUGAAAACAAUGGUGAAAACAGAAAACUGGUUAAAGUUUUCAUCCAUUAUAUUCUGGAAUUCUGAGGUGCAUUCUUAAGAUCAAAGGGCAUUAUGAACCAUUCAUAAUGUCCAAGAGAUACCACAAAGGUGGUCUUAUUUGGAAUAGGACACCUAAUCCAACUUAAUGUAUCAUUAAGAGGCAUGUAGUUGACGACUAGUCUAGGUGUUCCUUUUUCUGAUUCAACUUGUUCCUGAACAUAGAAGGUUGAACAACUCCAAAGGGACUUAGACUUCCUUAUCAACUUUUUAUCAAGAAGAUCCCAAAUCUCCUUAUCACAAUAGCUUAACAAACCCUUGUUCAUCUGGAUAGGUCUUGAUUUAGUGGGAAUAUUCUUGUCACUAAAGUCUAGUUCAUAAGGUAAUUCUACCUCAUGUUGUUUCCUAUGCCAAAAUGCAUUAGGAAUGUUAGAGCAAACUUCUUCAACAAUCAGAUUAAUUUCUUGCUCAUGACUUUCCUUAGCUUGAAUCACCUGAUCCCUUAAGGUGUUUAUAUUUUUCUUAUUAGGUGGUUGGCAAAUUCAAAAAUAAUUUCCUUAUCUAAGAGCUUUGUUCUUAUACUUUGGUCAUCUACCCACAUGGGAUAGAUGGAGCUUAAAAAGGGGAUUCCAAGGAGAGCUUUCUCCUUAAGAUCCUUAACUAGAAUGAAGGUUUGCUUGAUGCAAAUGCCUUGGUUAUUUAUGUGAGCAUCUGACAGCUUAUACUCAAUGUCAAGCCUUUUACCAUUAGCUCCAAAGAGAGAUUCUUUGGUUUUCUUACAAAACUUAAUAGGACCUAGACCUUCUUGUAGGCAAUUCAAAGCUGUUCCUGAAUCAAUCAAAGCAACAAUAUCAAUGACAAAUUUACUCUUAAUUACUAUAGUAAGGGAGACUUUCCACCUCUGGAAAAUAACCCUACUAACAGUAUUUAAGUAUCCAUCCGUCUUUUCAUCAUUAGCAUGUGAAGAUUCUAGAACCUCUUCAAGGUUUUCCUAGUUAUCAACAAGAUUUUCUAUAACAAUCCUAUUUAUUUGUUCUUGGAGAUCUGAAAAACCUAAGCUUGUGUAUUGUCUUAAAUCUUUAAUUUCCUUCUUAUACUGUCUUACUUCUUCUUGAAGAUCCUUAAUGGUUACGUCUUUGGUAGACUACUGGUUAAAUCUUCCUAAGAUUUCAUUUAAGUUAUAAGAAUUUACUGUCUUCUUAAUCUCUUGCUUAUCGACAAAUUUCUUAAAAACUUCAUAAAGAUCUUGUUUAGUUUUUUCAUCUUCAACUUUCCUUAAAACAUCUAGGACAAGUUCUUGAUCUUGGCUUAUGACAUUUAUAGUCUUAGGUUGGCAAUCACAAUUAUCCUUAAUGUAUUCUUCUUGGUCACUAGAAGUUUGGCUUGAGAUUUCCUCACCACUACUAUCUAGUUGGUUAAUACCAUUUUCAUUAUCUGAAUCAAUCCUUGAUUCAGACUCUGUGGAAUUUAACAUUACUUUACAAAGCAUAUCUUUUAAGUCUUCUGUGACAUUUAAGUUAUUAAUUUUCUGCUUAACCCUACAAUCUUUCUUAUAGUGGCCUAUCUUACCACACUUAAAACAAACUGGCUUAGAUUGUGAAGGAGCUUCUAGCUUUUUAUGGGCUUCUUUGUUCAUCAUUCUUUGGAUGUGCCUUUGUUUCUUAGUUUCAUUCAUCCUAUAGUUGCCAUGAGUUCCUCUCUUGUUGUGAUAGGACUUUUCCUUACUAGGCUUUGUACUUACUUGUUUCUUACGUUGCUUAGAGGGGGGCUUAGUUUCUUUUUGGUUGAAUCCAAACUAGCUACAAAAUGAACCAAACUCAUUCUUGUAGAUCCUUUGUUCAUUUUUCAUCUGUUGCUUAAGCUUAAAGUCAUUGCACAGUUUAAUUGCUUCUGAUGUGACAAUGCUUAUAAUUUCUCCAUAAGAAAGCUUAUCAUAAGGGAUUUGUCCAUUAAACUGUUCCCUUAUCUUAAUCCUAAUCCUCUCAGAGAAAAGUCUAGGUAGUCCUAAGAUGAAUUUUUCUUUCCAAAAAGACUGGUUAUAGUUUGAUCUUAGUAUGACUUUGGUUAGGAAAACUUCUCUAUACCAUCUAAAGUCAUGAAGCUUGGGACACUUAAGGUUGGUUAAGAGAUCUACAAUCUUAUCCUUAAUCUUUGCAGGAUCUCCAAUGAAGUGCUUUGAAAUUGAAUAGAUUAGAGUAGCCACUACAUCCUCUAUAUCUUGUCCAUCUUCAUCCUUAACCACUUCAUUUUCCUCAUUAAUCCUAUAGGCUUUUAGGAUACCAUUUCUAUCCUCAAAGGUGAGAUAAUUAUCCCACCAACCCUAAAGUUGACCUGUAAACCCAACAACAAUUGUUUGAGCUACAGCAUGGCCUGACAAUCUAUUGUUUAACUUAUAGGUUGUACUAACCAUGGUCAUUUCUUGAAGCUUAGUGAGUAUGUUGUACUCAAUCAUACCAUCUAUGUUCCAUUCAUAGAUAGUGUCACUAGUGUAGGAAGCUUGAGUAUGCUGGUUUCUUUCCUCAUACUACAUAUCAGGAAAAGUUGGUCUAGGGUAGUAAUUCCUAGUUCUUGGUUGUUGAUAAUCCUCAUAACUGUUUGGUUAGGAGGUUCCUUAAAAAUCUUAAUUAGUUCAUCAGCCUCUGCUUCAGAACUAAUUUCUCCUUUAACCAUAUUGAUUCUCUUGUGAGAUGGUUGAGGUGUCUCAGAGACAACAAGGCUAUCCUUAACCUUUUGGCUUAUCCUAUCAAUGAGGGCUUGAUCAAUAUGGAGAUUCUCUAGGAAUUUCUUAGAGAAUUCAAAAGGCUUAAAUAAAGACUUAUUAUCUUUCUUAACAAACGUAGUCUUAAUGUAGUCUUGUGUUUCAAUGAUAUCCUCAAACUUGUUGAGUUGAUCGCCUGUAGUCUUAAGAAACAUGUUAGUGUAGUUGUUUUGUUCCAUGAUUCUUCUAACGUCAACAACACUAUCAAUUCCUUUAUUCUUUGGCCUAGUCUUAAAAGGUGAAGCUUUGACUAUGGUUCAAUUAAUGUUCUUUUAUAUCUUAGCUUCUAGAGGGUGGAUGGAUUCUAUGAUAGUAUCGUCACUAGUUUUCCAUAUCUUAGUUUUUUUGGAUGUGUCAUUGACACGCUUACUAGGGUAAUCUAGAUAUUCCUCUUGUUUGAAGAGUUCAAACCAGAUCCAAUACUUAAUGUUCUUCUUUUCUUGUCUUAAGUAUGUGUAGAAUUCUUCUUGGUAGAGGGUUCUAAUGUCUUUAAGGACCUUGCUAAAGAACCAAACUCUCCUUUUCUUAUUGACUUCAGAAUAGAAGUCUUUCCUUAAGAGGUCCUUGUUGAUUCAAAGUCUUCGUUAAUUAGGCUUACAGUGUUAAUCAACUGAGAAUAAGUAGGAGACAUAUCAGGAGAUUCGUCCUGAUGUGAUUCUUGAGUAAACUCAUUUUCCUCCAUGUAAAAGGGUUUGGCCACGUUGGUGUGACUUCUAACACCUGUUAGCUUAAUAUUCUUAGGAUUUGCUGAACUAGAUCCUUCCUCUAUCCUAGUGGUUCUUAUUGGGAUAGAUGAACUUGAAGCUCUAGAGGGCUCAUAAUAUGAAAUUCUAAGGCUGCUAGAAUGAUGAAAAGAGUUGGAGAAAAUUAGAUCUCGUUCUCCAUCAGGAUAUUGAACAAUCUGUUCAAUUCUUUCAGAUCUUUGCUCUAUGGCUGGGACAACAUUAGCAAAAUGCCAAUUUUCUGGAAACUCAACCUCAUUCCACUUGAUUUUCAUGGGGACUAUGAAAUUAGACUUGUUUAUCAUAUCUAAGUGGAAGAUAGUGGUUUCACCCUUGGGACUGGUGCACAAUGCUCCAAAUCCAACGCUUAUGGUCAUGCUCUUAUAGGCAAAUCUGGUGAUGAUGGAAACAUGAUUGUUUCCUUGCUUGAACUUAAAGUCAUGGGUCUUAACAUGAAGGACAACUGAAUCUAAGAUGUUGACAUCUCUUAGUCUAACUGUGAAGUUAGGGAAACACUGGAAAUAAACAGGACCAUCAUUUAAUCCUGCUUGGGUAGCUCCAAUAAUAGAAUCUCGGUAAUCAAGAUGUCUAUUAUCUCUUAAACACAUGACAAUAAAGGUGUUUAGACCUAGUCUUGUCAAGGGCUUAGCUGCAACUUGAAUCAUGCCAAAGUGUAUGAAGUUGUAGUCUCGCUUAUGCUUAUCAAUGGACUUACUAUCCAAGAGUCUUAUGACUUGAUCGUCGUGUUCUAAACUUACUGACAUUUCAGGGGUUUUAAUGGUGUAAUCUGUAAAGAACUUAAAGGUUCCUUUCUUAUAAAUUUCUUGAUUAGGUACCUUGGGUAACUUCCAAUCAUCUAAAUCAUCUUGGAUCUUAGGAUAAUUGAUCUCUUCAUUGUUUACUCUUGAGAAUUUGUGGAUUUCCUAGACAUGGUUCUGAAAAUCAAACUCAUUUUAAGGUUUUAAUCUAGAGCCUAAUAGCAGAUUAACAGACCUAGUGAGUAAUCACCCCAACCCUUUUCCAACCUUAACAAACGCCUAUCUCCAGCUAACAAUGGGCUCAACUCGGCAAGGAUCGCACUCAGGCACACUACUAUCUUUCCUAGGAUAGAUCAAAACACCCAAAACAAACCCGACUUCCUUUUCCUAGGAUAUAUAUAGUAUUUUGGGUUUGAGUAGGAGUUCAUGUUUUGUAUGUAAUUGUAGUCUACGUUGGACUAGGUUGUUUGCUCCUAAUUGAAAUAGGAAUGGUUGGUGUCACAUCUCAUUCAUUUUCUCAUCUAUUUCCAUGUUUAGAUAACUCAAGUAAUCAUAGGAAUGAAAUUAAGAAUGAUUUGAGGGAAAUGAAAUCUCACUUGUAAGUGGGAUCUCAAUUCAUCAUUAAUAGAAGGUAUUUUGAUUACAUAGUGCAAGUUAUUUUUAAAAACACUUUUCAAAAAUUGAAAAACCAAAAACUCUCUUGGAUAAGUUGUUUUUAAAAAGAAUUUUUGUAUUUUUAUUUUGUAAAAAAAAAAAAUAGUAAUUCAAUUUAUAUAAUAUAAAUAGACUUUAAUUUUAUUAAAAAUAAAAAUAAUUUUUUAAUUACAAAUAAAUUAAAAAAUAAAUAUUUGUAAUAAAAUAUGAAUAGUAAUAUUAUAAUAAAAUCAUAAAUAAAUUAAAAAUAUUUUUAAAAACAAAUAAGUUUAAUUUUUUUGAGGUACAAAUGAGCCAAAUUUUUCAUUAGGUACACAACCAACAAUUUUUAUUGGAAACAUUCCUCAAAAAAGAAUUCGUUUCCCAUAUAGCAAAGAUAUUUAUUAUUUAGUAUCUAACCAUCCGUAGUAAUCAUAUCAAUUCUACUAAGUUAUUUAAUAAUUCAUUUAUAUAUAGUACUCAAUUAUGAAUUUUUUUAUUUGAUGUAUAAUUAAUUAAUCAAUGUUUUGAAUUUUGAAUUAUUCUUAAAAUUUAAAACAUUAAUUAUGUCUAUUACUUUUUAUAGUCAUUAUAUAUAUAUAUAUAUAUAUAUAUAGAGAGAGAGAGAGAGAGAGAGAGAGAGAGCUUAAAUUUAUCUUUAAAAAUUAUUAAAUUUAUUAAUAAAUUCAAUACAAAGACUCAUUUGAUUUGAAAUUCAUUUCUUUAGUGAAAAUUUUGAAACUAAAUAGUACUUUGUUUUACUUUGUUUUUAAAUCAUACUCACAAAUAAGUUUUUAUCAUUUAGCCAAAAAAUCUCAAAGAUGUUUCUAAUUUUAUUUAUUUAUUUAUUUGUAAAUGAAAAUAAAAAAUUAGUUUAAACUAAAUAUGCGGAUAUUAUUGUUAAUUUAUUUCAUUUUUUAUUUCCAUUGUUAUUUAACAUUGAAACGGAAACAAAUAAUCAUUCCAAUCUUACAUUCUUAUAUGCAUCUAAACACAAGAAUUGAAAUCACCAAAUUCAUAUUCAAGGCAAAAUAGAAAUGGAAAAAAAAUAUUCAUUUUCAUUCCUCAUUCUCAUGUGCUAAACAUGACAUUAGUUCUACUACCUAUUUCACCAUUCUUCUUGAUAAAUUUGGUAUAUGCAAUAUUGAUCUAAGUGUGAGGUGAAUAAGAAUGAUGAUGGGAUGGGCUUGGAAAUAAGGGCAAAGUUUCUAGGUGCUAUCUAGAGGGGCAACGCGACUUUUUCAAAUUUCGAAUAUUUGUUCUCAACAUAAAGCAAAACUUUACUCACACAAUAGAUAAGACUCUGUUUGUUUUCUUCAUCCACGACUAUAUAAUGUAUAGCUCUUACUCAAGGGAUGAGCUACUUACUAUUAAGGAUUGGGUAAGAUAUUGCCUAAUGGCCAAGAAGGCAUGUCAAAAAAUAAAUCUAAUCACCAUAAAAAAUAAUAGGGGAAAAUUAAUAUAUUAUGAAUGAUGACUUUACUAUUUCUCUAUAUACAUAAUUAUAUAUUUUGAAUUUUCUCACUAGGUAAUGAGAUUCUAAAUCAACUGAAACAUAAUUAAUAAUUUAUAUUUUUAAUGAAUCUUUUAAUUUUUAAAAAUAAUUUAAAAUUUUAAAAAACAAUUCAAUUAAUUACAUAUUAAAUCAAAACAUUUCAAAAUAUUGUGUUUGUAGAUGAGUACUAAAUGCUUGCAUAUAAUAAUAAUAAUAAAAAAAUUGACUCAUUUAGAUGUUAAAAAAGUUAAAUGUUUUUCAUUAUUCAUUUUAAGUAAAAUAUUAUUGACAUUAUUAUUAUAAAAUUAUUAUUAUUCAUUUUUAACAAAAAACAAAAUAAGUUAUUCUUUUACCAAGAUGUCAAUAUCUAUAUUUUUCUAACAUAUAUUAAAAUAGUAUACUUUUCUUUUAUUAAAAAUAAUAAUUAUUAUUAUAUUAUUAUUCAAGUUUUAUUAAAAAAAUUUAUCUUUUAAUUCAUUUGUAAUUACAAAAUAAUUUUAUUUUAUUAAGAAUUUAAUUUAAUUACGCUUUUUUUUUUUAUAAAAAAAACAGUUAUGCUUUUACCAAGAUGUUAAUAUUCAUAUUUUUCUAGCUAACAUAAAUAGAAUAGUACACUUUUUCAUAUAAAAAAAUAAUUUAUGAUUUUAUUAUAAUGUUACUAUUCACAUUUUACUAAAAAUAUUUAUUUAUUUUAUUUAUUUUUAAUUAUAAAAUAAUUUUAUUUUCAAGAAUUUAAUUUUAAAAAAAUAGAAAUCAUUUAUUCUUUUACCAAGAUGUUAAUAAACAUAUUUUUCUAACAUAUACUAAAAUAAAAAAGUUUACUUGUUCAUUAAAAAAUAUAAUUUAUGUUUUUAUUAUAAUACUACUAUCUAUGUUCUACUAAAAAUAUUUAUUUAUAAUUAAAAAAUAAUUUCAUUUUUAAUAAGACUUGAACUAAAUUAAAUUUAUAAUUUUUUUUUAAAAUAAAAUAGAAAAUUAUUUUUUAAAAACAACUUAUUGAAAGAAAUUUUUUAUUCUUUACUUUUAAGAACUGUUUUUAAAAGCAACCUAUAAACCCCUUUGGGUCUGUUUGGCUAUGUUUCAUGCAACUUGUUUUUAAAAAUUGUUUUUUAUUCUUUAAUUUAAUUUUUUUUAAGUUAAAGAAUAAAAAACAACUUUCUAGUGUUUUAUAAAAAUGAGAGCUUUUGACAAGUUGUUUUUAAAAACCAUUUUUAAAAAUAAAAAAUAAAAAACUUAUUUAGAUAAAUUGUUAUAUAUAUAUAUAUAUAUAUAUUUGUAAAAACAUUUUAAAUUCAAUUUAUAUAAUAUAAAUUUAAUUUAAUUUAAGUCUUAUUAAAAAAAAAUUGUUUGGAUAAGUUUUUUUUUUUAAAUAGUUUAUUAUUUUUGUUUUGUAAAAACAUUGCAAAUUCAAUUUAUAUAAUAUAAAUUAAUUUAAUUCAAGUCUUAUUAAAACCAAAAUAAUUUUAUAAUUACAAAUAAAUUUAAAAAUAAUUUUUUUAGUAAAACAUGAAUAAUAAAAUUAUAAAUUAUAUUAUUGUGGACCCUGCAUUUAUGCUCAUGCGCUUCCACUUGUUGGCGAACUCAUUUUUUAUUUGAAAAUGAUUUAUUUUUUUAGAAAAUGACUUAGAGUCGCCACUUAUUUUUGUUUUAUUUUUAAAGGGCAAGCAAAAUAAGAAAGAAAACCCUAAGUGUGACUCCUUAUUCGAAAAAGGUAGUCUGUGUAAAACCGGAUCAGGGUUCAGGGAUCAGGUUACUUAUUGGGAAGGUAUGACAAUGACCGUAGCACUCCUCUAAGUCCUUAAAAACGGGCCUCUACUAAAAAAAAUAAAGUAAUCAUGGCAAUCAGUAAGGAAAUCACUGGAUACCCAGAACAAUUAUGCACAUGUGAGAAUUAAAACAUGCAUAAGAAUGGACAAAGUGAGAGUGGGUGCGUACCUUGACAACGAACCACAAUGCGUUAUCAAGAAAUGGGGUUAGUGCACGAUCAAUGAACAUAAAACACGUCACACAUGUCACUAAGCAGAGUGAGAAAUCAUCAGAUAUUACAAUUCAAUCAAAUUUAUUUUUAGAAGAAACAUCUGUUGAUGUAGAGCCCCUACCAAAGCCUAAUUUAUUUUUGCAUGAAUCAAUUUCAUAAAUUCAAUCGCUUGGAAUUACAGAAUUAAAUUCAUGCUUAUUUUAAAACAUCUUUUUAAAAUCAUGGAAGAUGUGAAAAUGGUUUUCCAAAGAGAAAAUGACAACUGAUUUUAUUGAAAAUGGGAUUUUGGGGACCUAAACGUUAAAGAGGGAUUAGGAAUUGAAAAUUAAAUCAUUUGAAAAUUGAAUUUUUCAAAAAUCAGUUUUGAAAGCAUGCAUGCAAGUAUGGACUGUGAAAGUGGGCCUAGGGAGGGUGGCCAUGCAAAAUGAGGUCAUACACGUGGGCCUUGGGUACAAUUGGGACUACUUUGCUGGUGCCAGUGGUGCUUGCAGCUGUCAUCCAUGAUUUCUUCAUUGGGAUCAAUUUCCAUUCUUACUGCCAAACAUUCCAUAACAAUUGACCAAACUAGUAACCCUGACCUUGCAUGAAAAUGAACGUUACCUAGAAACUCACUGCCAGUGAGAUUCAUUGCUCUUUCAAAAGGUCUCAUUUUCUUUCUCAUCCAAUUGCUUUAAGGAGCAUUCUAGCGUCACGAUUGGUGACUGCGCAUCAUCUAGAGCCUUCUUUCUUCUCAGAAUCAGGUUUGCGUGCAGAGGCCUGUGCUUGUUCAAGGUUGACCUAAAUUCAUCUAGGUUUAGAACCGACCAGUUGAGCUUGGGGAGCAACGACAAGAAUAUCAGUCACUUGCGAAGAGAAAACUCGAGAUCUUUCAAGUAAUGCCUGACAUAGAUUCCUCCAACCUGUGGCCAAUAUCUCAUUCCUUGUUGGCCAGACGCCUAUUAGGGCGUAUCUCAAUCAAUAAUAUGAUUUUUCGUUUGUUCACAAUAAAGACCGGAAGCCAUGGUUGUGAUUUAUGCAGUACAGAAGAAGUUGCCAUGGCUGGUAUCCUUACAAAUUCUGGUGUUUCUGCUAUCUGUUCAAGUGCAAAACACAACAGCUUUAUCAAGUUUGUCCCUAACAACUGAUAUUGAGCCCUCUGGAGGAAACCUUGAUAAAUUCAUAAUCACUUUUGACUCAUGCAUGGGCUGCCCAUCAAAUUUUCCUAGCAACGAGACGACUGCUGUCAUCUACUGCAAAGAGAAUUUCUUCUCGCAAAGACAAGAGGAGUUUAAGAAUACACACUAUUCUGCCAUUUCAUUUCCUCUUUCUCCACAACCAACAUAAACCAUAGUGUCUACAUUAGAGUACUUAGAAAGAGCUUAACUGAUGACCGUUUUUCCACAACCAAAUGCCCCAGGUAUGGCACAAAUUUCACCGAAAACAGAAGGGAAAAGGGCAUCAAGAACACGCUGUCCUGUAAGUAGUGGGGUAUCAGGACUACUCUAGGGAAGUUAUUUCUGUCAUUUUGAAAAAGAAAAAUUAAAGAAUGUACACAUGCUUUCAAGUGGACUGGAGCAUUCUACAUAUCAGGUGGUCUGUAGCCACAUGUGCCACUUUGUGGAAGUUGGAACAGUCGAUCACUAGGCUAUUUAGUGUGGCCAAGCCACGUUAAUCAAGGACAAGUCUUCAUACUUAAAAGUCAAAUGGUGCCUUUAGUCUCAUUACACAUGGCUAUUUAAAGAUGAACUAAUCUUUAGUGUAAUGUGAUUAAGACAGUACUAACUGAUCAAUAUUUUUUCUAAUUUUGGAUGCAAAUGCUUGCUGGCUUCAUCAUUGGAUGGGAUAAAGGUGCAUUCAUGACUCUGAAUACUUGCAGUAAUACUUGCAGUAAUACUUCAUUCUCUUUUUUCUCGAUGAGACUUCUUGGCACAAUUUUGCUUCUCAGCAACCUACCUCUCCAUGGAAAAUGAGUUGCGAUUGAUGGUACUGGAUAUUUUCUAGGAAGCUAAAUAUAGAUAUAUAGCACUCAAUGUCAACGAUAUAUAUAGCAUUAACAGUAUAUGUCUCAAUGCUCAUCAGCUACAAGCAAGGGACAAACACUUACAAUGAAUAACUCACGUCAACAUUCCUAAACAGGACAUAGAAGUGACAGAUCUAUAUAUAGAACACUGCAUAUGAGUCACAAGAAAAGAUAAUACGGGUGCAUAGCAGCUCUUAUAUUACAUAUUACUCAUACCGUUCAAAUUCACUCAGUUGGGAUGGGUGGGAGAAGGAGGCCUCUGGGGUGGCUUGUGCGUGUGAGAAGUGGAAGAAAGUUGAAUGGAAUGAAACUGAAAAACAGGGUAGAAUAGAGGUUUCUUGAAUCUUCUGAAAUCUUUAUUUUUCUGAGAUUUAUUCUCUGUUUUUGUGAGUCGUGACUCUACAUAUAUACAUGUAUUUAAAGUUAGUUAUGCCUUAUAACUAAUUAUCUAACAGUACCAAAACUAAUCAUCUAGUUGCAUGUUUCUAAUUAAUGCUAUUUAGUUACAACUAUAUAUGGCUUAACAUCCUCUCUCAAACUCAAAAGUCUAGCUAGAACAGUGAGUUUGCUUCAUAGAUUGAGAAAUUGUUGAAUAGGUAAGGCUUUGGUAAGAGCAUUAGCAAUCUGGUCAUAAGAAGGAAUGUGUUGAACCACCAAAGUCUUAUUGAGCACCUUUUCCUGAACAAAAUGGCAAUCUAGUUCCACAUGCUUAACUCGAGAAUGAAAAUAGGAUUGGCAGCAAGAAAGGUGGCUGAAAGAUUGUCAUAGAACAAAACAAAAUAGGAGAAUAAGAAGAUGAGAUAGAAAACUCCUGAAGAAGAUGUUGAAUCCAUUGAAGUUCAAAAGCAACAUUUGCUAAGGCCCUAUACUCAGCUUCAUUGCUGGAACGAGACACAACUUUCUGCUUACUGGAGUUCCAGGAGACUAGAUUAGAGCUAAAAAAGAUGCAAUGACCACUUGUACUUCGACGAUCAUCAGGGCAACCAACCCAAUCAACAUCAGCAUAAGCAGUAAGUUGAAAAUCAGGAGAAGAAUAAAAGGAAAGACCAAAGGAAGUAGUGCCCUUAAGAUAAUGCAACAAUCGUUUAACAACUUGCCAAUGAAGAUCAGUUGGUUAUUGCAUGAAUUGGCAAAGUUUAUUGAUAGAGAAAGAGAUGUCAGGCCUUGUAAUGGUACAAUAUUGCAGGGCUUCAACAAUGUUGCGAUAUUGAGAAGGGUCAGCCAAGAGGGAACCUUUAGAGGCAGAUAAAGUGUGAGAGGUAGUCAUUGGUGUAUCAAUAGGUUUAAAAUAUGGAAGACCAGCACGAGUUAACAAGUCCUGAAUAUAUUUGGUUUGGGAAAGAUGAAGAGAAGAUCCUUGCCAACAUACUUCUACACCCAAGAAGUAAUUCAGAAUACCAAGGUCCUUGAGAGCAAACUGAAAGUGUAAAGACGAAACCAUUUGGUGGACUAGCACGGUAUUAAGACCACUAACAAUAAUGUCAUCAACAUAGAUGAGAAUAAUGAUCAUGUCAGUCCCUUUCCGAAGAGGAGCUUGCUUCAGACCCUACAAGGCUUUGCGAAGUUUACAGAAAAAACCGGGUUUAGAAUGAUCAACAAAGCCUGGAGGUUGAACCAUGUAAACCUCUUCUUCUAACUCACCAUUGAGAAAGGCAUUAUUAACAUCUAAUUGUUCCACUAACCAACCAUGAGAAAUAGCAAGAGAAAGAACAAUUCAUAUAGUAGUUGGUUUAACAACAAGGCAAAAGGUUUCAAAAUAAUCAAUACCAUAUGUUUGAUUAAAACCCUUUGCAACUAAGUAGGCUUUAAAACGAUCAAUUGAGCCAUUAGCUUUGAGUUUCAGCUUGUAUAUCCAUUUACAACUAAUAAUGCGUGUAUUAACAGGUUUAGGAACCAAUGUCCAUGUGGAAUUGGUGAGAAGAGCAUCAUACUCAGUCUUCAUAGCAGCUUGCCAAUUAGGAUGCAAUAUUGCUUCUUUGAAAGAGGAGGGUUCGACAACAGUAGUUUGGAUAGCAAGGCUAAAUAUUUUUUUGGGUUUAAAAAUACCAUUUUGGCUACGAGUAACAAUAGUUCGGUUUGGAAGUGAAAGAGGAUCAGUGGAGGAGGCUGGAACAAGGGAUUGUGGUAAAGUAGGAAAGGAAGGUGGAUGAGAUGGAACAAAAUCAGUAGGGACAAUAAUGGGAGAAGAAAAAUUAGGUGGAGAAUGAUGAGGAUUCCUUGAAGAUGGUGUAGGAAUAGAGAGAAUACCAGAAUCAAGAAGUGUUAAAGAAGAGUUGGAUGAUGAUACUGGUUGACAGGAUAAAGACUUUGUUAAAAAUGGAAAUCGAGUUUCAUCAAAUACAACAUGACGAGAAGCAUAUAUCCGAGAGGAAGCCAUAUCCAAACAGAGGAAUCCCUUGUGUUUAGCACUAUAACCCAAAAAACAGCAAACAACAAAUAUAUUUGCUAGCUUGUGAGAAGCAUAAGGGCGAAGAUAAGGAAAACACAAGCAUCCAAAACUUCAAAGAGAUGUAUAAUAAGGUAAACGAUUAUAAAGAACUCCAUAAGGAGAAUUUUGUGAAAGAACAGCAGAGGGAAGGCAAUUUAUGAGAAAAAUGGCAGUUUGAAAUGCAAAUGACCAAUAUUUGAGAGGGUAUACCAGCUUGUAUUAACAAAGAAAGACCAACUUCCACAACAUGACGAUUCUUUCUUUCAACUCUUCAAUUUUGCUAAGGAGUAUAAUGACAAGAGACUUGAUGAAGAAGACCAUUUGUAGCCAAAUAAUUCUGAAAAGCUGAAACUGAAACUCAUCAAAUUGAUUUUUAGUAUCAAAUUUUCUUCAGACUGAACACAUUGAUUUUUAGUAUCAAAUUUUCUUUCAACCAUGGCUUGAAAAUGUUGGAACAUAAGUAAAGCUUCAUCUUUAGUUUCCAAAAGGUACAACCAUGAGAAUAUGCUAAAAUCAUCAAUUAGCAAGAGGAAAUAUUGAGCAUUACCAUUGACAGAAACUAUAGGAGUUGCACCCCAAAGAUCAACAUGGAUGAGACCGAAUGGUUUUAUUGCUCUAGAAGUGGAUAUUUCAAAUGGAAAACGAUGGCUUUUAGCCAACUGACAAGACUCACAUACAGAGUUAUUAUUGUCAUGUUUCAAAGGUAUUUUAUAAAGAGAUAAGAUUUUGGAAACUACAUUAAUAGAGGGAUGACCAAGUCUAUUAUGCCAAAGCCUCAAAGAACCAACGGCUAAAGUACUACUAGUAGAGUAAAAUACUAGUGGAUGACCAACAACUCUUGGUGUAGCAAGAAGUUUAUAGAGACCCUUCUCAAUUUUUCCUUGAAGAAGAGCAAGUCUCGUUUCCUGAUCCUUUACCACAAAAUGAGAAGAACGAAAUUCAAUAAAGGUGCCAUUGUUUGAGUAAAAUCGUUGCACGCUAACUAAGUUGGUGGUAAUAGAAGGAACAUGUAAGACAUCAUUGAAAAACAAAGAACCACUUGAAGAGGCAAGAGAAAAUUUACCAAUAUUUGCAAUGGAUAAACCCUUACCAUCUCCAACAAUUACUUUGUCACCACUGGUAAAUGGAUUAUGGAUUGUUAAAUUGUUAAGAUCAGAUGUGAGAUGAUGGGUAGCCUUUGUAUCAAGAAACCAAUAAGUGUCUCCCAUUGUUGCAGAAGUUGUAGUCAUAGCCUCAGGAUUGUUAGAGGUGGAAUGUUUAGAAUCUUUUGGCUGAUAAUCAGAGUUAAACCGAUACCAGCAUUGUAAAGCGGUGUGUCCGAACUUACAACCGAGAGAAAUAAUCUUUACUUAUUCUCUAAAAACUGUUCUUUAUUCCACACAUUAUUUCUAAAAACUGUUUCUAGAUAACAAUGACAAAAUAGUAUUAGGAAUUUUUAAAAAUAAAAAUUGUUUUUAAAUUACAUGAUCUAUAUCAUUCACAUUUGACCAUUAUAGCUUUGUUCAGGAAAACACUUGAAAGUAACCUUAUCGUGAUAAGAGAUAUAAGUUGGCUGUAGUUUCAAACUGAAAACAGAGGAUGGCAAUAGAAAGCAAAGCAUUAGUUAUCUGCAAUCAGUGGUGAUCAUGCCCCAUGUCAAUUUCGGACCCAUAUCUUAAAACCGUAUAAUUUGCAUUUCAACAUUUCUGAUUUCUCAGAUGUUUCAUACUCCACAGAAGAACAUUGUUUGUGAAAGCAUGCAUUUAUGCUGGAUUUUGGAUGAUGUGGGAACUGGGGCAAGGAUCAUAUGGAAGAGUGGUCGAUUUUUUCUGUACUUUAACAUUUGAAAUAGGAGCAGCACGGGCAUUUGUGGGGCUUAAUUGAUUUUGAAGCCUGAAAUUGCGUUUCUGUCAUUUUGUAAAAAAUAUGGCAGAUUCCAUGCUCUCAUAUGUUUGGUCUGUGGCCAUGUAUAGAUGCCACUUAGUGACCAGUUUGUAACUGUCAAUCAUAGUGUUUUGACUCUGGCUCAACAACAUCAGCCAUUGACGGAUUUUCAUACAUGCAAAUCAAAUAGUCUUCUUCCUCCCUUAGGAAUUUCGGUUUAAAUGUUAUUAAGCAUACAUUUGGCUGACAAUUAUUAACCACUUCAUGAUAUGGUUUCUUACCCUUAAUCAAUGGUUUCUAAGUGAAUAUAUGCAGAAGGAAAUCUGAACUGUAGACAGCAGUAUUGAUAAUUAUCAAUAUUCUUUAUAUAAGAGAAUAAACAACGUCAUAGUGAUCGUCGCCUACAAGAAAGGUACAUUUCCCAACAAGAUGUAGUUGUGACUGGUACAUGGACGUAAUUAACUCGUAGAAAAGGAUAAGACCAGUGCACGGCAGCUCUUAUUUUACAUGCUAAUUAUGCUAACCAAAGUCACUCAGUUGGGAUGGGAGGGAGAUGGAGGUUUGUGCGGUGGCUUGUGGGGCGGAGUUGGUGGCUUCUUUUCAGGAGCUUGUGGCUUUUUCGGAGCUGAAGGAGGCUCAAUCUUAUGAGGCGGCUUGUACGAGUCUUCUUUACUCUCGACAGGAGGGUGGCCAGGGUUGUGACCAUAAUGUGGUGGCUUCUCUCCCUUAGGUGGCUUGCCAACUGGGGUUGGUGGCUUGUGUUCAGGAAGUGGUUUCUCUCCCUUGGGAGGUUUACCAAUUGGGGUUGGUGGCUUGUGUUCUGGGAGUGGUUUCUCUCCCUUGGGAGGUUUAGUGGGUGACUUGUGUUCUGGAGGUGGCUUCUCCACCGGAGGCUUGUGCUCCGGUGGUGGCUUCUUGGUUGGAGGGGGCUUGGGGUAAUCAGCAAGAGAUGGGGGGGUGAGAACCACCACUCCAAGGAACAACACUAGCAAGUAUGUGGGAGACAUUUCUGAGUUUGAGCUGAUCAGAUGAUGCAAAACUAGAAGAAUUACGUGACCUUUUAUAGCAAGUAGCUCCCAAUACCCACAUGACACGUGUUACUGUGACCAUAAAUAUUAUAGGGUCCAUUUGUGCCCUACCGGGUUGAAAACUUGGACGCUUGGCCGAGGACACACCGAACUAUGGAGGACUAUUGACGUGUGAUCACAGCUUUUGGAUUUUUCUUCCUGUGCAGCUGUCUAGCGGUUGGCAUUAUUUUUUUAAUCUUAAAUAAAGGCAUAGUUAUAGAGUACAUUUAUAUAUCUUCAGAUAGCCAUUAAUAUAUUUGAUGAAGAAAGACAAGUGCAUACAACAUGUAUACGGCUUGCUUCAAUCGAGUACAUUUAUGAUCAGUUUUCCAGUGCAAGUAAACCAGUUUUUUGUUCCACAACUAUUUUGGAAUCUUGUUUAUCAGUUUCUAUCAUUAUAAUGUCACAUAGGCUGCAAACUUGGGCACCCAAAGAUCUAGUUGGGCAAAUUUGUUUCAGAAUUUCAAUGGUGGAUUCAGUAAUUGUUAAAAGGUGUUUCUUCAUUAAGGAAAGAGUCCUGUAAAAAUAUUGUUAAAAGGUGUCAUAGAAACUAUAAUAAUUAAAUAACUUCUUUUCCCCGUGGGUGGUGUUUCUUCUGGGGAUACCCAAAAUGAGUUCAGAUUAAAAUUGGUUCGAGUCAAAGCUGUCUCUUUUGUCCAGAAAUCAACUAUUUUGCGCAUUGCAUGAAUCGAUAAAGAAAAAAUGAAAGCCAAAUCACACCUCCCCUGCAAAACCUAAACCCCGGUUGCUAACUUUCUAUGUUUCAGUCCUAUUCAUACAGGAAUAUUGGUUCAAGUUUGAGAAAAAUGGCAACUUACCUAGGGAUUACUUGGUUGUGGUUUGCGACGACUAUUUACGCAACCAACCAUGAGUUUGACUUUAACGUCAUGGGUUGAAGCCUCCUACAAUCGUGUAUGAUAGUUCAAAGCUCGUAGUAGAAAUUAUACAGGAAGGAAGAAACCUCCAAAGCUAGCUCCAAAAGAGAAUUAUCACAUCGAUAGCUCCAGAGAUUCCCAAGGGGACUGAAUCAAAGACAAGUUCCUCACUUUUUCUUCUUUUGAGGCCAAAUAUGAACCAAGGAUCACACGACCUCAUUCAACUUCAUAAGUUUGAUUUCAUGCAGUUGAACACUGGGUGAAGGCCAUGACAAGAAUUGAUUAAAAAAUUCUACCACUGUUUUAAGUAAUGGAAGAUUAUUAUCUCUGAUUGGCACCACAACAGCACAUGCUGCUAGAUCUUUCUAGACACUCCAUGCAAUGAAAGUACAAUGGAUCUUGUAACGAUAGAAACUAAGCCAUGCUACAGUACUAGAUGACGAGGUAAAACUAUUAGACAUGGGUGGCAGCCUAUAUGGGAGGGACACAAGUCUAAUUGAUUUGCAUUUCAGCGUUCUAGAUGGGUAUGUUUUGGAAGAUUUGUUCUGGAAAUACCGCACCAAGUAGGAUUCUUUUUUCUCUUGAGUGGGUCCACUUGCAUGCCAAUUAUCGAGUUGAAAAGUAGAGCACCUACCUCGUGCUCGUGGAACCGAAGGUCAGUGAAGUGGGGCUCCUUUUGGCCUCUUGUGUUUCUGUUCCAACCAAGGCGGCGGAGGGAAAAACAGCAAUAUGUCUCCGCUAAAUAUCAACGCAUGAUAGCGAAUGAGGGAGAAAAAAAGUAAUUGGCAUCUCAAUCUCACAAACUUGGUACAGUAGUGACAUUAAUAGUCUUCCACAUGGUUUUUAUUUUAUUUUAUUUUAUAUUUUAUAUUUUCCAUUUUUUUAUUUUUUUGUAUGUCAAGGCUAAUGAAUAAAAUGCGUUAGCUUGUUUUGUGAUUGGAACUGCAAAUGUCCAAAUUGGAGUUUCUCCAUUUCUCAGUUCGGAUGGUUAACUUUAUAAACAAGAUAUAGGAAACAUGUGAACGUCUUGAGGAACAAUUCGAAUUAUUGAUUAGAACUCCUAGGUUGAGUUCCAAGAUUUAAAUCAGACCCCUCUAGCAGCUUCAGGGGUACCUAGCAAUUAGAACAUAUUAAUGAAGAUUUAGGAUUUAGACUCCGGAAUACAAAUUAAUAUGUAUCUUAUGCUCUGACUAGCUUCCCUGCAUAUGCACAAAAUGGAGAUGACCCAAAAAAUAGCAGAAUCGCCUUAGUUUAUGUGGUUAAGGUGAUUCUCCGGUUAAUAUCCACAUUGGCUCAUUAUGCAAAUCAACUGAGCUAUUUUUUUUUUAAUGUCAAAUAGGAACUCCUAAUUAACCUAACCAUUGGCCUGUGUAAAUUGAUUUCACAUGCACAAUGUUGUAGUAGAAGUCCACAUUUUGAAUUUUAUUUUUGGAAAGGUAAGGAAAAUGAAGCAUUGUGUAAUUAUAAAAAUAACUUCAUUGGAAUUCACAAGGUUCACCCAAAAUGGAGCUACAUCCGUAUUCUAUCUUACAGUAGACUAUAUAGAUUGUACAAUAGUAAAUUGCAAAUACAAUUAAUAAGUCUUGUGUUUCCUUACUAAUAAUCCUUUGACAUAAACAUUGCAGCACUAAGGUCCUCUUGGGCAGACACCUUGCACCCAUGAGAGCACUAAGAGGAAGCAAGGCGGAGUCAUGGGUGCAAUGUCAUGACUUGUUGCACUAAGAGAGGCUUGGUGAUGGCAUAGUGCUGCAGUAGCAAGAAUGUUGCCUUGGCAGGGACACGAUCUAGGGACAGAUGCCAAGAAAGGCUUAGCACUCACAUGAGUUGCACAAAGAUGAAUGAAAUAGAACAUCAAAGAGACAUCUUGGCAAGCUCAAGAAAGACAUGUGGGUUGGUAAAUGAAUGGAUGCAAGAGGCAACAACAUGAGGAGUUUCAAAUGGAUAGGGAAUGAGUCAAAGACAUUUGAAAGCUACAAGUUGGAUUCUAAUUACGAUUGCAAUUUGAGUUUGAGUAGGAGUUUAUAUUAUGAUUGUAAUUGUAGUAUGAGUUGGACUAGGAUUGCUUAUCCCUAGUCAAAAUAGGAGUUGUUCAUGCCACACCCUAUGAAAAGAGUUUGAGUAGGGACUAGGAUUGCUUGCUCCUAGUCAAAUAUGGAGUAGGUGGUGCCACACCUAUAAAAAAAAAAGGGACAACAUGAGAGAGAGAGAGAAUGAAUUCACCAAAGAUAUUGUGGGAGUUUUGCUUUGUUACAUCUUGUAUUAUUAUUUAGAAUAGUAAUAAAAUACAAGUUGGGGCUAGAGCCCCAUAAUCUCGUGUGCCUUUGUGGGUUAUUCUUUAUUUGCCAUCUCGUGUGGAUUGGAUUAGAUUGAUGAGGCGAAAUAUUAUGUGGGAAAUUUAUGUUGGGACACUUACCAUAACCAGGUAAAAUCUACCAAGUCUUUUGUAAUAUCUUCUACAAAUAUUUUAGACCAGUUCUUCACAAAACAUCAUAAUAUGUUUUGUGUUUCUCUUGGAUUUUGAGUUGAAUUGUCUUAGAUCAAUUGAAUGCAUCUCAAUAUUAUUAUCUUGUUUGAAGGCUUGAUGAUUUUCCAUUUAACUUUACUUUCUUUAGGUUAUGCUUGAUUCCUUAAAAGUACUAAGGAAAACAAAAAAUAAAAAAAAAUAAAAAAUGCAGAGGGUUAGGACAUGUGUUAUCUAAUUGUCCUAUCCAAAGAUAUUAAGAAAGUCAUGUAGGAAAGUAAUUGAAAACUAGGUCAAGAAAGGAGCAAAAGGGAAUUGUUUUGGUAUUUUCUUUUUUAUUCUUGAAGGUGGCAGAGCUAAAAUUUGAGAAAUCAAGCAAAACAUACUGAAAUUACAUUGAAAGAAAGAAAAUGGUAGUUAAUGUCUUGCAGUACAUGAUAAGGACUUCAUGCAUGUAGUGUGACGACCCAUGUCUUGGACUGAUGCCACACUCACGGUUACACUUAUACCCUUGGUUCUCUCUUUACUACCUUGGCUAACCUAGAUCAGGCUAUGAGAUAGGCUCCUCACCACACCAUCACUUGCCCAGUAAUUAGUGACAUUUUCAAGCAAUGAGGUAACAUGGUGACACCAAGAGGGUUUAUCCCUCGCCCCAACAAGUCUAGACUCGGUCUCAAAAAAAUGGAGAAAAAUGAGGUGUCGUUAUGCAGAAAUACAACAACCAUGCCUUCCUUAUUACUUAGAUUCAGAAUGUGAAGGUGAAAUUGAGAAACAGAAACUCUUGAAACCAGAAUGAAAAUUGAUACUUUUACGAAGAAUUACAACAUUAGAGGAAGACUACAUUCUUCCUCUAUAUUCCUACGUUUCUACACUACUUCUACUCCACUCCAUAUUUCUACAUACAUCUUUAAUCAGUUUUCCCUCCUUUAUAUAGAGCCAUCUUCACACAAAUUCCGCAAGGUAGAAAAGAGGAAUGAAACUUGGAGCAAGGUUCGACUACUGGUUGUCGCUUGUCAAGGCUGGAAUUGAACUUUUUUUCUUGGCUUUUCUGGGCAUAGGUAGUAACUUGUGGUUCCUUUUUGGAAUGAAAAUGGUACAGCUAGAACAUGUGGCACUCUCUUGUUGGAUUAUGUGUCAAACAUGUGGCAGCCAUCUAGUGGAGAUUAUUUCAAUUUUGGGAUGGAGAGUUGGCAUCCAAUUGCAAAGAAAUAUGACAUCUACCAACAUGCAAUGUAAACCUAUAUAGAUCAUAUGGAGAUAGAGAGGAAACAUAUAGAAAUGGAUAUAUACCUAGAACUAGCUUUUUAUUAAAUGAGACGGAGAGCCAACAAUGAAGGAAAAUCAAAAUUUUUGGCUCAUAUCAAAGAAUUCACAUUGUGUUACCCUAGGUUUUCUUAAAGCUUGCACAAAGCCAAAAAGCACACAAAAAAUUAUAUUUUCUAGCUCUCUACCUUGGAUGGUCUCUUGAUCCUACUUGGAGAUGUGCAUAAAUAAAAGGAUUUGAAAAUGACAAUUGACUAAGUAUGUAGUCAAUCAAUUACUCAUUAAUUGACUAGUUGAUCAAUUAACUUUGCAACAUCAUAUGCAAUCCUAAUAGCUAGUCAUCUAAUCAACUAGGUAGUAAAUCAAUAGGCCAAAAAUAUGUUUAUAAUGACUAUUUUGUACAAAAACCACCUAUAUGGUUAAAUAUAAUGCAUUUCAUUUAUAAAUCUUCUAAUUCUUGAAUAACGAUCCUAUCAUCCUUUGAAAGUUUUUAUUACACCUUUUAUACUUUUGUUCUAAAACUUACACAUGUACAUCACCCUUAAUUGUACCAUGAGAACCUAGCUUUUUUUUUUUUUUUUUUUGUAAUUCAUCAAAGUUAGCUUUUGUAUUCAUUACUGUACUAUUUUUAUUGUAACUUAGAAAGCGAGUGUUUUCAAGUGAGUGAAAUUGACUUAUAAAUAUUGUAAAGAUUCAUUGAUGUGUAUCUUAAACUAAGUGUACAAGUUGAAACAUUUGCUAGUAGAUUUUCUCAAGAUUUAGAAUAGAGCUUGAGGCUAUUGAAAUAGGUGGGGUUGCACCAAACCACAUCACAUUGUUGUUUGCACCUUUUUUUCACUCUCUUUUACUUAGUUGCUCUAUAUUUGUUGUCUAGUAAUAUCCUAUAGGCUUGAUGGGUUAGGGAGCAUCCCUUUGUGAAAAAUUUUCAUUCAAUCCUUAGUUGUAUCACGCAUAUAUAAAAUGCCUCAUUGUUUUAAUGGUAUUCAGUCGUGGCAUCACAGAUAUGGGCAUCUAAAUUUUAAAAGUUUGAAACUUUUAUCUAAAGAAAAUAUGGUGCUUUGCCUUUUUGUAAAGCAUGUUGAUGAAAUCCAUGAGAAUUGUGUACUUGGGAAGCAACAUCGAGAUGACUUUUUUUUUUUUCAUUUUUUAUAAUGCGACACCUAAGUCCGGUUUCUAAAUGCUGAAGUGAAAGGGUAGGUAUGGACCAUUGAAAUCUGAUCACAACUUUUGGCCUUUUCCUUUCUCUGCAGCCAUGUUGUCUCUUUUUUCUUUUGCAUGAUUUUCUUACCUAAACAGAAUCAUAGACUUGUUUAAUCUCUAAAUGGUAUUUCAUCCAGCUUUAAGCUACUGUAUUAUAUCUUGGUGGAGGACUUUUAAGAGUGAAACCGACAUAGAGCACAUGCAAGUGGGUAUAUGGGACAUGAAAUUUCUUCUUAUAAAGACUGCAUGGUUUUUAUAUUAGAGUUGUUGAGGCGCAAUGUAUUUAGCUUGUUUUGCAGUUAAAUUAAUUGGAUAAGUAGACAUUGUCGUUUCUAAAUUUCCCACCUAAGAUAGUGACCUUAUCCUUGACUGCUUGAUGAGAUACACAAACAAUUAUACCUUCAAAAUCUACUGUGAAGUGCUUCAUGUAUGUGUGAAGUAUUAGAAAUUUCUUUCUUGGCAACUUGUUUUUUCUUUGCCCUCUACUGAUAGGUUUGACUCAAAUUAAAUUCCCUGUCAUGCUAAUUAAUUUUCACGUGCAUGCUCAAAAGGAUCACGUCAACUCUGGUUUCUACUAUUCAGGUCCAUUCCCAGAUAAACUGGUUCAAAUUUGAGAAAAUGGCAACAGCCCUUUAGUGAUGUUGGUUUGGAGCCAGUAGCCAAACCCGCCCUGAGCUUUACCACUAAUGUCAAGGGACAAAGCCAUUUGAACAAAAACAAUAGCUUCAAGAGACUGAAUCGUGGAUGAAAUCUGAUCCACAUUUCUUCUCAUUUUGGGAACAAAUGAGAACUUAACUACAAAGAUUCUACUGCCUCAUAGUGCUUUUCCUGAUCUAAGGUUGGUUCGUUUCCCAAAUUGUGAGGUACGUGCCAUUCUCACGCUCAGGAGUGUAUCCACGUGGUGGACAUAAGAUGGUGGCUUAAUAUCUGGUGUCGGUGGCUUUACUUUACUAGGAGAGUAGUGUGUCUUCAUCUCAUUCACUGCCGGAGGGUGGCGUAAGCAGUGACGCUAAGGUGGGGCACAGUCAAUAUCAUUUGCAUUUGACCAUUAUAGUUUUCUCCCGGCUUGAAAGUAACCUUAUCGUGAUAAAGGAUUACUAGCACUAGUUCAGAUGACAGUCAUGUUAAAUUCGGACCAUGUUUGUGUCACAUUAUCAGCAACCAUGUGUUUAUGGUUCAUGCUAUCUGCAACUAAACUUGAUAUAUAACCACGUGAACUUCAAUCUAAAUUCUGGAAGUACUCUUGUGAUAGAUGGUGCCUGUCUGCAGAGUCCAUCAAUUGAAAAAUGGAGUGAGUGUAUCUAUAAGAGGGAAGGCUUGGCAAAUGUUCAGUUUUCUGGGAACUCAACAAGGAUCUAAAAUAGAUUGUUUUCUUUGCUGAUUUCAAUGGUUGAAAUUUGAGAAGAUUGUGUCCACAUAACACAACUAUUACUGGUCCUUCUGUUGCAAUUUAUCCUCUAAGGCUCUAACAUGUCUUCCAAUUCCCACUUCCCUGUUACUCCAGGAAAGCUAUUUCUGUCAUUGUGAAGAAGAAAAGAGAAUGUACAUAUCGAUGGUUUUAAGUGACUGGGGCAUUCAUAUCAGGUGGUCUGCAGCCAUAUAUGCCACUUUGUGAAGGUUGGAACAGUCAAUCACCAGGCUAUAUUAGUGUGGCCCAGCCACUUCAAUCAAGGACAAGUCUUCAUACUUAAAGUCAAAUUCUGCCUUUAGUCUCAUUAUAAAUUGCUGUUUAAAUAUUAAGCAAACAUUUGUUUAAUGCGAUUAAGACAGUACUAACUCAAUACUUGUUCUAUUUUUGGAUGCAAAUGCUUGAUGGUUUCAUCAUUGGAUGGGAUAAAGGUGCAUUCAUGAUUAUGAAUACUUGUAGUUAUAUUUUCAUUCUCUUUUUUCUCAAUGAGACUUGUUGGCACAAUUUUGCUGUUCAGAAACCUACCUCUCCAUCGAAAAUCAGUUGUGAUUGAUAGUACUGGAUAUAUUCAAGAAAGCUAAAUAUAGAUAGCACCAAAUAUUAUCGAUAUAAAUAGCAUUAACAGCGUACGUAUGUCUCAAUGCUCAUCAGCUAUAAGCAACGGGCAAACACUUACUAUGAGCAACUUGCGUCAAAAUUCCAGAAUAGGACAUAGAAGUGACAGAUCUAUAUAUAUAUAGAACACUGCAUAUGAGUCACAAGAAAGGAAAUUACGGGUGCAUAGCAGCUCUUAUUUUACAUCCUACUCAUACUGAUCAAAGUCACUCAGUUGGGAUGGGUGGGAGUAGGAGGUUUGUGGGGUGGCUUGUGCGGAGGAGUUGGCAGCUUCUUUCCAGGACCUGGUUGCUUCUCUGCUGGAGUUGAAGGAGGCUUAAUCUUCCGAGGUGGCUUGUAUGAGUCUUCAGCAUUCUCAGCAGGAGGGUGACCAGGGUUGUGACCAUAAUGUGGUGGCUUCUCUCCCUUAGGUGGUUUGCCAACUGGGGUUGGUGGCUUGUAUGAGUCUUCAGCAUUCUCAGCAGGAGGGUGACCAGGGUUGCGACCAUAAUGUGGUGGCUUCUCUCCCUUAGGUGGUUUGCCAACUGGGGUUGGUGGCUUGUGUUCUGGGAGUGGCUUCUCCCCCUUGGGAGGUUUUUCCAAUGGGGUUGGUUUGUGUUCAGGAGGUGGCUUCUCCACUGGAGGCUUGUGUUCAGGAGGUGGCUUCUCCACCGGAGGCUUGUGUUCAGGAGGUGGCUUCUCCACCGGAGGCUUGUGUUCAGGAGGUGGCUUCUCGAAUGGGGGAUGCUCAGGGUAAUCAGCAAGUGAGGGGUUGGUGAGAACCACCAUGCCAAGCAACAGGACUAGCAAGUAUGUAGGAGACAUCUUUGGGUUUGGACUUAAGACAGUGGAAAACUGCGAGAAUUCUCUAGCCUUUUAUAGCGGGUCGACCCAGUACUCACAUGACACGUGUCAUUAUGACACAUGUGCCAUGGGGUCGAUUUGGGUCCUACAGUGUUGAAAAGUUGGGCAUUUGAGGUGUGAGCACAACUUUUGGCCUUUGCUUUCUCUACAGCCGCCAUGCUUUUCCCUUUUUUCCUUUUCCUUUUGUUUUCCUCCUGCCUCGUGUUCUCAACUAAACACAAUUAGGUUGUUUAAUUGUUAAAUGAGAUUUUUGUCUGUCAAUCAUAUUAUAUCCUAUCAAGAGAGAACAGAGUGUAAUGUAGUACACAUAACACGAGGCAGUAGUAAUUUUAUCAUUUAUUUUUAUAGCUUGGACCACCGCAUUUUUUCUUCUAAAAUAUUCUGUCUUGUUAAGAGACGCAAUAAUACACAAUUUUAUCUGCCAUUCAACAUUUACUGUAAAGUUCUUUUAUCUCUUUGUAGUUCUAGAAAAGUACAAAAUGGAACAUCAUGUAUAUGGUGCCUUCUGUCCUAAAAAAGAAACUGGACAAAUUAUGAACUGCAUGCUAAAAAGAGGCAAAGGAGCUUAAUUCGCAGCAUAAUUAUUUUGGUUUCUAGAGAGCCCGGGGCCUUUUGGUUGGUUUGGGGUCAGAAAAUGAACAUCAUAGGGAUUGUGCCCUUAACUGGCCUUGUUACUACAAAGAAAUUGCCAUAGAAAUUUAUUCCAGGCUGAGUAUCUCCGGAUAGACCCCAGAAAAGAAGAGUCAUAAUGAGAAUCAACCUUUGUUGAGUUUGAUUCCAUGCCUCCAUUGUGUUCAUUUCAUGAAUCUGAUUUGCAUUUAACAUUACAGUUUUGUUCUGGAAACAAUCAAAGGAGCAUCGUUUGCUUCUUGGGUGACCCAUAGUGGUGGGUGGGUCGAUUUGCUUAGUUGAAAAUUGGACAAUUGGCUCCAUCGCCUACCUCUUGGAUUCCAUGCUCGGAUAAAACGACAACAAAUAAAUAUUUAUAACUUACAACUGGGGAAAGGAAAAAAUAGUACUAAAUUCAUGGUACAUGAUAGUGAGAGAAGGGGGUGUUACACUCAGCUAAAGUUCUUUUCUAAAUAUUGCAUGGUGUUUAAUUUUAUGUGUCGGCGCGCGUGUGAAUGGAACCUGCAAAAGUCCAAAUUGGCGUUUCUCCAUUUUCCACAUAGGAUGGUGACGUUAAUAGACAAAGAUACAAUAUCUGUAGACAUUGCUUAAAAAUCGAUGUGAAGUAUUAGAAAUUACAGGCCACUGUACUGGGGGAGCGGCUGCCCCGCCAAAGGAAGAAUGUAGCAAUUUCUUCUGUUAGCCAGGCCUUAGGAUUUAUGCAUGGGAUGCCUAAUAACAAACAGAGAAAAUAUGCUUUUGGGGAAGGUAUCCAACAACAGACACCAUCAUUCAGAUGGUGGGAAGGUAUCCAACAGAUGCCAUCAUUCAGAUGGUAACAUAUAUAUACAUUUAUUAGUGAGUUUUUUUAAUACCUAUAAAAAAAAUAUACACUUUGAUAUUGUGGCUGAAUCCAUUACAUACUCAACUAACCUUGCUCAUUAGGGAUUUGACGUAACAAGGGCAACGUUGCAGUAAAAGCUCGAAACUUUAUGCAGGUGACAUUACAUUUGGUAAAGAAGAGGAAAAUAAGGAAAGCCAUCCAUAAAAGCAAAAUUCCUCAUGGGAUGAAAUUCACAAACUUCAUUUACGUUAGAGUCGCAUCCAGGCAAUUAAUUCCACAUUAGACCGCCUUUUGACAUGUGUACGGAUCUUUUUUCAAAAAUUAUUUAUAAAUAAUUGAUACUUACAAAAAUAAUUUAAGAUUUAUAAAGGAUAAAAAAAUAUUUUCAAAUCUAUGACAAUUUAUAAAAUAUUAAUAAAAAAUUAUCUCUUAAACUUAGUAUAGUUUUAUCGUAUUAAACUUUUAUUUUGAACAAAUAAUUUUAAUCUAAGUUUUAAAUUCUAAAAUUAUUUCCUUAAAAUAAAAUUUUAAAAUUCAACACUUCAAUUGAAAUUGUCUUUUAAAAAAAAUAUCUUCUUAUUUUAAUCCUUAUAAACUAUAGUUGAUUGAAAAUACUAUUGAAGUUCUCUCUUCAAAAAAAGUCUUAUUUUAAUCUUCAUAAAUUGCCCUUGAUUUGAAAAUAAACUUUGGGUUAUCAUAUUUUAAAUAAUAUAUAUAUAUAUAUAUAUAUAUAUAUAUAUAUAUAACAAAUACUCUAUUUUUUUUUUAAAUGAACUAAUUUUAAUUAUAUUUUAUUUUAUUUUUUUAUAUAUUUUUAAUGAUAAACCAAACAUAGAAAAUCAUUUUUCUAAAUAUUUUAAAAUUUCUAAGCAACCAAACAUAAUCUUCAAAAUAAAAGGAGAAUAAGGAGGGACAAGUGAGAAAUGGCGAUUAAAAAAAAGUGUACAAAAGCUCAAUUAAUUUUCUUCUAGUCUUUUAUAUAAAAAAGUAUUGGUAUGUAAAUUAAUAUUUGGAUUUUAAUAGUAUUUUAUUUGUCUUUCUCUAUCUCAUGUAAAAGAGAAUUUAAGAUAUUUCCUAAAGCAAAGCAUUAGUUAUCUGCAAUCAGUGGUGAUCAUGGUCCAUGUCAAUUUCGGACCCAUAUCUUAAAACCGUAUAAUUUGCGUUUCAACAUUACUGAUUUCUCAGAUGUUUCAUACUCCACAGAAGAGUAUUGUUAGUGAAAGCAUUUUGUAACUGUUACUCAUAGUGUUUUGACUCUGGCUCAACAACAUCAGCCAUUGACGGAUUUUCAUACAUGCAAAUCAAAUAGUCUUCUUCCUCCCUUAGGAAUUUCGGUUUAAAUGUUAUUAAGCAUACAUUUGGCUGACAAUUAUUAACCACUUCAUGAUAUGGUUUCUUACCCUUAAUCAAUGGUUUCUAAGUGAAUAUAUGCAGAAGGAAAUCUGAACUGUAGACAGCAGUAUUGAUAACUCUCAAUAUUCUUUAUAUAAGAGAAUAAACAACGUCAUAGUGAUCGUCGCCUACAAGAAAGGUACAUUUCCCAACAAGAUGUAGUGGUGACUGCUACAUGGACGCAAUUAACUCGUAGAAAAGGAUAAGACCAGUGCACGGCAGCUCUUAUUUUACAUGCUAAUUAUGCUAACCAAAGUCACUCAGUUGGGAUGGGAGGGAGAUGGAGGUUUGUGCGGUGGCUUGUGGGGCGGAGUUGGUGGCUUCUUUUCAGGAGCUUGUGGCUUUUUCGGAGCUGAAGGAGGCUCAAUCUUAUGAGGCGGCUUGUACGAGUCUUCUUUACUCUCGACAGGAGGGUGACCAGGGUUGUGACCAUAAUGUGGUGGCUUCUCUCCCUUAGGUGGCUUGCCAACUGGGGUUGGUGGCUUGUGUUCAGGAAGUUGUUUCUCUCCCUUGGGAGGUUUACCAAUUGGGGUUGGUGGCUUGUGUUCUAGGAGUGGUUUCUCUCCCUUGGGAGGUUUAGUGGGUGACUUGUGUUCUGGAGGUGGCUUCUCCACCGGAGACUUGUGUUCUGGAAUUGAUUAAAAAAAUUCUACCACUCUUUUAAGUAAUGGAAGAUUAUUAUCUCUGAUUGGCACCACAACAGCACAUGCUGCUAGAUCUUUCUAGACACUCCAUGCAAUGAAAGCACAAUGGAUCUUGUAACGAUAGAAACUAAGCCAUGCUACAGUACUAGAUGACGAGGUAAAACUAGUAGACAUGGGUGGUAGUUGAUUACUACUCAAAAAGUACUCUUUUAUAGUUUGAAACUAACUGUUUUAAACACUUUUGAGUAGUAGUUAAUAAAUUUUAACUCAAUUGGCACAUUAAGGAACCUAGCAAGGGUUACUAAUAAACUUUUGGCAAGUUUUGGUGUUUUUGGUAGUUAUUCGAUCAUUGAAACAAGCCAAGAAUGAGGGAGAAUUUUGUGAAGUCCAUGGCAAUGCAAGUUAAAGCUCAAAUACACGAAGAAUCCAAGCUUUGGAGCACUACAUAGCCCUUUGCCAAGCCAAUUAGAGAUGCAAGGAACAAAACCAAAGGAAGAAAUCCAACAACCAACAUUUUCGCAUGGUUGUGUGAAAUUUCGCACACCAUGCGAAACCACAAGAGGUAGCCAAAGAAUUUCACAUGGUAUGCGAAAUCUUCUCAUGCACCGACUCCGUUAGAUUUUUAUCUUCAGAUAUUUUGUGUAAUUUCCUAGUUUCUCCUUGUAACCAACCUAGAUAUUUUCUUUUAUAUCUUUUUUUAUAUUUUUUAGGUAACAUCAUAUAUAAGGGGAGAGACAUAAGGAGGAUAUGGAUGUUUUUCAUAGAACACUUGUAAAUUUUCAGUAGUAAGAAAUAUACAAAGCUUUUUGCUAUGCCUUACCUUCUCAUUUUGUUUUCACCUGUCUUUCUAGCCAAACAACCUCUAAGGAUGAUUUCUCAGGGGAUGAGUGGCUAGGUUUUACGUUUCUUGGAGUGAGGGAAGCUAGGUGAAGGACCUGAAUGCAAAGAUGAGAGUUUUCCUUGCUUUAAAUGAAAGUAGUUGUUAAACAUUAAUGGUUUUUAUUUUAAGGUUUAGCUUUAAAUCCCUUAAAAACACCUUGAAUGACCAAUACUUGGUAAGCUUUUCGGAUUCUAUGGAUGCUUAUUGCUAGAUCCAUGGAUGUCUAUUAGUUAUCAUUUACGAGCCUUUGGAAGGUGAUUCAAGGUGAGGGUCUUUAGUGUUUGAAGCCAUUAAUGGGAAGCAAUUACCAUUUUUUCAUGAAUCCUUUGGAUCAAAUCUUAAUUGCUAAAUAUAAAACCGAUUUGGGAAAUAACCAUCCUUUAUGUUAUUAUCCCCAACGCAAGGAGAAGAUCCGGAAUCUUCCCUUUUGUCUAAGGAACCCGAUCCUAGUGACCUAAAGCUCCAAGAGACCUUUUCUUUGUAGUUAACUUCAUUUAUUGUUUUUGCUUAACUUAAAAUCAAUCUUUGCAACCACAAUUCCAUUUUCUUUAAAAGCUAAUUUUUAUAAGGAAAAACACCAUUUUAUUUCCUUCACUAAGUCAACUGUACGAUGAAAACCCAUCCCUGUGGACGAUCCUAGAGCCAUUAUACUAUGUUAGCUAUGCUACCCUAGUGUGAGGUGAUUUAGGUUUUAUAAAUUUUGUUGAUAACACCCAUCUGAGCCAGAAUCAAAUGGCACAACUGAACCAGGGACGAAUCAAAUGGCGCCGCUAUCGAGGAUGGUGCCAAAGUACAUUGACAUGACUUUUGGUGAACACUUGUGAUCUUCAUCACAAGUUUGGUGAUUUUUCUAUUACUAAUUUUUUUCUUUGUUUUUAUUUUAGCUUAUCUUUUAUUUAGUUUUUAGCUAACCUUAACUUUUUCUUAGAAUUGUAUUUCUUCUAUUUUCUUUGUUUUUGUUUCAGUGAUCUUUAGUUGUGCAUGCCCUAUUGGAUAAGAAAUAUUGAGGGAAUACUUGUGAAGAUUGAAAAUCCUCGAGAAACUGAGUUGGAAGUGUGAUUGAACAUCAUGGAUGUUCCACCUGAAGACCAGAAUAGCCAACAUGGUUAAGAGGAUAAUUUCAAAGCAUACCGAUCCAUGAGGGACUGCAUGCAUCCACCUCGUAUGAGUGCACCGUCAUGCAUAGUGCCUCCCACUGAGCAACUAGUAAUCUGACCUCACAUUGUGCCACUCCUACCUACUUUCCAUGGGAUGGAGAGUGAGAAUCUCUACUCGCAUAUUAAGAAAUUCGAGGAGGUUUGUAAUACAUUCCAAGAAGGAGGAGCUUCAAUUGACUUGAUGAGGCUCAAGCUAUUUCCUUUCACUUUGAAGGAUAAGGCUAAGAUUUGGCUUAAUUCUUUAAGGCCAAGGAGUAUCCGAACUUGGACUAAUUUGCAAGCCGAUUUUCUUAAGAAGUUCUUCCUUACCCAUAGGACCAAUGGUUUGAAAAGGCAAAUUUCGAACUUCUCAGCUAAAGAGAAUGAGAAAUUCUAUGAGUGAUGGGAGAGGUACAUGGAAGCUAUUAAUGCUUGUCCUCACCAUGGCUUUGACACAUGGCUCUUAGUGAGUUAUUUUUACGAUGGUAUGUCUUCUUCAAUGAAGCAACUCCUAGAAACUAUGUGUGGAGGAUACUUCAUGAGUAAGAAUCCGAAGGAAGCCAUGGACUUUUUGAGUUAUGUGGCUGAAGUUUUAAGAGGAUGGGAUGAACCAAAUGCUAGAGAGGUGGAAAGAAUGAAGUCUCAACCUAAUGCUAAGGGUGGGAUGUAUGUUUUGAAUGAAGACAUUGACAUGAAAGCAAAGGUUGUAGCUAUGGCAAGGAGAUUGGAAGAGCUAGAAAUGAAGAAGGCACAAAAAGUGGAAGCCAUUUCUGAGACAUCAGUGCAAGCUAUGCCUUGUUCCAUUUGUCAACCUAAUGCUAAGGGUGGGAUGUAUGUUUUGAAUGAAGACAUUGACAUGAAAGCAAAGGUUGUAGCUAUGGCAAGGAGAUUGGAAGAGCUAGAAAUGAAGAAGGCACAAAAAGUGGAAGCCAUUUCUGAGACAUCAGUGCAAGCUAUGCCUUGUUCCAUUUGUCAAUCUUAUGAGUACCUAGUGGAGGAGUGUCCUACAAUUCCAGUAGUGAGAGAGAUGUCUGGUGAUCAAGCAAAUGUUAUUGAUCAAUUCAAGCCUAAUAAAAAUGCUUCAUAUGGCAACACCUACAAUUCAAAUUGGAUGAACCAUCCAAAUUUCUCUUGGAAACCAAAGCUACCUCAAUACACACAACCUGCUCAAGCACCUUAGCAAUCCUCGAAUCUUGAACAAGCUAUUGUGAACCUUAGUAAGGUUGUGGGAGAUUAAAAGUCCAUCAAUGCUCAACUGAAUCAGAGAAUUGACAGUGUAGAGAGUACAUUGAACAAAAGGAUGGAUGAGAUGCAAAAUGAUCUGUCUCAAAAGAUAGACAAUGUCCAAUAUGCAAUCUCAAGGCUUACCAACCUCAACACAGUGCAAGAGAAAGGAAAGUUUAUUUCUCAACCUCAUCAAAAUCCCAAGGGUAUCCAUGAAGUGGAGGCUCAAGAGAGAGAAUCUUCAAAGGUGAGGGAAGUCAAAGCAGUUAUCACCUUGAGGAGUGGUAAAGAGGUUGAUCAACCCACAUCCAAGCCAAAGCAUAAUGAAGAGAGUUUUGUAGAAAAAGAAAAGAGAGGAAAAUAAAGGAAAGAGAAUAGAGAAAAGUACAAAGAAAGAUGACCAUGAGUCUAGUGUGGAUGAAGAGCCCAAGAGGAUAGUGAUCAAGGAAAAUAUGAUGAAGAAACACAUGCCUCCACCUUUCCCCUAAGCUUUGCAUGACAAAAAAGGAACCAAUAAUACAUCGGAAAUUUUUGAAGUAUUGAGGCAAGUGAAGGUCAAUAUCCCUUUGCUAGAGAUGAUCAAACAAGUGCCGACAUAUGCAAAAUUCUUGAAGGACUUGUGCACUGUAAAGAGAGGGUUGAAUGUGAACAAGAAAGCUUUCUUGACCGAGCAAGUGAGUUCCAUCAUACAGUGCAAGUCUCCAGUGAAGUACAAAUAUCCGGGCUACCCUACCAUCUCAGUGAGUAUUGGAGGUACUUGUGUGGAAAAAGCUUUGUUGGACUUGGGAGCAAGUGUGAAUUUGCUACCCUACUCUGUCUAUAAGUAGUUGGGACUUGGAGAGUUGAAGUCAACAUCCAUCACCCUAUCUCUGGCAGAUAGAUCAGUGAAGAUUCCAAGAGAGAUGAUAGAAGAUGUCUUGGUUCAAGUUGACAAAUUCUACUAUCCAGUGGAUUUUGUUGUUCUUGAUACGGAUCCGAUUGUCAAAGGAACUAAUUAUGUUCCUAUCAUACGAAGACCCUUCCUAGCUACAUCAAAUGCAAUCAUCAAUUGUAGGAAUGGAGUCAUGAAACUCACGUUUGUCAACAUGACAUUAGAGCUCAACAUCUUCCAUUUGUACAAGAAGCAUAUCCAUUCAGAAGAAAAAGAAGGUCUAGAGGAAGUGUGCAUGAUUGACACUUUAGUGGAGGAGCAUUGUGAUCGACAAUGCAAGAAGAUUUAGUUGAGAGUUUUGGGGAUCUUGAUGAAGGGUUACUUGAACCCUCAGAUUUGCUUGCUACCCUACUCCAUUGGAGGAAGAGAGAAGAAAUUCUACCCUUAUUCAAUGAGGAGGAGACACAAAGAGCUGCUAAAGAUAAGCCCCCAAAGCUUAUUCUUAAGCCACUACCCACAGAGUUGAAGUAUGCAUACUUGGAAGAAGACAAGAAGUGCACUGUUGUUAUAUCUUUAGCUCUUACCAUUCAUCAGGAGGAUUGUCUACUUGAAGUCCUUAGAAGAAGUAAGAAGGUAAUAGGGUGGCAAAUUUCUGAUUUGAAAGGGAUCAGCCCUUUUGUCUGCACCCAUCAUAUUUACAUGGAGGAUGAAGCUAAGCCAAUUCAUCAACCUCAGAGAAGGUUGAACCCUCACAUGCAAGAAGUGGUGAGAGUUGAAGUUCUUAAGCUACUUUAGGCUGGUAUUAUUUACCCCAUAUCAGAUAGCCCAUGGGUGAGUCCUACUCAAGUUGUGCCAAAGAAGUCGGGGAUCACGGUGGUGCAAAAUGAUAAGGGAAAAGAUGUCUCUACAUGUCUCACUAUAGGUUGGAGGGUGCGUAUCAAUUACAGGAGGUUGAAUGUAGUGACAAGGAAUGACCAUUUCUCGUUGCCCUUUAUUGAUCAAGUGCUUGAGAGGGUCUCUGGGCAUCCUUUUUAUUGUUUCUUGGAUGGCUACUCGAGGUAAUUUAAGAUAGAAAUUGAUGUUGAAGACCAGGAGAAGACCAUUUUCACAUGCCCAUUUAGAACCUAUGCAUAUAGGAGAAUGUCUUUCGGCUUAUGCAAUGCACCCACAACUUUCCAAAGAUGCAUGUUAAGCAUUUUCAAUGAUAUGGUGGAGCAUAUUAUGGAAGUCUUUAUGGAUGAUAUCACCAUAUAUGGAAGUGCAUUUGAUGAAUGCUUGGUCAACUUAGAAGUUGUUCUGAACCGAUGCAUUGAGAAAGACUUAGUGCUUAAUUGGGAGAAGUGCCAUUUCAUGGUACACCAAGGGAUUGUCCUUGGGCACAUCAUCUCCAAGCAAAGCAUUGAAGUUGACAAAGCAAAGGUUGAACUCAUUGUUAAGUUGCCAUUCCCAACAAAUGUCAAAGGAGUAAGGCAAUUCCUUGGCCAUGCCGGGUUCUAUAGGAGGUUUAUCAAGGAUUUCUCUAAGCUUGCAAGGCCUCUUUGUGAAAUAUUGGUGAAGGAUGUUAAAUUCAUAUGGGAUGAUAGAUGCCAAAGGAGUUUUGAAGAAUUGAAGCUAUUUUUGACAACCUCACCAAUAGUGAGGGCUCCCAACUAGCAACUGCCCUUUGAGGUAAAGUGUGAUGUCAAUGACUUUGCUAUAGGAGCUGUUCUUGGGCAAAGAGAAGAUGGAAAACCUUAUGUGAUCUACUAUGCGAGCAAGACAUUGAAUGAGGUGCAAAGAAACUACAUAACCACCGAGAAAGAAUUGUUAGCUGUAGUUUUUGCCUUGGAUAAGUUUCGUGCUUACUUGGUGGGAUCCUUCAUCGUGGUUUUUAUUGAUCACUUUGCUUUGAAGUAUCUAUUGACUAAGCAAGAUGCUAAAGCAAAACUGAUUAGAUGGAUUUUCUUGCUUCAAGAGUUCAAUCUCCAGAUCAAAGACAAGAAAAAAAUGGAGAAUGUGGUAGUAGACCACAUUUCAAGGCUAGCUAUCGCACAUAAUUCCCAUGCUUUGCCCAUUAAUGACGAUUUUCUAGAGGGGUCUCUCAUGUUGGUGGAAGUUGUCCCUUGGUACGCUCACAUUGCUAACUACCUGGUCACAAGAGAAGUUCCAAGUGAGUGGAAAGCACAAGAUAAGAAGCACUUCUUUGCAAAAAUUCAUGCCUACUAUUGGGAAAAGCCAUUUCUAUUCAAGUAUUGUGCGGAUCAGAUAAUAAGGAAGUGAGUUCCUGAAGAAGAGCAACAGGGGAUCCUCAGUCAUUGCCAUAAAAAUGCAUGUGGAUGCCACUUUGCUUAUCAGAAGACAACCAUGAGGGUGCUGCAAUCGGGUUUCUGUUGGCCAUCACUUUUCAAAGAUGCCCACACCAUGUGCAAGAGUUGUGAUCGAUGCCAGAGGCUUGGGAAGUUAUCAUGUAGGAACAUGAUGCCUUUGAACCCCAUUUUAAUAGUUGAUCUUUUUUAUGUUUGGGGCAUUGACUUCAUGGGACUUUUCCCUAUAUCUUUUGGCUACUCUUACAUCUUGGUGGGAAUAGAUUAUGUUUCUAAGUGGGUUGAGGCAGUCCCAUGCAAACACAAUGACCAUAGAGUGGUUCUCAAGUUUCUUAAGGAGAACAUCUUCUCAAGAUUUGGGGUGCCCAAAGCCAUAAUUAGUGAUGGGGGUACUCAUUUUUGCAACAAGCCUUUUGAAACUCUCCUAGCCAAGUAUGGGGUGAAGCAUAAGGUAGCUACACCUUACCACCCUCAAACUAAUGGGCAAGUUGAGUUAGCAAACAAGGAGAUUAAAAACAUAUUGAUGAAGGUGGUGAACACAAACAGAAAAGAUUGGUCAGUCAAGCUCUUCGAUUCACUAUGGUCAUGUAGAACAGCUUACAAGACCAUUAUCGGGAUGUCUCUUUAUCACCUAGUCUAUGGAAAAAAUGCCAUCUCCUUGUGAAAUUGGAAUACAAAGCUUGGUGGUCAAUCAAGAAGCUCAACAUGGAUUUGAGCAGAGCUGGGUUGAAGAGGUUCUUAGACCACAAUGAGAUGGAGGAAUUGAGAAAUGAUGCCUACAUCAAUUCAAAAAUUGUAAAAGAAAAAUUGAAGAGGUGGCAUGAUCAGUUGAUUUCCCGCAAGAAUUUUCAAAAUGGAUAAAGAGUCUUGCUCUAUGACUCUAAACUCCACAUCUUUCCGAGCAAGCUGAAAUCAAGGUGGAUAGGUCCUUUUACCAUUCACCAAGUGCAUUCAAAUAGAGUAGUGGAACUACUCAACUCCAACAACAUCGGGAGCUUCAAAGUGAAUGACCAUUGUCUCAAGCCCUUUGUAGAGUCUUUUUUCUCGCGACAAGGAGGAAUUCAUCCUCCUUGAUCCACAUCAAGCUUGACAAGACCAGUUUUUUUUUAUGGACUUAGUCUUUCUAAAGACUAUCGAGUCCAUAACUUUUUAUUUUAUUUUUUAUUUGAGAGUUUUUCGGUAUUAUUACUUGUUUUGUUUUUUAUUUUUCGUUUUACUUUUAUUUGGUUUGAUUUAACUUAGAUUUUUUAUGAUCAAUUGCAGGGGGGAUUUCAAAUAGAGGAAAAACCAAGAUAAUUCGCACACCCUGCGAAAAUUUCGCAAGGCAUGCGAAAUUUAUGGCUCAUUUCGCAUGGGAUGCGAAAUUUCGCACACCCUACGAACCAAUUUCGCACACUUUGUGAAAAUAAACCAACCCUACGAAAUCAUUUCAAAUACUCUACGAAAUUUUCGCAGAGCAUGUAAAAAAUUUCGCAGACCAAACACCAUUUCGCAUACUAUGCGAAAAUGUAAGGGGUCUACAAAACCAUUUCGCACCUCCAAAGCCAUUUCGCACAUUGUGCAAAAAUGAAAAGUCGCCCUAUCAUCCAUUUUUAAACCCCUUGAGCCCUGAAAUCCCCAUUUCGCAAGCACCCCUGUCCUUGCGAAUCCCUCAUUUUCCUCUGCCACCUUGCGACCUUGUCCCUCUCCAUUUGAUAUCGUGCCCUGCGCACAUCUCAUUUCAAAGACUCGCACUCUGCGCCCUCUCAAAGCACGAACCCAAGGCUCACAUUCCAUUUCCGACAUGGCACAGACCCGAGGAGCCCUUCCCGCCCCUUCAUCGAGACGCACACCAAGGUAGAGAGCCUCUUUUGCUCAGAUGCCAAGUGAUUCUCCAUUUCAGGCCACGGAGGCCCUGCGGAUUCCACAUUCCAAGGGUAGAACAGCCACUGGUCCUUCCUCUUCUAUUCCUCAGCGUAGAUAUGAGACGAGGAGACCACCUACUACACAAAGGGCGACUACUUCGCGCCAUGAGAAUUCGGUACGACACCCUCCUGCCAAGAGGGCCAGGACUUCAGGCCCAGGCGAGUCAUCCAAAGCUUCACAGCCUGAGCCUCCUGCAGAUUCCGAGGUUCCUACUGACAUAUCAUCGGAGUCUAUUAUCAAACGCCCGAUGCUCACAGCACCGCCCAUUGAGGGCAACUCUGAUUGUAGAGCGAGACCUUUCCACUUGGAGCUAUAUUUUAAUUAAGAGGCCAUGCCACAGCAGCCUGAGCUCCAAGACUCUUAUGGCUUACUACAGAGGUACCAUCUUGAGGACCUUAUGACUCCUCGUGAGUUCUUUUAUCCCAGAGUAGCACUAGACUUUUACCAGUCCAUGACUACUCGUGGCGUCCCGAGUCCUACCGCGAUGCACUUCACCAUUAAUGGACGUCAUGGUAUCCUCGAGGCCAGACAUAUUGGAGAGGCUCUACAGAUUCCUUUCGAGCUAGAGGACCCAUCUGUUUUCUGCCAAUGGUCCCCAAUAUCUCAGAGGGACAUGGUCCAUAUUUUAUCCAGGGGGACAUCUACAUAUUCGAUCCUUCUACGGAAGGAGCUUCGACCUGGGAUACUCCUCGUAGAUGUGGUGCUACUUUCCAACCUCUUUCCCUUUUAGCAUUCGAUACAUAGGCGAGGAGCUAUUUUGGACGCUUUAUUCUGUAUAUCAGAGGGCUUCUACUUUGGCCCGCACCACUUGAUCAUGGUUUCCCUCAUCCAUUUUGAGGAGAAGGUCCAUAGAAAGAAGCUUCAGAGGGCGAACACCAUUCCAUUACUAUUCCCGAGGUUGCUCUACUAGAUCUUGGAGUACAUGGGCUUUCCUACUGAGCCUCGGCUUGUGUGCCGCCGCCUUUGUCAAGAGCGAUCCACUCUCGACAAAUGGAAUCAGUUGGCGGGCUAUUCUACACCUCCAGGAGCCCCUCCCAUGGUAGCACCUCUAGUGUCCCCACAGGCAGAGUAGGGCAAGCUCCCGGUAGAGACUGCACCCCUAGUGCCCACACCUGAGGCUACUUCUGCUGUUCCGCCUACGACUCCUACUGUUCCACCAGUUGGUCCUUUUACAUCUGAGUCUUCCAUCAACAUCUCGACUUCGGAGUUUCGCGCCCUUGUGCAUACCUUUCAGACACUCACCACCACACAUACUGCUCUCUUCUAGAAAAUGGCUGAGAUGCGUGCCCAUCAGGACCAGCAGACUACUAUACUCCGCCAAAUUCAACAGCACCUGGGACUUCUGCCUCUGCCUCAGCUUGACCUUCCCACAUCAUCAGAGCCUCUAGCUCCAGUUGAGGAUACUAUUCCACCUGAGGACACUACCACAGUAGAGGUUCAGAUUCCACCACCUCAGGAGGCCACCACAGCUACAUUAGAGGAUGCAUCAUCUCCACCUGAGGCUCCCACUACUUGAUCAUAGGACAUCUCUUUAUCUUAUUGUAUUUACAUAUUAUAUUACUGGAGAUUUGUCUUUGUUUUGAUACUUUAUAUUCUGGCAUUGAAUGUAUUGCCUAAUGAUAUCUCAAUUGUACUUUCUCAUAUUAAUAUAUAGACAUCAAUUUUUUUUAGUAUACUUAGGAUUUUUCUAUUUACUCUACUCAUUACUCUUUUGUUUUUUUUUUUUUACUCAUGUGGUUUCUCCUAUACGACUCAGACUCCAUUUCACUCAGGAGGUACCACUUCUUCCCUUUAUUUUCAAUUGCUCUUGAAACAUUGAGGGCAAUGUUGAUCUUGGUUGGAGGGAGAGUUGAGGAAGGAAGUGAUUACUACUCAAAAAGUGCUAUUUCAUAGCUUGUAAUUAACUCUUUUAAAACACUUUUGAGUAGUAGUUAUCACCUUUUAACCCAAUUAACAUAUUAAGGACCCUUGCAAUCAAUUCUAAUCAAAUUGUGUUAAGUUUUGGUAUUUUGAUAGCUUUUUUAUCACCAAAGCAAUCCGAGAUUGAGGAUAUUUAUUUGGAAUCCAUGGCAAAAGAUGUUUGGACAGGACGUCCGGACACACCAUCGGAGGGCGGCGGAACGUGGGCUGUGGCAGGCUGUCGGAAUGACGUAGCAAGGCUUGUGCACUUUAGCCAAUGAUCGGGAUAACAUAUCCGAAAUUCUGCUCCGCCGACAUUCCACCCGGAUGUCUCACAUCCGGAAUUCUGCUCCGCCGACAUUACACCCAGAUGUCUCACAUCCAAAAUUCUUCUCCGUCGACAUUCCAUCCGAAUAUUUCACAUCCGACGCUUGACGCCGGAUGGGAGAGGAGGGCGUUUCAACUUCCCCGGUCAGACAUAUCCGAAUCCUUUGAUAACGCUUACCCGGAGAGUUUCGCAGCCAUUUUGCACAGUGCCGCGGUGUUCUCUUGAAGCUUCCCGAUAUGUGCGACCGACAUUUUGAGAUAUUUUGCUUUAGAUAUUUGAUGUCUAAAUCCCCAAACUCUCCUUGUAACCCACCAAUUAUAGGAUUCCUUAGUUAUUAAGUUUGGAAAAAUGGUGAAUAACCCCUUAUAUAUAGUUUGCAAUUUUCAUAAAAAAGAUAUGUAGAAUCUCGGGAGCUUGUUCCCAGAGAGACGCAUCCUUUGUACAGUUUUGGAAGGAAGUAAAAUACAGAGCACUUGCUCUGCUUUUCAUAUAUAUUUUUGUUUUCUCGUUCUUUUUAUUUCUAGCCAAUCAAAGUCUGAGGAUUUUUCCUCAGAGGAUGAGAGGCUAGGCUCUUCGUCUCUUGGAGUGAAGAAAACUAGGUAAGUUUCCACAUGCAUAAAUUGAAAGUUUUGUUGUUUUAGUUUUUAAUGAAGAGAAAGUGUGACCCGUUAAUGGUUUUUAUCUUUUUAGUUAACUUAAAACGCCUUUAAAUCACCCGGGCCAACACUUGAUAAGGCAAGUGGUCUCCAUCCAUUGAGAUGCACUAGUUUAUCUCUUGCGAGCCUUUGGGAGGUGGUUUGAAGGUAGGAUUUUCUAGAAUAACCAACACUUGAUAAGCUUUUGGACUCUAAGGAGACAUCCAUUAGUUAUCUCUUGCGAGCUUUUGACGGGUAAUCCAAGGUUAAAGAUCACCUUGAAUGGCAAGUACUAGGUGAGAGGUAUGAGCCAUUGCAAGAUGCAUUAGUGAGAGGGAUUUAGUGUUUGAACCCAUUAAAGGGAAGCAUCUGUACCACACCGGUUCGGGAAAUAACUAUAUGUUAAAUCCCCAAUGAGAGGAAAAGAAACAAGUGACCGGAACUCCCUUUUUGUAUAAGGAACCUGAGCCUAGUGAUCUAAACUCCAAGAAACACUUUUCUUUGUAAGUAAAAUCAGUUACUAUUUUUGGUUAGUUUAAAACCAAACCUUUUUCAUUCAAACAUCUUUAUGUUUUCUUUUAAAGCUAACCUUGAAAUGAAAAGGCACCAAUUCAUAUUUGAAUUAAUAUCAAUUGUGAAGUGAAAACCCAUCCCAGUGAACGAUCCUAGAGCCACUAUGCUAUAGUAGCUUUGUCUUUGCUACCCUAGUUCAUGGUUUAAUAGGUUAUAAAUUUUGUUGAUUACUCCCACAAUCAAAGGAGCACCAGUUGGACAUGAAUCAACUGAGACACUAAUUGGGCACAAAUCAGGAAGUUUUGUUAAUAAUGCUAGGUUAAUUUGUUAAUUUAGUUACUUUCUGCUUAAUUUUAAAAGUUUUCACUUUACUUUCCAUAGUUAUUAAGGAAAAAUUCUCAAAAUGAAAUGGGAGAAAUUGAAUUCUUACAUUUUUACUUGAAUUUUAGAAUUUGUAUUAUGCUUAUUGAAGCUGAUGAAUUAUUGAAACUCCUAUUGAAUUCAACCUUAUUUCUUCCACUUUAAUCUUACCACACACGGUGCACAUUAGGUUCCGAUUAUAAGAGGUGCGUUCUUAGCCUAUUGGAGGUUGGUCAAUUUGUUAAAGUUUGAGAAAGAUCUAGGUUAGGGGAGAGAGAAUAGUCUGACAUACUAUAAUCGAAAACUAAUAAACUUAACACUUAGAUCUUUGUGGAAGAGUAAGGAUUGGACCUUUGGGAGUGGAAAUUCGUUUGAUGCUUAAAUUUGCAUAAUGCUUACACUUUAUAAAUUGUGAUUAGGCAAGAGAUUUGAUGACUCUUGUUCAAGGUUGGGUUUUGCCUCUUUGAUGUUCCAUGAGAGAGUAUAAUCCUCAUCAUGCCACUUGAAAUUUUUUUUGGAGUGAUUAACAUGAUUUUGUAAAUUACUUUACUGUCUAUUUUUUUUUUAUCUCUCCUUCAUUGCUAAUGGACUAGCAAUAUGUCAGUUGAGGGGAGUGAUUACUACUCAAAAAGUACUCUUUUAUAGCUUGAAACUAACUGUUUUGAACACUUUUGAGUAGUAGUUAAUACCUUUUAACUCAAUUGGCACAUUAAAGAACCUAGCAAGGGUUACUAAUUAGUUUUUGGCAAGUUUUGGUGUUUUUGGUAGCUAUUUGAUCAUUGAAACAAGCCAAGAAUGAGGGAGAAUUUUGUGAAGUCCAUGGCAAUGCAAGUUAAAGCUCAAAUACAUGAAGAAUCCAAGCUUUGGAGCACUUCAUAGCCCUUUCCAAAGCCAAUCAGAGAUGCAAGGAAGAAAACCAGAGGAAGAAAUCCAACAAUUAGCAUUUUCGCAUGGCUGUGCGAAAUUUCGCACACCAUGCGAAACCACAAGAGGCAGCCAAAGAAUUUUGCACACUAUGCGAAAUUUCGCAUGGUAUGCAAAAUCUUCUUGUGCACCAACUCCGUUAUAUUUUUAUCUCAAAUAUUUUGUGUAAUUUCCUAGUUUCUCCUUGUAACCAACCUAGAUAUUUUCUUUUAUAUAUUUUUUAGGUAACAUCAUCUAUAGGGGGAGAGACAUAAGGAGGAUAUGGAUGUUUUUCAUAGAACACUUGUAAAUUUCCGGUAGUAAGAAAUAUACAGAGCUUUUUGCUCUACCUUACCUUCUCAUUUUGUUUUCACUUGUCUUUCUAGCCAAACAACCUCUGAGGAUGAUUUCUUAGGGAAUGAGUGGCUAGGUUUUACGUUUCUUGGAGUGAGGGAAGCUAGGUGAAAGACCCGAAUGCUAAGGUGGGAGUUGUCCUUGCUUUAAAUGAAAGUAGUUGUUAAACAUUAAUGGUUUUUAUUUUAAGGUUUAGCUUUAAAUCCCUUAAAAACAUCUUGAAUGGUCAAUACUUGGUAGGCUUUUUGGAUUCUAUGGAUGCUUAUUGCUAGAUCCCUGGAUGUCUAUUAGUUAUCAUUUAUGAGCCAUUGGAAGGUGGUUCAAGAUGAGGGUCUUUAAUGUUUGAAGCCAUUAAUAGGAAACAAUUACCAUUCUUUCAUGAAUCCUUUGGAUCAAAUCUUAAUUGCUAAAUAUAAAACUAGUUCGGGAGAUAACCAUCCUUUAUGUUAUUAUGCCCAACGCGAGGAGAAGAUUCGGAAUCUUCCCCUUUGUCUAAGGAACCCGAUCCUAGUGACCUAAAGCUCUAAGAGACCUUUUCUUUAUAGUUAACUUCACUUAUUGUUUUUUCUUAACUUAAAAUCAAUCUUUGCAACCACAAUUCCAUUUUCUUUGAAAGCUAAUUUUCAUAAGGAAAAUCACCAUUUUAUUUUCUUCCCUAAGUCAACUGUACGAUGAAAACCCAUUCCCAUGGACGAUCCUAGAGCCACUAUACUAUGUUAGCUAUGCUACCCUAAUGUGAGGUGAUUUAGGUUUUAUAAAUUUUGUUGAUAACACCUGUUUGAGCCAGAAUCAAAUGGCGCAACUGAACCAGGGACGAAUCAACAACUUAUAUGGGAGGGACACAAGUUUAAUUGAUUUGCAUUUCAACGUUAUAUAUAGGUAUGUUUUGGAAGAUUUGUUCUGGAAAUACUGCACCAAGUACGAUUCUUUUUGUCUUGAGUGGGUCUACUUGCAUGCCAAUUAACGAGUGGAAAAGUAGGAGCACCUACCUCAUGCUCGCGGAACCGAAGGUCAGUGAAGUGGGGCUCCUUUUGGCCUCUUGUGUUUCUAUUCCAACCAAGGCGGCGUAAGGAAAAACAACAAUAUGUUUGUGCUAAAUAUCAACGCAUGAUAGAUGUUUUUGUUUUUUGGUAUGUCAAGGCUAAUGAAUGAAAUGCUUUAGCUUGUUUUGUGACUGGAACUGCAAAUGUCCAAAUUGGAGUAUCUCCAUUUCUCACUUCGGAUGGUUAACUUAUAAACAAGAUAUAGGAAACAUGUGAACAUCUUGAGGAACAAUUUGAAUUAUUCAUUAGAAGUCCUGGGUUGAGUUCCAAGAUUUAAAUUAGACCCCUCUAGCAGCUUCAGGGGUACCUAGCAACCUAUAGCAUAUUAAUGAAGAUUUAGGAUUUAGACUCUAGAAUACAAAUUAAUAUGUAUCUCAUGCUUUGACUAGCUUCCCUACAUAUGCACAAAAUGGAGAUGACCUAAAAAAAUAGCAGAAUCUAGCUUCCCUACAUAUGCACAAAAUGGAGAUGACCCAAAAAAUAGCAGAAUUUCCUUAGUUUCUGUGGUUAAGGUGAUUCUCCGCUUAAUAUCACAUUGACUCAUUAUGCAAAAUCAACUGAGCUAAUUUUGUUUAUUUAUUUAAUGUCAAAUAGGAACUCCUAAUUAACCUAACCCUUGGCCUGUGUAAAUUGAUUUCACAUGCCCAAUGUUGAAGUAGAAGUCCAUAUUUUGAAUUUUAUUUUUGUAAAGGUAAGGAAAAUGAAGCAUUGUGUAAUUAUAAAAAUAACUUCAUUGGAAUUCACAAGGUUCACCCAAAAUGGAGCUACAUCCGUAUUCUAUCCUGCAGUAGACUAUAUAGAUUGUACAAUAGUAAAUUGCAAAUACAAUUAAUAAGUCUUGUGCUUCCUUACUAAUAAUCCUUUGACAUGAACAUUGCAGCACUAAGGUCCUCUUGGGAAGACACCUUGCACCCAUGAGAGCACGAAGAGGAAGCAAGGCAGAGUCAUGGGUGCAAUGUCAUGACUUGUUGUUGCACCAAGAGAGGCUUGGUGAUGGCAUGGUGUUGCAGUAGCAAGAAUGUUGCCUUGGUAGGGACAUAAUCUAGGGAUAGAUGCCAAGAAAGGCUUAGCACUCACAUGAGUUGCACAAAGAUGAAUGUAAUAGAGCAUCAGAGAGACGUCUUGGCAAGUAAAUGAAUGGAUCCAAGAGGCAACAACAUGAGGAGUUUCAAAUGGAUAAGGAAUGAGUCAAAGACAUUUGAAAGCUACAAGUUGGAUUCUAAUUACGAUUGCAAUUUGAGUUUGAGUAGGAGUUUAGAUUCUGAUUGUAAUUGUAGUAUGAGUUGGACUAGGAUUGCUUAUCCCUAGUCAAAAUAGGAGUGGUUCGUGUCACACCCUAUGAAAAGAGUUUGAGUAGGGACUAGGAUUGCUUACUCCUAGUCAAAUAUGGAGUAGGUGGUGCCACACCUAUAAAAAAAAAGGGACAACAUGAGAGAGAGAGAGAGAGAGAGAGAGAGAGAGAGAGAGAGAGAGAGAGAGAGAAAGAGAUAAUGAAUUCACUAAAGAUAUUGUGGGAGUUUUUCUUUGUUACGUCUUGUAUUAUUACUUAGAAUAGGAAUAAAAUACAAGUUUGGGCUAGAGCCCCAUAAUUAAUCUCGUGUGCCUUUGUGGUUAUUCUUUAUUUGUCAUCUCGUGUGGAUUGGAUUACAUUGACUUAGAGGGCUUCUAAGCACCACCUUUGUGGGUUAUUAUUUAUUUUCCAUUUCUUGUGGAUUAGAUUAGGUUGACUUUGAGGGCUUUUAAGCACCACCUUUGUGGGUUAUUCUUUAUUUUCCAUAUCGUGGGGAUUGGAUUAGGUUGACGAUGAGAAAAAUUAUGUGGGAAAUUUGUGUUGGGACACUUAUCAUAACCAGGUAAAAUCUGCCAAGUCCUUUGUAAUAUCUUCAACAAAUAUUUCAGACUAGUUCUUCACCAUAAACAUCAUAUUGUGUUUUGUUUUUCUCCUGGAUUCUGAGUUGAAUUGUUUCAAGUCAAUUGAAUGCAUCUGAAUAUUAUUAGCUUGUUUGAAGGCCUGGUGAUUUUCCAUUUAACUUUACUUUCUUUAGGUUAUGCUCACUAUAAGAAAAAUGAGAAAUAAUGACGCUUUUUACGCGUUAAGAAAGGCAACAGAUGAUGCUUCUCUAAAGCGUCCUCUUCGGCUCUGUCAUUAUAUGUGUUAGCCAAUAAUGACGCUUCUAGGAAGUGCCAUCUUUGAAUAAUGUUAAUAACGACACUCGUAAAAAGUGUCAUCUUUAAACAUAUUCUGGUCAAAUAAUUUUUACAAAAUUAGUAAUCUUCAAGCCGUUUCUGAAUCAUAUCUGAGCCUAUUUCUGGGGACCAGAAAACCAUCUUUUUUCCAUUCGCCUGAGAGGUCUGAUUAGCAUUUCUGGAAUCAAUCUCUAAACCCAAGCUUCCCUCAUCUACCCAUUUAACCCUCAUGCCCUCCUGUUUGAACAACUUUCCCACUAUAUACACAAAUUUUUUACCUUCUGUUGUUGGUAUUCGACCUCUUCCCAUUCCCAGCACAGAAUCCACCAUUAGUGCCACUUUGUGAAUAAAAUCAUCGAACCAGAUCUUUCGGGCGGAAGAUGAGCUCCAGAGAAAUAAAAUUUUUGGGGUCUUCCCAGCAUGAAAGUCAUAGGUAGCAUUAAUGACAUCAAGAAAUGGGGCACUGUUGAGAAAAAACAUGUUCCCAUCAACCACCCAAGAAUUGUACCAGACUCCAAACACUUCUGGAUUACAUAUGCCUUUACUAAGAUAUAUUUCUUGAUCUCCAUAUCAGAAUCUUGGAGACUCUUCAUUUUAUGAGCUCUGACACUACUGUGAAAUUGGUCCACAUCAAUCACAGGAUGACCCCUUCUAGCAAGAUCAAGCAGGAAGUCUGAAUUCGGGCCCAUAAAAAUGUAGUUCUGAAUAUUGAAACUCUCAAAGUGGCACAACAAAUUCCUUAUGACUCUUUCAGAUGCUCCAAACAGGCUCACAAGUAUAAUGGUAUCCUGUUUUUGCACAGAGUAAAGAAAAUAUCCGAGUUCUUCAAAACUCCUUACAACUAUUCCAGGAUGUACUUCUUUGAAACAGAAAUCGUACCACUUUAGCUUAGUCAGAGGUUGAAUCUAAAAUAACAAAACCCAAACUGAAAUCAAAAUCGAAAUCAACCCUAAUAGAUUUCAGAAACAACAAAUUAAAAGAGUAAAGCACAAAAGGGGGAAAACACAUAUGAAGCAAUCUCCAUACAAGCCCUAACCUUAGAUAAACCCAAAAAAAAAAAUCAAAGCAGAGAGUUACCAUAGAGCAUCUCUGUUUCAAGCUUAGAAAAUGUUUAAUGCCAUUGAUAACUAGUUGGCUAGUGGUGGACUUCAAGCUUCUCUAUUUCGGUGUUAGUAGCUCUCAAUGGCUAUGGUGAGAACAAAGAAAUGAGAGGCUUAGGGUUUGGGAUGUGAGGUUAUUGAUGAUGAUGAGGAUAAAGUUAUGGGCUCUUGGAGGGGUUAGGGAAAUUGAAGAUGGCUGAGAGUAAAGGCUAGGGUUUUUGAGAUAGUUAAUAGCUUUUUAGGGUGUGACUGUCCAUAGAUAGAAGAUAAAUGAGGGUGUGAGAAUUUAUAGAUCUCUAGGUGAUAUGGCGGGUGUGAGAAUGAAAUUUUAGAGGGAAUUGUGUGUUUGGUAGAAAUUUCACACAUGCAUAUAUAAUGUUUCAGAACAUGGCACUUUAAAAAUACGACAAGGAAGAAAUUAUUUAUUGACGCUUAAAUAAAGCGCCAAGGUCUCCAACAUUUUUGCAAUCAAUGACGUUUGUAAAAGGUGCCAUUGAAUAGGAGUGCCAUUGCUUUCCCACAAAGCAUCAUUGUUAAUCAAGCCUUUAAAAAACGCCAAGAUAUGUUGCCACUUAGGUUAAAUAUUGACGCUUUUAAAAAACGCCAAGGAAAAAAACGUCAUUAUUCAUGUUUUUUGUAGUAGUGGCUUGAUUCCUAAAAAGUAAAGGAAAGCAAAAAGUAAAAAAAUAAAAAUGUGGAGAGUUAGGACAUGCGUUAUCUAAUUGUCCUAGUCCCAAAUAUAUUAAGAAAGUCAUGUAGGUUACUUGGAGUAACGAGUCAAGUAAAGCAAGCCUUCUAGUGUUUAAGACAUUAGAUAUUACCGAACUGAUUAUGUCAUUAAUGUAUUGCAUUUGUUGUUUCUAAUAUAUAGAAGAAGAUGAAAUUAUUGGAAUAAGUGGGAAAUAGGAAUAAAUCCAAGGUACCAAAAAGUCACUUUAUCUUAGAUGUUGUUGGAAACAUAAGUGAUUUCACAAUAACGACUAUGAGACAAUCAAGGAUUAAUAAGAUAGACUUUAUAUGAUAUACCUCCCAAUUAGAGCCUAAAAAUAUGGAUGAAGCACUUAGAGAUGAAUCUUCAAUUUUUGUACUAUAGGAAGAAUUAAAUCAAUUUGUUAGCUAUUCUUUGGAUAUUUGAUUCAUCACAAGCUACAAAUCACUUUUGAUGACCAAACACGAAACUAAGAGGAUUGGGCCCAAUUCGAUGCCUAUCAACAAUGAUUUGUAUUCCACCUCAUUAAUUAUUCAAAGUUGGGAAGCUAGGUCUAACCACUUUCUCUACCUGUUCACCCUUAGAGGAGCAGAAGAAAAUUCUAACUUUGGUGCCUAAUGCCUUUGACAAUCUUUCGACAAAGAGAGUUCACUAAUUACUUUGAUUAUUUCUCUGUUGGUCACUGGGGGACAAGACUUUUGUAAUGAAGUCAACUAGAACUUGCCCUUUGAGGGCCAUUCAUGGACGAUAUUACACCAUGAAUUCCCUUAGGUCAUGUUUGGUAUGUGAGAAUGAGGAGUGGAAUGGACAUCUUAUUCAUUUUUUCAUCUAUUCAAAUGUUGGGAUAACUCAAGUGACCAUGAGAAUGAAAUCAAGAAUGAUUCAAGGGAAAUGAAAUCUUACUUAUAAGUGUGAUUUCAAUUAAUCUCUAAUAGAAAUUAUUUUGAAUCAAUAGUGCAAGUUAUUUUUAAAAACAUUUUUCCAAAAUUAAAAAAAUCAAUUUUUUUUUUUUCGAUAAGUUGUUUUUAAAAGGAUUUUUUUUAUUUUGUAAAAAGAAAAUUGUAAUUCAAUUUAUAUAAUAUAAACUAAAUUUUAUUUUAUUCAAAAAGAAAUAAUUUUUUAAUUAUAAAUAAAUUAAAAAUAAAUACUUUUAAUAAAAUAUAAAUAGUAUUAUUAUAAUAAAAUCAUAAAUAAAUUUAAUUUUUUUUAUAAAUAUUAUAAAAAUAUGGAUAUUAACAUUGGAUAAUUGAUUUAUUUUGUUAAAAUAAAAAAUAAUAAUUUUUAAUAUUAUUUUAUGUUAAAUGAAUUUUAAAAUAAAGAAAGUUUAAUUAUUUUAAGGUAUAGAAGAGCCAAAUUUUGCAUUACAUACAUAACAAACAAUAUUUAUUAGAAACAUUUCUCAAGGAGAAUCUUAUUCCAUCUCACAAAGAUACUCGUUUAUUCGAUGUUUGACCAUCCGUAACAAUCAUGUCAAUUCUACUGAUUUAAUAAUUCCUUUACAUUUAUUACUCACUUAUGAACAUGGUAUUGUGAUUUAUUUAUUUAUUUGAUGUAUAAUUAAUUAAUCAAUUUUUUAAAUUUCAAAUUAUUUUUAAAAACUAUUCAUUAAGGAAUUUAAAGCAUUAAUUAUGUCUAUUAUUUUUUAUAGUCAUUAUAUAUAUAUUGAGUUUUAAUUUAUUUUUAAAAAUUAUUAAACUUAUUAAUAAAUUCAAUAUAAAGUCUCGUUUCAUUUGAAAUUCAUUUCUUUAGUGAAAAUUUUGAAAAAAAAAUUGUUAUUUAUUUUACUUUGUUUUAAAAAAAUUGUUUCUAGAGAACAAUAAUCAAAUAAUGGUAUGAAUUUUUAAAAACAAUUUUGUUUUUAAAUCAUAUGCCCAAAUAAUUUUUUUUUAUUUAGCAAAAAACUUUGUUGUAGUAUGUGGCUCAUAUUGAGGGAAAGACAUAUAUGGAGAAAAAUGUGCAAAUGUUGGAGUGGAGCGGAGUGGAAUGACGACAUUUGUCAUUCAAACUUGUAUUUUUAUUGUUAAGGGUGACCGAUAGGUUGGUACGGUUUAGGGGUAUUUUUGGAAUUUCAUUACCUGAGGGUUAGUAUAAAUACCAUUUUAUGUAACCCUAAUUUUACAUAUAAUGUAAGUUUUCUUCCUUGUUCUUGUGGACAUAGGCAAUCCGUCGAACCACGUUAAAUCUGUGUGUUUUUUUUUCUUUUUUCUUUUUCUCUAAUUUCUUCACCAGGAAUCGUUACACUAAGAUCAACAAACUCUCAAAGAUGAUUUUUAAAAUGAAAAAAAUAAUGUAUAGUGUGAGAAUUUUUUAUUUUUUAUUUUUUUAAAAUGAAAAUAAAAAAUUGCUUUAAGGUAAAAGUGUGGAUAUUAUUGUUAAUUUAUUUCAUUUUUCAUUUUCAUUUCCAUUGUUACCUACAAUUGAAAUGGAAACAACUAAUCAUUACAACCUUACAUUCUUAUAUGCAUCCAAAUACAAAAAUUGAAAUCACCAAAUUCAUAUUCAAGGCAAAAUAGGAAUGAAAACAAAUAUUCAUUCUCAUUCUUUAUUCCCACGUGUCAAACAUGACCUCAAAGUUAUAAACAUGAACAAGAAGUCCUUGAAACACCAAUGAUCUCUUCUGGUAUAUAUAUGAGCUUGAUUGACAACUGUUUUAAAUACAGUUUUUUUUUUUUUUGUUUUCAAAAUCAAAACAAAUUUAUUUUUAUUUUUUAUAAAUAGUAGUUUUUUAAUAUUUUUUUUAAACCUUAUUAUGAAAAUAGGAUGUUUUCUAAUAUCAUAUUUUAAUUAUUUUCAAUUAUUUUCCCUUCUUUUAAGGAGGGCUAUUUUAAAAAUAUGAAAAAUGAUACAAAAUAAAGCAUUACAAAUAAAAAUCAUUUUUAAGAAAUAUAUGAAAAUAAUUUGAGAACAUUUGAAGUUCCUUAAUUAAACUUUUGUUCUAGAAAAUGCAAGAAAACUGUUUUUGAAAAUUGUUUUCAUAAUGAUAUGCAUUGAUCGUUUAAAAUUUAAUUACAUGAUAAAAAGACCUAUGUAAAAACCAGAGUUAUAUAAUCAGUCAUAGAUCAAAUCUACUAAAUAUGAAAAGUAAGUACAUAGUUGUAUAUGACUUAGAUGGAGCCUUCUCCGAAUGACAUUCUUUAGUCGGUACUCAUAUUUUUUUGUUUCGUGUCUUCAACAUAACACCUCAUGAUCCUUAAUAAAUCACCUGAAAACUAUAUUAGCACCUUAUUGUUUAAUAUUUCUCUAAAUUUUUUUAUUAAGCAAAUAAAUUCCAAAUUUAAAAUGACAAAUAAAAUUUAUUAAUUUUUAAAAAUAAUUUAAAACUCAAAAACCAAUUUAAUUGAUAUUAAAAGUCAUGAAACUUAAUAAUAUUAGAAAGUCAUGUAUCCAAAUUUAUUUUAAAUGACUUGUUUAAUUUCUUGUUUAUAUAUAUUAUAUUUUUAUAAUUUUUUUUACUAUACAAAUAAAUUUUAAAUUAAACAAAACUUAAUGCGUUGAAUUCAUUAACGAGUCUAAUAAUUUUUAAAAGUUACUUAAAAUUUAAAUACUAAAUCAAUUAGUACCACAAAUUCAUGGAAAAAAAUUGAUUUAUUACUACUAUAUUGUUUCUCUAUUGCAUAGAACCAUUAUUUUUCAAUUUUUUCAUUUGGCAAAUGAACAUCAAAUUAAACAAGACUAAGUGUAUUAAAUUCAUUAAUGGGUCUAGUAAUUUUUUAAAAUAAUUUAAAAUUCAAAUAUUGAUACUCCAAAUUAAACAAGACUUAGGUGGUGUUUGUUUUUUGGUUGAAUAGAAAAAGGUAAAAUAUUUGACUUUUUCUAUUUAGUUAAAAGUAACUUGUUGACAUCGUCCAAUAUAAUUAAAGUAAACCUAUUGAGGGCAAGUUCACUUUAAUUAUGUUGGACGAUGUCAACAGGUUACUUUUAACUCAAUAGAAAAAAUCAAAUAUUUUGACUUUUUUUUUAACUCAAAUAAUAAAUCCAUUAAUACAAAAAAAUUAUGGAUAAUUUGAAACUUUCUUUCUUUUUUUUUUUUUUUUUGCUACACAUAGCUAUAUUUUUAUAAAUUUUAUCAUUAGAGAAAUGGAUUUCAAAUCAAGUGAAACUUUGUAUUGAAUUAAUGGAUUUAACAUUUUUUAAAAAUAAUUUGGAACUAAAAAAAAAAGAUUUAAUUACUAAGAAAAUCAUAGAUCAAAACUAAUAUAUUCUGAUCCAUGAUUUUAUUAUUUUUCCUAUACAUACAAUUAUAUUUUUAUAAUUUUCUCACUAGGUAAAGAUAUUAUAAAUUAAGUGACACAUAAUUAAUAAUUUAAAUUUUUGAAUGAAUCUUUUAAUUUUAGGAAUAAUUUGAAAUUUAAAAAGUUGAUCCAAUUAAUUGUAAAUUAACUUAAAAUAUUAUAAAAUAUUAUGUUCAUAAUUAAGUACUAAAUGUAUAUAUGUAAUGAAAACUUAACUAGUUACAUGUUACAAAAGCCAAAAUUUAUUCAUUCUUUAUUUUAAAUAAAAUAUUAUUAAUAAUUAUUUUUUUUAAAAUAAUAUUUAGUAAUUAUUGUUUUUAAAUUAUUAUUAUUAAUUUUUAAUAAAAAAAUUGCAAAGUUAUUAAUAUCAUUAUAUUUCUAACAUAAAUUUAAAUAGUAUAUUUUUUAAUAUAUAUAUAUAUAUAUAUAUAUAUAUAUAUAUAUAUAUAUAUAUAUAUAUAUAAUUUAUGAUUUCAUUAUAAUAUUUUUAUUCAUGAUUGACGAAAAAUUAUUUAUUGUUUAAUUUAUUUGAAUUGCAAAACUAUUUUUCAAAAUUCAAGCGAGAAAAUAGGCCUGGAUUUGAAUUUCCUGUAGAAGAGAAGGAUGUGGAGAAUAUGUUGGGAGUAUUUGUGGAUAAAGAAAAGGCCAGGGUACUGAGAAAGGAGAGAGAACUUGCUCUUGCCAAAAGAGCCCUGCACAGGUAUUCUACUGAUUCUAAUUAUCGGUUCUUACAUGAUCAGAUUUCAGAUUUAUUUGCUGAGCUUCUGAAAUCUGAUACAGUAUUUAAACUCCGGUGAGCUUUACAAGAUUAGUCUCGCAUCCAAUUCCAAAUGGUGUCCCACAAUUGAUUCUUCUUAUGAUAAAUCCACCUUGAUAUGUGAAAAUAUUGCUCGAAAGGUUUAUCCUCGCGAGGAAUAUCCAGAAUACUAAGGAAUUGAGGAGGCUCACUAUGUUUAUAGAGUCAGGGAUAGGUUGAGAAAACAAGUAGUUGUUCCAUUACAUAAGGCCCUGGAGUUGCCAGAGGUUUUCAUGUGUUCGAACAAGUGGGGAUCACUUCCCUACAACCCUGUGGCUUCAGUGGCCAUGAAAUCAUACAAGAGCCUCUUCUCAAACCAUGAUACAGAGCGGUUUGGUGAGUAUCUUGAGAAAGUGCAAACUGGGAAGGCUAAGAUUGCAGCUGGUGCAUUACUUCCCCAUGAGAUUAUAGCUUCAUUGAAUGAGGAGGAUGCCGAGAGAGUUGCCGAGCUUCAGUGGGCAAGAAUGCUGGAAGAUUGAUCAAAGAAAGGGAGGCUCACAAAUUGCAUUGCAGUAUGUGACGUAUCAGGAAGUAUGAGUGGAACUCCAAUUGAGGUGUGUGUGGCUCUGGGGCAGUUAGUUUCAGAGCUCAGUGAAGAUCCAUGGAAAUUAAGGUAAUGUAAUUACUUUCAGUGCAAAUCCUGAGCUUCACAAGAUCCAAGGAGACAGCCUUGUAUCCAAGACUGAAUUUGUGAGGAUGAUGGAAUGGGGUGCCAACACUGACUUUCAGAAAGUUUUGACAGAAUCUUACAAGUAGCAGUGGAGGGAAAUAUGAGUGAAGAUCAAAUGAUAAAGAGGGUUUUCGUUUUCAGUGAUAUGGAGUUCGAUGAAGCUUGUGGGAGGUAUAACUAUUGUGACUAUGACUAUGAUAUGGAGGAAAUUGACGAGAGUCAGAAGGCAUCUCAGAAGUGGGAGACAGAUUAUGAAGUGAUACAGAGGAAAUUCCAGGAGAAAGGAUACAGAAAAGUUCCAGAGAUAGUGUUUUGGAACCUUAGAAACUCAUCAGCGACUCCAGUGACGGCCACAGAGAACGGGGUGGCCUUAGUAAGCGGGUUUUCAAAGAAUCUGUUGACCUUGUUUUUGGAAGGAGGUGGAAUUCUGAUCCCUCAGGAUGUGAUGGAAUUCGCCAUCUCUGAUGAAGAUUACAAGAAACUUGUUCUAUUUGAUUAAGAUAUCAAGAGAUUUAUCAAUAAUAAUAUAUUUUUUUUCUAUGUGAAAUACAUAUAAUAUUAACUGUGGAGUUAUCAAAGUUCUGGAGGUUUAAUUAUUUCUUCUUUUCAAGUUUUGUUUAUUUAAGGUUUUCUUUGUCUUUGUUAGGAAUUCCCCUUGGGUGGACCCAGCUGGGGAGUUGGAUUGAGGAAGUAAGCAGGCGAACUUGUGUUCUUCUAUGGACAGAGAAAAAAAAUAAAAUAAAAAAAUAAAAAAGGAGGUUAUUUGCAUUUGGAUGUCGUGGUUUGAGGGUACAACUACAAGCUCGAAAUUGUACAUAAUGUGAAAACUCCUGUGUCCAUUGCUGAGAACAGCAUAAAUGAUGGUGAUUUUCAAGUUGUGCCUGGUAUUCUACAGGAUGAAACAAGAAAGGAUCCAGGUGGUAUAUUGAACAAUAUCCCAAUCAUGUUGGUGGCAUCUUUAUUUAGUUAAUGGUAUUCAUUUGGUGGAAGCUGGUUGUUUAUGAUGUUUUUAAUUUUUUUUAACAUGAAGUUCGAUCAAAUACGUAUCUUAGUAUGUUUUGUUUGAGCUAAUUGGCAAAUGCGCUUUAAACAUGGUCACAUGGAUGCAGUUUUAUUUGUGAAAUGAUAAUAGUCGAUUACUUGGUCAGUAAGGUUUAUAUCUCUAACUUCAACAUCUUAUUGUAGUCUUUUAAAAUGUCAAAAGUUUAAUGCUUGAGAAAUUUUGGAAUGGAGACAUUCUAAACAAAGUUAAUAAUCCACAAGACUUGGUAAAACCGAUCAGAUGAUGCUUACGUACAUCAAUGCCUUCUUUAAGCCAUAUCCUAUUUUCAUUGAACGGGAUGUGCCAUCUAGUUUGGUUCUUUAAGCCUCCAAAUCCUAAACCUAGUCUCAAUUUAGAGCAAAUUUAGGGUGCAGGGCCUGCAUGCCUCCCCCUCCCCCUUCCACAAAUAGUAGUGACCUUGCUAUGCCUAUGCAUUGUCAAUGCCUCAUUUUCUAUGGUCUCCAAUGUAAUAUCUUAGUUUCAAUGUCUCUUUCCUUACUAUCUCCAAUGCAAUAGAUUGAUUUCAAUACCUCUUUACAACUAAGACCUCCAAAUUUUCUUGGUUCAAACCUACCAGAAUUUUUCUUCUCCUUUGCUUUCUAUCAAUAUUAGUUCCCCUAAUUUAAUAUAUACUUCUUUAUUACCUUCAACUCUACCUCUCUUUCUUUCUCUAAAAGCUUCCUCAAAGAUUUAAUUGCUUUCUUGCAUGUUUUAAGAAAACAAACAUGCUCAUAUUACAUUACCUCUACUUGAGAUCUACCUUAUACUCUACCUUCUUUCUUUACCUCCUAUAUCAUCUACUACAUUAGCUUCAAAAAUAUUAUUUAGUUUGAUACUAAAUAAGGCUCCUAAUCCUACUCUUCCUUCAACAAACUUUCUUUUUACAAGUUCCUUAAACUUUAUUUUUUAUUUUUUAUUUUUUGGAAAUUCGGGUUAGAAAGAUUCCAUUACUCUUACCUAAUAUUUCAACCAUCAAGUUGAAUCCACUUAUUGCCUAAAUCCAAGGAGUCUGCCCUCCACAAAAACAAGGAAAUUGAUCCCACAAUAACAAGGAGAUUGCCUUCCACAGAAACAAAGAGAUCUCCCUUCACAGAAGCCGAAUACAUUGCAAUCUAUUUUCUUUCUUGUAAGAUCAAAUCUUCAAUCGAGCUCCAUCUUAUGGGGGCAUAUUAGAGAAAUUUAAUAUUAUCCUUAAUUUACAUAUUAAUAUUUAUCUAUUUAUUAUAUAUUGAAUUAAAAUAGAAUAUAGAAUUUGAAUCAUAGUAGAAGUUUACUAUAAGAUUGAAUUACAAUAGUUAAUAGAGUUUAAAUUAUAAUAACUCAAAUACAUUUAUAUAUAUUUGACCUUACGAGAUUUUCUAUUUAUGUAUUUGAACUACAAUCCUUAUGAUCCUUAGGUCUCUAUACCUUCGUGAUGGGCUCCUUGACAUUUCAUAGGUUGUGCUACACAUGCAUUUGAAAUUUAGAGUGCAUUUGACAGUGAUUCUGGGAAGUGUUUUUGGCAUUUCUAACACUUAAAAUUUUUUAUUUUUCAAGUAUUAGAAAUGCUACAAACACUUUUGAAAAUUACUGUCAAACACACUCUUAGGAGCGCAUAUAGUAGAAAACUAGAAAUUGUGGUUUUUUUAGGAUUUACUGUAAUGUCAUUAGGAGGGUAGUAAGUUGAAACUGAGUAUGAAUAAAUAUUUCUUUCUUUGGGAUGUUCUUCUGGUAGGUGCUGAUGAAACUGUUCUUUUUACUGCCAAUGUCACAUAUCAGCCAGAAAUUGAAAAUUUCAGUCAAGGUGUCCUCGGUUUUAGUGGUGAGGAAAGCUAGAAAUUUUAAGGUGAAGUUCUGUUAAAAACCUUAAGUAGCUGGGAUAUCAGGCCUGUUUUGCUUGAAAAAAAAAGUUGCAAGAUAACUCAUAUGCCAAACAGGUUCUGAUAUUGUGAAUCUAUCGGCAGACAUCAGUAAUCUCAUCUUCUGAGAUGGAUGUUGGGGGUGCAUGUGGUGGUGGAGGGGCAAGGUUUCAUUUGGUUUAUUUUGUUGAUGGAUAUUGUCUAGCCCCCUGCGCCAAGUUUGAGGGGUGGUGGGUUGUGAUGGCCCUACAAUUACUAUUAAUUUCUUCCUCUUUUACCGAUUAAAGUGUCCGAACAGUCGAAGUUACCCUUAUGCAUGUCAACUUGAUCACUUACCUCUUCAAUGGAGUUUAUGCUGGUUCAUUUAGGAACUGAUUUUUAUUGUUAUGCAUUCUAUGCUGAUGUUUAGGCCUCUCCAUCAUCACUAUAUACAAAAAUUCUAGGUUGAUACUAUAGGUUGAGAUUUAUUUUUUAAAUAAAAAAUAAUAAAAAUAAAAAUUAUGGUGAUGUUUAGUUGUUUUAUGGAAAAUUUUAACAAGUUAUUUUUGGGCAAGUUUUCAAACAAAAAGAAAAGUAAAAGUUGUUUUGACAAAAACAUAUAGAAAAAAAAAAUCAUAGAAAAGAAAUAAUUUCCCCAUAUUCUAACUUUUUUUAAUUUUUCUCAAUGGGCAAAGGAAUAUCAAAUCAAGUUUGAGUAGGAUUUCUUAAUUUUUAAAAUAACUUACAAUUAAAAAAUUUUGGUGUUUUCAUUUUUGGACAAUUUUUUAUUAAGCAAAUGGACUCUGAGUCAUGCAAGAGAUAUGGUUGAUUAAUGGGUCAAACAAUUUUUUUAAAAUAAUUUAAAACUCAAAUACAUAAUCAAUGUCACAAAAUUUAUAAACAAAAAUAGGUUUAGAGAAGAUCUACACAUAAUUUUACUUUUCUAAUUUUAUUUUAUUUUAUUUUUUUGUUGGAAAAUAGUCUUCAAAUCAUGUAAGAUUUAAUAGGUUAAAUUUGUUAACAAUAAAUUUUAAAUUAUAAAAUAUAAUCUGGAACUUAAAAAUCAAUUCAAGUAAUGCUAAAAAAAAUCAAAUUUGGUAUAGAAUGACUACGUAAAAUUUUUUACAAAACAAAUGAAUUUUAAAUCAAGUGAGAUUUAAUGCAUUAGAUUUUUAUCAAAUAUAGUAAUUUUAAAAUUUAAUUUGGAACUCAACAAUAGACACAAUAAAUACCAAAAAAUAAUGAACCAAAAUUGGUUUGGAAUAACUCCACAACCUCUUUUUUUUUUUUUUGGUGCACACGAAUUUUCUUACUAGGUAUAUUGCUUUCAAAUUGAGAAAGAUUUACUAUUUAGAUUUUUUUUUUUAAUGAGUUUAAUGGUAUUUUAAAAUAAUUCAAAAUUUCAAAAAUUGACUAAUUACUAUUAUAAAUUCAUAAACCAAGACUAAUUCAAAAUGCAUUGGGGGCUAAGGGGGUUGAAAAUAGGGACAAUGGGAUGGGUUUGGGACAUGACACUCAUAUCUCAUUUCCAUUCCAAUUACAUAGUUAUCUCCCAUCCUUAUCCCAAACUUGUGUUGGAGCAAGUUGAUUUGUUCCCAUCUUUGUUGAUGAAAUGACUAAUAACCUCAUCCCCUCCUUAUCUUAGAUGUACAUUUUGUCAAAUUUGAUCAGGUAUGAUUGAUCCAAGCCCUAACCCUAAUUGGUAAUGACUGGAUACUACACCUAAUUGCAUUCUUCUUUCGUCGCAAAAUAAUGAGAUUAUAAUAAUCUAGCAAAUAAGAAAAAAUAGUAUGGAAGUUCAAUUUAACACCAUAACUAUCAAUAAUUUUAAGCUUAUAGAUGACUUAAAUGAUUAAAAACUAAUGCAAAAUACCAAAAAAAAAAGUUCAUAUAAAGAAUUCACAAGAGAACAAAAUGAACAAAAACCAAAUAUGAACAUGGGUCAACAUUAGUUAUGGAUUUGGAUUCCUUUCAAGGCCAAUCUUUGAACCAAGACUUCAUCAAAUCUACUACUUCAAAGGCUUUUGUGUUCUUCUUGGGUUGUGCUCUCAAACAAAGACUUCAAGGUGAUGCUCUAGAUGAUUGCAUUACACAUAUUUAGGGUGGAGAGAUUGGAGAAGCUUGAAGAUGCCAACGAUGGGUACAAUUGAGUGGUCAAUAAGAACAAUGUAGCCUAUGACUAGUUUGAUGUCGUGGUACAAGAGUUUUAGGCAUUGAGGUUAAAGCAAGAGCAACAUGGAAUUGAUUUUGGAGUCUUUCAAUUAGUGUAAAGGAGGAAGAAGUGGUAUUGAUUCUAGAAAUAGGGUUUUAGGUGGUGCGUUAGAGGAUGAAGAAGAAGAAAAAGAAGGAUCUGUUGGAAUUAGUGUGAGUGUGAAGAGAGAAGUAUAUAAAUAAGGGGAAGUAAAAGCAAAGUUCUAAAAGCUAUAUUUUUUUUUAUUGUUGGUGUAUGGUUGCAUGAUUAUCCCUAUAAAUAAUAGGAGUUUUUUUGGUAUUCUACUAGUAGUUGAAGGAUAAUUUCAUAAAUUUAUAUUUAGAGUGGGGUGGGGUGAGUUGUGACAAAAUUCAUACCCGUCCUAAACCUUGGUUCAGAUUUUUAAAAUAUCCUCAAACUUAUCAUAUACCCAACUUUUAUAUUUCAUACUUGUCUUGAUAGAGGCAGGUUAGGCCGGGUUACUUGAGUAACCUACAUAAUUGUCAUCCCUAGUUGAAAUACACUUUUUUGGCAGUGGCCACCAACUGAGCUAGAAGCUUGAUCGAUUGACCUACAAGAUUAGUUCUCAUCAUUUUAAAAAAAGUUUUGGCCUUGGUUGUGAGUGCAAUUGAAUCUAAACUGGCAUUUCCUUAAUGCAUCUACUUCAAUCCUAAAUUUCUUACUUCCUAAGCCUCAAUUGUUGUUAGGAUUUUGGAAAGCCCAUUUCCUUAAAUUGUAAAUUUAAGAAAAAAUAAAAUAAAAGUGAGACAUUUCUUGAUUGAAUAUUGUUAAAGGUCCCUUGGCAUUAAGACUUGGUUGAAGCCUUGGAAGAUUAGUGGAACUCUCAACUUGUGUUUGAAUCUUGAGGAGAGUGGACGUAAGCCAAAAUUUUGUCAAACCAUUAAACAAAUUGAGUUUGAAUCCUCAUUUCUUGAUUUCUUAUUUAUUUGCUUUUUCUUAUUAUUACUUGAAUUGUCAUUUGCAUUCAUUAAUGUUAAAAUUGGUUAUAAUUAACCAACACUAAUUCUCUUUCCCCUUCCCUUUCUUGGGUGUAAACCUAGGUUGGAUUAACUAGAUUAAUUUAUAAAAUCUAUUAAGAUGGUAAAAGAAUAAUUAUUCUUAACACACAUAAGAUCAUCUUCAAUCAAAUGACUCAUUGGCUAAUAUGUUGAAUUUGCUUAUUACUUGCAACUCAAAAUUGUGUUCUAGUUGAUAUGUCAAGUCCCCAGUGUAUGGACAUUAAAUUUGUAGUACGUGAUGGUAAUUAGAUGGUCCAACUCCAAGAAAGUGAUUGAAAACUAGUUCAAGAAAGGUGCAAAAGGGAAUUGUUUUGGUAUUUUCGUUUUUAUUCUUGAAGGUGGCAGAGCUAAAAUUUGUGAAAUCAAGCAAAACAUACUGAAAUUACAUUGAAAGAAAGAAAAUGGGAGUUAAUGUCUUGCAGUAGAUGAUAAGGACUUCAUGCAUGUAGUAUGACCCAUGUCUUGGACUGAUGCCAACUCACGGUUACACUUAUACCCUUGGUUCUCUCUUUACUACCUUGGCUAACCUAGAUCAGGCUAUGAGAUAGGCUCCUCACCACACCAUUACUUGCCCAUUAAUUAGAGACAUUUUCAAGCACUGAGGUAACAUGGUGACACCAAGAGGGUUUAUUCCUCGCCCUCCUCGCCCUCAACAAGUCUAGACUUGGUCUCAAAAAAAUGGAGAAAAAUGAGGUGUCGUUAUGUAGAAAUACAACAACCAUGCCUUCCUCAUUACUUUGAUUCAGAAUGUGAAGGUGAAAUUGAGAAACAGAAACUCUUGAAACCAAAAUGAAAAUUGAUACUUUUACGAAGAAUUACAACAACAUUGGAGGAAGACUACAUUCUUCCUCUUUAUUCCUACAUUUCUACACUACUUCUACUCCACUCCAUAUUUCUACAUACAUCUUUAAUCAGUCUUCCCUCCUUUAUAUAGAGCCAUCUUCACACAAAUUCCGCAAGGUAGAAAAGAGGAAUGAAACUUGGAGCAAGGUUCGACUACUGGCUGUAGCUUGUCAAGGCUGGAAGUGAACCUUUUUUCUUGGCUUUUCUGGGCAUGGGUAGUAACUUGUGGGUUCCUUUUUGGGAUACAAAUGGCUAGAACAUGUGGCACUAUCUUGUUGGAUGAUGUGUCAAGCAUGUGGCAGCCAUCUAGUGGCGAUUAUGUCAAUUUUGGGAUGGAGAGUUGGCAUCCAAUUGCAAAGAAAUAUGACGUCUACCAACAGGCAAUGUAAACCUAUGUAGAUCAUAUGAAGAUAGAGAGGAAAAAUAUAGAAAUGGAUAUAUACCUAGAACUAGCUUUUUAUUAAAUGAAACGGAGAGCCAACAAUGAAGGAAAAUAAAUUUUUUUGGCUUAUAUCAAAGAGUUCACAUUGUGCUACCCUAGGUUUUCUUAAAACUUACUUUUAUGAUAACAAAAAAAAAAAAAAACAUUAUUGUUUAAUCCUUUGUUUUAAACGCAUGUUUAGCAAGUUAUAAAAUGUAAAAAUCUUUCUAAGUUCAAAUAUGAAGAUAUGACAUCAUUUCAAGCAAGAUAGUCUCUAGGAAUUAAUGUAAAGCUAAAUUAAGGUGAAAUUAAAUUAGUUCAAUGCAUUAAUUUAAGAAACUUGACCUAUCAAAAGUACAAAAUUAGAUGAAAUCCAUUUCAAUGGUUAAAAUGAUCAAAAUCAAACUUUUUCUAAGUAUUUUUUAAAAGUAUCAAUAUUGAAAGACAAUUUUAUAUUUAGUCAGAGUUUGGACAAAACCAAAAAGCACACAAAAUCCAAGCGACCAUCUCUAGCUUGGAUGGUCGCUUGAUCUCUAGCUUGUGUACUUGGAAAGCAACAUCGAGAUGAUAUAUAUAUAUAUAUAUAUUUUAUAUAAUAUUGUUUGUCCAAAUUCCCUAAAAAUUAGGCCACCACAUGUUCAUAAUUCUCCCUUCUUGAAUUUGAAAACUCGGACAAUUGGACAAUGCGACACCUAAGUCCGGUUUCUAAAUGCUAAAGUGAAAGGGUAGGUAUGGACCAUUGAAAUGUGAUCACAACUUUUCUCUGUAGCCAUGUUGUCUCUUUUUUCUUUUGCAUGAUUUUCUCACCUUAACAGAAUCAUAGACUUGUUUAAUCUCUAAAUGGGAUUAAUUUCAUCCAGCUUUAAGCUACUAUAUUAUAUCUAGGUGGAGGACUUUUAAGAGUGCAACCGACAUAGAGCACAUGCAAGUGGGUAUAUGGGACAUGAAAUUUCUUCUUAUAAAGAUUGCAUGAUUUUUAUAUUAGAGUUGUUGGGGCGCAAUGUAUGUAGCUUGUUUUGCAGUUAAAUUAAUUGGAUAAGUAGACAUUGGCGUUUCUAAAUCUACUGUGAAGUGCUUCAUGUACGUGUGAAGUAUUAGAAAUUUCUUUCUUGGCAACUUGUUUUUUCUUUGCGGUCUACUGAUAGGUUUGACUAAAAUUAUAUUCCCUGUCAUGCUAAUUAAUUUUCACGUGCAUGCUCAAAAGAAGAGUAUGACCUUAGUGCACCAAAAUCACUUUGAUUAAUUUGUGAUAGGUUUUUGUGCAUCAUGACAUUAGCCUUAUUCAUUUAGAUAAUGUUUAGUUUUUAGAAAGUAUUAAGAAAAGGAAAAUAAAUAUUAAGAAAAAUAUUCUUAUAUUUGAUUGUAUUAUGAAAAAUGUCAUAAAAAAAUCAAAUAUAAUUUAAAUUAAUUAAUAAUUUAUACAUUUUCAAAUUAUUUAAUCUUUAUAUUGAAGAUAUAAUAUAAAUGAAAUGAGUUUUAAGUAUUAUAUAAAAGUGAUUUAUUGAUCUUGCAUAUAUGUAUUUCUUUUUUUUUUCUUCUAUUUUUUUUCUUUAUUUUAUUUUCCUUAUGUUUUCCUCAACAUUUUCCGGAACCAAACAUAGCCUUAGGAAAUCCACAAUUACCUUCAACUGAGUAUAUUCGGUUGUUUUAGCAAUGUUAGGCUGCUAACUUGUGUUGGUACGAACCUGUUAAGCCUAAAGAUGUAAUUAGUUAGGAUAUUCUUUUCCCUCUAGUCUUGUAGCUCCACGUGUAUAGUUGGUUAGGACCUCAUUGUAUAUAAUGCCUGCCCUGUUAUUGUUGAAGACAACAGAGAUAAAUAAUAUUAACAUUUUUCCUCUCAUCUCUCUUUGUUUCCCUCUGUUUUCAUCUCCUCUCUCAUCUUGGUAUCAGAGCCUCCAUGGAUUCUUUCAAAGAAACCUCCGAAUCACCUUCUGCUAGCAUUGUUAAUGUGCAAAACCCAUUAUCUCAGUCAAACAACCUUCCUUCACCAGCAGCCACACCCUCUUUUUCUUUCUUGUCUAUGAAUCAACCUCUCACAGUGAAGCUGGAUAAUGGAAACUACCUCAUCUGGAAGAAUUAGCUUCUGAAUGUCAUCAUUGCGAACAGACUCGAUGAUUUCAUUUAUGGAACUCGACCCUGCCCUCCUUGAUUUCUCAAUCUGCAACAACAAACCCUCACUCCAGAGUACUCGGUCUAGCAGAGAUACAAUCGACUUCUAAUGAGUUGGCUGUACGCAUCCUUGUCCGAAGAUAUAAUGACUCAGAUUGUUGGGUAUUCAACAACUGUGGAGAUUUGGAACGUCCUUAAUCAGAUUUACUCUGCCUCUUCAAUGGCGUGGGUUACCGAGCUUCACACCAAGCUUCAAACGCUCAAGAAAGAUGGACUCUCAGUUGGUGAAUAUAUUCAAAGGCUCAAAUCCAUUUGCAAUAGUCUUGCAGCAAUAGGAGAACUAGUUUCUGAGAAAGACCAGCUUAUCUAUUUGUUCAAUGGAUUAUAUUGUGAGUAUAAUUCUUUUGUUACCUCCAUUCAAAAUCGAUCUGACCAACCAACUAUUGAGCAAAUCCAUAGCCUAUUGCUUAGCUAUGACUUUCGGCUUGAACAACAAAACUCUGUUUCUCUCCAUUAUGCCCAAGUCCGUAUGGCUCAUCUGAACAAGAAACCUUAUAAAUCAACUCCUCAACCUACAUUCAAUCAUAUUCACAUUCAACCUAGAUACUCUUCUCCACCUUUUAAGCCAACCACUAGUCAAUAUCAACCCAGGAUUUUGGGCAAACCACAACCACAACCAUGACAGCCUCAACCUCAAUGGAAACCACAUUUUUCAAUCCAGAAUCAAAAGCCUCAGUGCCAAAUUUGUGGUAAAUUUGGACACACUGCUCUUAUUUGCUUCCAUUGCACAAAUUUGAACUAUUCACCCCAACCUUCUCCUAAAUCUUUCAAUACUGUUCUCACCACAAAUUCCCAGCUCCCUAAUCCUCCAAAAUUUUCUUACCCUACAAUGGCUCAUCCUGCUGCUACGCAUAACACGAUUCCUGAUACAAAUUGGUACAUGGACUCAGGUGCUACACAUCACUUUACUCCGGACAUCAACAUGCUUGACACUGUGACACCAUUUAGUGGUUUAGAACAGGUGACAGUUGGGAAUGGUAAGCAACUCUGUAUCUCACAUCUUGGUACUGCAAAACUACCAUCCUCGUAUUCUCCUCUUGUUCUACAUCAGGUAUAUCACACUCCAAAAAUUUCAAAUAAUCUUAUUAGUGUUAGAAAAUUGUGUUCUGAUAAUAAAGUUUUUGUUGAAUUUUAUGCCACUCAUUUUCUUAUCAAAGAUCAAGUUUCGAAGAGAGUUCUCUUUCAAGGUCAACUUGAUAAUGGCUUAUACAAAGUUCAGUCGUCAUGCUCUCCUUCUACUAUUUCCUUUCAUCCUCAAGUUUUCAUAGCCAACAUCAAGGAUCAAAAUUUGUGGCACAAGAGACUAGGCCACCCAGCUUUAUCUGUUAUUAAUCAAAUCUUGGAUUCUUGUAACAUUGCUCGAACACAGAAAAUUGGUUUUAAUUUUUGUAGUUCUUGUCAAUUAGCAAAAAGCCACAGGCUUCCUUUUUCUCUGUCUCCAUCCAUUGCAGAAAAACCUUUUGAGUUAAUUCAUACAGACCUAUGGGGUCUUUCUCCUGUUCGCUCUAUUUCUGGUGCUCGUUAUUUUUUACUUUUCAUUGAUGAUCAUACUCGUUUUACUUGGUUUUAUUUGCUCAAAACAAAAGAUGAAGCAUAUCCUACUUUUCUCAAGUUUCAAGCUCUCAUUGAAAAUCAAUUUAAUACCAAGAUUAAGGUUGUCCAAUCUGAUUGGGGAGGUGAGUUUCGAUCUCUCUCCAUACUGUUUUCAAAUAUGGGCAUUGUCUAUCGUUUAUCAUGUCCAUACACCUCACAACAGAAUGAGUGGGUUGAGCGAAAAAAUCACCAUGCGGUUGAAAUGGGAUUGUCCUUUCUUGCUCGCUCGGGUAUGCCCUUAUCUUAUUGGCCUUAUGCCUUUCAAACUGCCACUUACCUUAUUAAUCGUCUCUCUACCCCUGUGCUGCACCAUCAAUCCCCUUACUUCGCACUCUAUCACAAAUUCCCAGCUUAUACUCAUCUUAAGGUCUUUGUUCCUCUUGUUUUCCAUAUUUACGCCCUUAUAAUACCCAUAAACUCCAAUACAGGUCACUGGAGUGUGCUUUUCUUGGUUGCAGUUCACACCACAAAGGUUAUCUAUGUCUUGACAUUCAUUCUAGCAGGGUGUAUAUUUCUCGCCAUGUGAUUUUUAAUGAAGAUUCUUUUACAUUCAAGAAUUUGAAAUCUUCUCUCUCUUAGUCUAUUUCUUCUUCCUCUUCUUUAUUAGUUCCUCUGUUCAUUUCCUUGCCUCCCCUCUCCCCAUAUCCUCCUAUUUCUCCAUCUAUAUCUCAUUCUUUUCUCUCUUCUUCUUCUACCUCUAGUACUUGUUCCCCUCUCGUUGCUCCUACCUCUCUUCCUCCCUCUUCACACUUUGUGUCCCAUCUAUUCCACCUCCUUCUCCACCUUCUUCGAGUGUGGACCUGCUUGUACCUUGUGUGAAUACAAAUUUACUUACUUUUUCUCGCACUCACAAUAUUCAUCCUAUGGUGACCAGAUCUAAGGGUUUGUAUCUAUAAACCUAAGUUGCUAUUGAGUGUCUCCAUAGGUUCUCUCACUAAGCCUACUUCCUUUCUUCAAGCUAUUAAAGAUCCUUCAUGGAAGCAAGCCAUGGAAUUGGAGUUUGCUGCCCUUCAACACAACAAGACCUGGCAUCUAGUUCAUUCACCUUCCUCAGGCAAAGUAAUUGGUUGUAAAUGGGUCUAUAAGAUAAAGCUUUAGCCUGAUGGCUAAUUGAGAGAUACAAGGCCCGCUUAGUAGCUUAGGGUUAUCAUCAAACUGAAGGUAUUGACUACUUCGAAACAUUCAGCCUGGUUGUCAAGCCUUCUACUACCGUAUUGUGCUCAGUCUUACUUUUUCCCAGAAUUGGUGUAUUAGACAGCUGGAUGUUCAUAAUGCCUUCUUACAUGGUGACUUAGCUGAAGACGUUUUCAUGGAACAACCACCUGGAUUUGUUGAUCCUCUCUAUCCUACUCAUGUCUGCAAGUUGGAUAAGUCUCUCUACGGUCUUAAUAGUCACCUCGGGCUUGGUAUACUAAGCUGAGUACUUCUCUACUACACUUGGGAUUUGUUACUUCUAAGAAUGACUCUUCCUUAUUUAUUUGUCAUUCGUCUCAUGGGUUACUUCUUGUUCUUGUCUAUGUGGAUGAUAUAAUCGUCACUGGGAGCCACUCUCCUCAAGUUACUCACCUUAUCCAAUAGUUGCAUCAUCAGUUUUCUUUAAAGGAUCUUGGUCAUUUACACUAUUUUCUGGGCUUGGAGGUUCAUCACACCCCUACUGGUAUUCACCUCAGCCAAGCAAAGUAUAUCACUGAUCUCCUUACCCGGGCGGCUAUGUUGGAUGCCAAGCCAUGUCCCACUCCUAUGUCCUCCAACACAUAUCUUUCUCUUCAUGAUGGAGUGGCUCUUGAAAAUGGUUCAGAUUAUUGAAGUUUUGUUGGUGCCCUUUAGUAUUGUACCAUGACACGCCCAGAUAUAGCUUUUGCAGUAAAUAAAGUGUGUCAAUUCAUGCACCAUCCCUCUGAUGUUCACUGGCAGGCUAUAAAACGUAUUCUCCAGUACUUAAAGGGCACAUCUCAUUUUGGUCUCUUCCUACAGCCUUCCUAUGACUUCAACAUCACUUGCUAUACAGAUGCCGACUGGGCUUCCUGCCUUGAUGACAAGUGUAGCACCAGUGGCUACUGCCUCUUUCUUGCCUCUAAUCUGGUUUCUUGGUCAUCUUCCAAACAAAAAGUGGUCUCCCGCUCCAGCGCCAAAUCAGAGUACCGAGGGGUAGCAAAUGGGGCUGCUGAAAUUGCUUGGACUGAAUCUCUUCUUUGUGAACUUUCCACCCACUCGACCUCCCCUCAUUGUCUGUGACAAUAUCAGUGCCACAUACUUAGCUGUCAAUCCUAUUUUGCAUGCCCGCACCAAAACAUGUGGAAAUCGACUAUCACUUUGUCUCGGAACGUGUUCUUCAACGCUCUCUCUCUCUCCAGUUUACACCUUCGGAUGAUCAACUUGCUGAUUGCAUGACCAAGCCUCUCUCCACCCAACGUUUCAUCACUCUACGCUCCAAGCUCACUGUUCUCACUAGACCAAUGAGCUUGAGGGGGGAUGUUAAGCCUAAAGAUGUAAUUAGUUAGGAUAUUCUUUUCCCUCUAGUCUUGUAGCUCCACGUGUACAGUUGGUUAGGACCUCAUUGUAUAUAAUGCCUGCCCUGUUAUUGUAGAAGACAACAGAGAUAAAUAAUAUUAACAUUUUUCCUCUCAUCUCUCUCUCUGUUUCCCUCUGUUUUCAUCUCCUCUCUCAUCUGAACCAAAUGAUCCAUGUUAACCUUGGCUUGGUUUGAUUUGGCUCUAUCUUAGAGAGCUCAAGGAUCACGUCAACUCUGGUUUCUACUAUUCAGGUCCAUUCCCAUAUGAACUGGUUCAAAUUUGAGAAAAUGGUAACAGACCUUUAGUGAUGUUGGUUUGGAGCCAGUUGCCAAACCCGCCCUGAGCUUUACCACUAAUGUCAAGGGAGAAAGCCUUUUGAACAAAAACAAUAGCUUCAAGAGACUGAAUCGUGGAUGAAAUCUGAUCCACAUUUCUUCUCAUUUUGGAAACAAAUGAGAACUUAACUAAGAAGAUUCUACGGCCUCAUAGUGCUUUUCCUGAUCUAAGGUUGGUUCGUUUCCCAAAUUGUGAGAUGCACGGGCCAGACUUCAGAACUCUCACGCUCAGGAGUGUAUCCACGUGGUGGACAUAAGAUGGUGGCUUAAGAUCUGGUGUCGGUGGCUUUACUUUACUAGGAGAGUAGUGUGUCUUCAUCUCAUUCACUGCCGGAGGGUGGCGUAAGCAGUGACGCUAAGGUGGGGCAUAGUCAAUAUCAUUUGCAUUUGACCAUUAUAGUUUUCUCCCGGCUUGAAAGUAACCUUAUCGUGAUAAAGGAUUACUAGCACUAGUUCAGAUGACAGUCAUGUUAAAUUCGGACCAUGUUUGUGUCACAUUAUCAGCAACCAUGUGUUUAUGGUUCAUGCUUUCUGCAACUGAAAUUGAAAUUGAUAUAUAACCAGGUGAACUUCAAUCUAAAUUCUGGAAGUACUCAUGUGAGCGAUGGUGCCCAUCUGCAGAGUCCAUCAAUUGAAAAAUGGAGUGAGUGUAUCUAUAAGAGGGAAGGCUUGGCAAAUGUCCAGUUUUCUGGGAAUUCAACAAGGAUCUAAAAUAGAUUGUUUUCUUUGCUGAUUUCAAUGGUUGAAAUUUGAGAAGAUUGUGUCCCACAUAACACAACUAUUACUGGUCCUUCUGUUGCAAUUUAUCCUCUAAGGCUCUAGCAUGUCUUCCAAUUCCCACUUCCCUGUUACUCCAGGAAAGCUAUUUCUGUCAUUGUGAAGAAGAAAAGAGAAUGUAGAUAUCGAUGCUUUUAAGUGACUGGAGCAUUCAUAUCAGGUGGUCUGCAGCCAUAUAUGCCACUUUGUGAAGAUUGGAACAGUCAAUCACUAGGCUAUAUAUUAGUGUGGCCCAGCCACUUUAAUCAAGGACAAUUCUUCAUACUUAAAAGUCAAAUUCUGCCUUUAGUCUCAUUAUAAAUUGCUGUUUAAAUAUUAAGCAAACAUUUGUUUAAUGCGAUUAAGACAGUACUAACUCAAUACUUGUUCUAUUUUUGGAUGGAAAUGCUUGAUGGUUUCAUCAUUGGAUGGGAUAAAGGUGCAUUCAUGAUUAUGAAUACUUGUAGUUAUAUUUUCAUUCUCUUUUUUCUCAAUGAGACUUGUUGGCACAAUUUUUCUGUUCAGAAACCUACCUCUCCAUGGAAAAUAAGUUGUGAUUGAUAGUACUGGAUAUAUUCAAGAAAGCUAAAUAUAGAUAGCACAAAAUAUUAUCGACAUAAAUAGCAUUAACAGCGUACGUAUGUCUCAGUGCUCAUCAGCCAUAAGCAUGGGGCAAACACUUACGAUGAGCAACUUACGUCAAAAUUCCAGAAUAGGACAUAGAAGUGACAGAUCUAUAUAUAUAGAACACUGCAUAAGAGUCACAAGAAAGGAAAUUACGGGUGCAUAGCAGCUCUUAUUUCACAUACUACUCAUACUGAUCAAAGUCACUCAGUUGGGAUGGGUGGGAGUAGGAGGUUUGUGGGGUGGCUUGUGCGGAGGAGUUGGCAGCUUCUUUCCAGGACCUGGUGGCUUCUCUCCCUUAGGUGGUUUGCCAACUGGGGUUGGUGGCUUGUAUGAGUCUUCAGCAUUCUCUGCAGGAGGGUGACCAGGGUUGUGACCAUAAUGUGGUGGCUUCUCUCCCUUAGGUGGUUUGCCAACUGGGGUUGGUGGCUUGUGUUCUGGGAGUGGCUUCUCCCCCUUGGGAGGUUUUUCCAAUGGGGUUGGUUUGUGUUCAGGAGGUGGCUUCUCCACUGGAGGCUUGUGUUCAGGAGGUGGCUUCUCCACCGGAGGCUUGUGUUCAGGAGGUGGCUUCUCCACCGGAGGCUUAUGCUCUGGUGGUGGCUUCUCCACCGGAGGCUUAUGCUCUGGUGGUGGCUUCUCGAAUGGGGGAUGCUUAGGGUAAUCAGCAAGUGAGGGGGCGGUGAGAACCACCAGGCCAAGCAAGACCACUAGCAAGUAUGUAGGAGACAUCUUUGGGUUUAGACUCAGAUGGUGCAAAACUAGGAGAAUUGUCUUUUAUAGCGGAUCGCACCCAAUAAUGAAAUGACACGUGUCUUUAUGACCCAUGUGUAAUGGGGUCGAUUUGGGUCCUACAGUGUUGAAAACUUCGACAUCCACUUUUGGCCUUUUGCUUUCUCUACAGCCGCCUUGCUUUUUCCCUCUUUCCUUUUGUUUUCCUCCUGCCCCAUUCUAUCAACUAAACACAAUUAUGUAGUUGUUUAAUUCUUAAAUGAGAUAUUAUCCGUCAAUCGUAUCAUAUUUUAUCAACAGAGAACGGAGUGCAAUGUGGCAAUCCAAAGAAAGAAGAUCCAUAAUGCAGCUGUAAUUUUAUCGUUUACUUUUAUCUCUUGGACCACUGCAUUUUUGUUAAGAGGUGCAAUAAUACACGUCUUUAUCUGCCAUUCAAUGUUUACAGUAAAGAGAGGGCACAAAACUCUUCACUGCUCUGCAUGUGUCCCAAAAAUGCAAUUGGACAAAUUAUGAUUUGCAUGCUAAAAAGAGGCAAAUGAGGUUAAUUCGCACCAUAAUUAUUUUGUUUUCUGGACCCCGGGGCCCUUUGGUUGGUUUGGGGGUCAGAAAAUGAACAUCAUAGGGGGUUUUUCCCUUAUGUGCAUUUGUAUCUGAUGGCUUUAACUCGCCUUGUUACUACAAAGAAAUUGUCACAUAUAGGAACUUAUUCCAGGCUGAGUAUCUCCGCAUAGACCCUAUAAAAGAAGACAAGUCAUAAUGAACAUCUAACCUUUGUUCAAUUUGAUUCAAUGCCCCAUUGUGUCCACCUCACAAAUCUGAAUUAUUAUAUCCAUUGAAUACAUAAAUUAAUGAAGAAAAUAUGAAACCCAAGAUACAUCUCUGCACAACCUCAACCCUGGUUGCUAUGUUUCCCUUCUAUUCACAUGAGGAUAUUGAUUACGGAAUAGGGAAACCUAGCAAGGGUUUACUCGGCUCUGGUUUGAUGCUAAUUGCCAAACUUGCAACAAGCCCUGAGUUUGAAGCUCACAGAAGAUGUUAUACAGGCAGGGAAAAACCUUCAGAGUUCGCUGCCAAAGAUAAUUAUUAAGGAGAUAUCACCAAGAGAAUUCCAAGGAGUCUGAAUCAAAGACAAAUUGGUCGUUCGUGGAGGUUCUUACUUUCUUUUGGGUAUAACUCACUGAGGGCACUGUCUUUUUUAUUUUCAUUUCACAUUUAGAGUUCUGUUCUGGAAACAUAUAAAAGGAGCAUCAGUUUGUUCUUGGGUAACCCAUAGUCGUGAGUGGGUCCAUUUGCAUGCUACUUAGUUGAAAAGUUGGACCAUUUGCUCCGACGCCUACCUCCUGGAUUCCAUGCUCGGAUAAAACAAGAAUAAAAAAAUAUUUAUAAUUUACAAAUGGGGGAAAGAAAAAAAUGUCAACAACAAACUAGGAAAAAAGAGUAGUAAAAUUCAUGUCACAUGCUAGUGAGAGAAGGGGUUGUUACACUCACUCGAAGUUCUUUUCAAAAUAUCGCAUGGUAUUUUAUUUUAUGUGUGAGCGCAGUUGUGAAUGGAACGUGCAAAAGUCCAAAUUGGUGACCUUUAAUAAAUAUUUAAAACAAAAAACGAAAAAAAGGAGGGAAAAGGGAUCAGAAAAGAUAAAACAAUGUGUACAAAAGCUCAAUUAGUUUGCAAAUUACUGUUUGGAUUUUGAUAGUAUUUUAUUUGAUGUAAAAGAGAAUUUAAGAUAUUUCCGAAACAAAAGCAUUAGUUUGCUCCAUGUCAAUUUCGGCAUUUCUCAUAUGUUUCACACAUACACAGAAGAGCAUCGUUUUUUAAAGCAUGCAUUUAUGUUGGAUUAAUUUGGAUUUUGUGGGAACUGGGGCAAGGAUCACAUGGAAGAGAGGUUGACUUUUUUCAGUACUUCAAUGGUUGAGACAGGUGAAGGCCUGAUUGAUACUGAAGCCUGAAAUUGCGACUCCGUCAUUUGUCAAAACAUAUGACAGCUUCCAUGCUCUCGUUUGGUUGCAUUGUUCUGUGGUCAUGCAUACAUGCCACUUAGUGAUCAGUCUGUAACUGUCAAUCAUUGGGCUUUGACUGAACAACAUCAGCCAUGUAUAAAUACUUGCAAAUCAAACGGUCUUCUUCCUCCCAUAAGGAAUUUCGGUUUAAUUAUGAAGCAUGCAUUUGGCUGACCAUCAUAAACCACUUCUUUAAAUUGAUGAAUGAUAGUUUUUCAUUCAUUCUUUCAUUCGUUCAUAUACAGAGUAUAUAUAGAGGGUAAUCAUCAUUCUAAGAAUGGGAAAGAAUGAUACAAGGAAAUAAUGAUAUAAAGAAAUAACAACUAAUAUUCUAAUAUCUCAACUUUCCUAAUAUCUAAACAUUCCUAAUAUCUCAACACUAAAUGAUAUAAAGAAAGAAUGAUAUAAGGAAAGCAUUCCUAAUAUCUCAACACUCCUCCUCAAGUUGGUGCAUAGAUGUCAAACAUGUCCAACUUGUCUAAAAAUUUUGAGAACAGUUGACUUGAGACAUCUUUGGUGAGGAUAUCGGUCAAUUGAUCUUCUGAUCGAAUCUUAGGCAAUUCCACAAUCUUAUCAUCCAACUUUUCCUUAAUGAAAAAUCUAUCCAUCUCGACAUGCUUUGUACGAUCAUGUUGUACUAGAUUAUGAGCAAUGUCACAUGCUGCUUUAUUGUCACAAAACAAUCGGAUUGGUUGCCUAGAUAGGUAACCUAAAUCCUAUAAGAGGAGUCUUAGCCAUAAUGCCUCACAAAGUCCUAAAGUCAUACCUCUAAAUUCCGCUUCUGCACUUGAACGAGCGACGACAUUUUGCUUCUUACUUUUCCAUGUCACAAGAUUACCACCUACAAAGGUAAAGUAACCAGAUGUAGAUCGCCUAUCAUCCACUGCACCGACCCAAACAGCAUUAUACUUCUAUACUCUGAUGAUCAACAUUUUUAGCGAACAAAAUUCCCUUCCUAGGAGCAUUCUUCAAAUACCUCAAAAUACGCAUGACUACAUUCAUAUGUUGCUCUCCAGGAUUAUGCAUGUAUUGACUCACUACACUCAAUGUAUAAGCAAGAUCUAGUCUUGUAUGAGCUAAGUACAUUAAUCUCCCCACAAGUCUCUGGUAUCUUCCCUUAUCGAUUGAUACUUGAUUAGGCUCAACACACAAUUUCAGACCUUCUUCUAUUGGUGUAUUAAUAGGUUGACAUCCCGACAUUCCAGUUUCCUGUAGAAGAUCUAAGGCAUACUUUCUUUGAGACAGAAAAAUUCCUUCACUUGAUCGAGAAACUUCAAUCCCAAGAAAGUAUUUCAGACGACCAAGAUCUUUCAUUUCAAAUUCUCUAGAUAGAUACUUUUGCAAAGCUUUUCUUUCUUCAGGAUCAUUUCCUGUAACUACAUGUCAUCCACAUAUAUCAUAAGUGUCGUAAUCUUACCAUGUUGCUUUUUCAAGAACAAAGUGUGAUUUGAAUUACUUUGAUGAUAGCCAAAAGCUCUCAUUGAUUUUGUGAACCUUCCAAACCAUGCUCUCGGGGAUUGCUUCAACCCAUACAAUGACUUCUUCAAUUCGCACACCUUCUGACAUUGCUUUUCUGACACCAUGCAUCCUGGUGGAAGAUCCAUAUAUACUUCUUCAGAUAAAUCGCCAUGCAGAAAGACAUUUUUUACAUCGAACUAUUGUAAUGGCCAAUCUAGGUUUGCAGCUAAAGACAAUAAUACUCGAACUGUGUUGAUCUUAGCUACAGGUGCAAAUGUCUCUGUGUAGUCAAUUCCAUAAGUUUGAAUGUACCCACUAGUCUUGCUUUAAAUCGUUCAAUACUACCAUCUGCCUUGUACUUCACAGUAUAGAUCCAACGACACCCAACUAGCUUCUUUCCUGGUGGACAUUCUACGAGUUCCCAUGUUUCAUUUUUCUGCAAUGAUUUCAUCUCUUCAUUCAUGGUUGCUUUCCACUUUGGAUCAGCUAAAGCUUCCUGCACACUAUUAGGAAUAGCUACAGUAGAUAAUUGAUUUACAAAUGACUUAUUUGAUUCAGACAAACCAUGGUGUGGACCCGCAUUUUUCACGUGCGCCUCUACUCGAUCGGCGAGACUCGCUUUCUAUUUGUGAAAAAUUAAUUUUAGAAAAGUUGGAGUCGCCACCUAUUUUAUUUUUAUUUUGAAGGGAAAAUAAAACAAGAAAGAAAAACCCUAAAAAGUGACUCCAUAGUUUUGGAAAAAGCAUGUCUUUGGGAAACCUGAGUCUAGGUCCGGGGAUCAUGUUACUUAUUGGGAAGGUACCUCUAGGAGGUAGCACCCCUCUAAGCCUUAUGAAGGUCUCUACUAACUAAAUUAAGGGAAGUGUGGCAAUAAAUCGAUUGAUCAUAGAUACCUAAGUAGACUAGGUGAUUUUAAAGUGUGGCAUGUCAAACACAAUCAAAUUGCAAUAAAGGAGAGUUAGGGCGCGUACCUGAACCGCUUCUCAAGCGCUAUCAUAAAACAUCAAUGGUUAAUUUAAAUAAUAUAUCAUCCAGCAUGUAUUUUAUUAGAAAUAAUCAAACAAUGAAACAUGUAUAUCAGAACACUCAAGCAUUAUUAGACAUAAGCAUUAUUUCACUAUUCACAGAAUUCAGAAAGUAGGUGAUAGAGGACAUACCUGGAUAGCAUAGAUAAUUUGUAAUGUGCUUCCUCAAGUUGUAAGGGGUUAGAUAACAAAUAAUAAAAUAUAGAAAUCCUAGCAUGCUCGUUAUCUAAUUAGCAUAGCAAAAGUGAUCACAGUAUACAGAAUCAUCAAUUAUCACAUACAUCUUGUAUAUAAUUCCUAAAAAAAAUAGAUAGACAUGAUUUCAACAAGUGUCAAAUGUGGCAACAAAAAUAAAUUUUGAAAAGAUUUUCUUAUGUAGGGGUUUCACCAAUUCCCCAAAUUAAUAUACACGAAUUUAGCUUAGAAUUAUCCCAUUUAUUUGGGACUACAAGCUUUGAUUCGUGUUUUUGUUCAAAACCAAAAAUUUUUGUUGAAAAUCAAGAAGGAUGCGAACCGAACAAGAUAUGGUUGCAUAUUAUUUUUAAAUAAAUAAAUAAAUAAAUAAAGGAGAUUUUGAUCCUGAGGACUUUAAUGAGUUUUUUUUUUUAAAAUAGAUUUUUAAAAUGAUUUUUUUGAGAAAAGUAUUUUAUUUUAAAAUAAAAGGGAUUAAUUUGGGAAAAAAAUAAAAUAUAAGAAAUAAAAUACCAAACAAAACAAAAAUGAAACCUCAAAGUAAAAUUUUUUUAGUAAUUAACAAAAAUGAUAAUGGUGAUGGUAGAGGGCAAUCUUCAUGAUUUUCCAAUGGCCUCAGAAAGAAAAUCAAAUUAAAUGAAGGAUCACUAACAGGCAAGACAUUCUAAAUUAGACAAACUAACAAAGUAUCAAUUCAUGAACUAACCGCUAGGAUUUUGAAAGCAUAUAAGCUAAGAUAAGGGUGAUCAGGAACUAAUAUUAAUGAUUUUGAAAUAAAAACUAAAAAAAAGGAUCAAUUCGGGUAAGGAACUAAAAUUAUAAAAGUACCUAAACUAAUUAUGACGAGUUUGACUAAAUUAAACUAAAAACAUGAACUUUCAAACAUAGAAUUAAUUUUACUAAUGAACCAAAGCAAACUAAAAAUAUGUACUUUCAAGCAUAGAAUUAAUUUUAUUGAUGAACUAAACUAUAACAAAUAUCUAAACUAAAUAUAAUGAAUCAAAUUAAAUUAAAGCAACUUAAAAACGCAAACUUUCAAACAUAGAAUCAAUUUUAUCAAUGAAUUAAAACUAUAAAUGUAUUUGAACUAAAUAGAUGAAUCAAACUAAAUCAGAGCAAAAUUAAAAAAAAAAAAGAACUUUCUAACAUGAAAUCAAUUUUAUCAACAAAUAAAUGAAUGAAUAACAAGUAAUUAAAAGAAUAGCUACUACAUGAAUAACUGAAUGAAUAAAAUUCAAAUGUUUUCAAUCUGAAGCAAUCAAUCAAAAUUAAAUAGGGAUCAAAUCAAAAUAAUCGAAAUCGGAAAAACAAUAUGCAAUCUUUCUAAAGGUUUAACCAGACAAUUGAAUUAAAAUUAUGAAUAGAAUAAAUUAAUAAACCAAAUCGAAACCUAAAUUGUACCUAAAAAGAUUAAUUAAUUAAACUAAGAAAUCAAAAUCAAUAACAAAACUAAACUAAGGAGUAAAUUAAGACAAGACUAAUUAAAUUAAACUCACAAACACGUUUUAACUAUCAUAUGGAUUAAAACAAAAUUAGCAUGGACUUAUGAAUUACGAACAAAAAUAAUCAAAACUAUUUUAAAAAACUCACCUCUAUUAUAAGAAAAAAUCUGCCUUUGAUGCGUUGAGGUGGCUCCCCUCUCUGUGUGGAUCUCUCUGCUCCCCAGAAAAAAAAUGUCUCUUCCUCCGUUCUCUUUUGUUUCAGCAAAAUAAUAUAUCCCCUGCUGUGGAUCUCUCUACUCCCAGAAAAUAAUAUAUUCUCUCCGUGUCCUAAAGUGGACCUAGGGUGCCUAAGUGGACCUAGGGUGCCUAAAUGGGCCUAGGGUGCCUAAAUGGGCCAAGUGUAUCUAAAUAGGCUUAGGGUGCCUAAGUGGGCCUAAGUCUAAGUGAGCCUAAGUCUAAAUCAAGACUACCAAGGAUCAUAAUAAGGGGUUAGGCAAUCCCUUAACCAAAGUCUCCAAGGUGGCUAAAAAAAAGUAAGUAGUAUGAGUAGCUAUGGGUCACCAAGGAACUACUGUGGAGCAUUGAAAACGAAUUUAAAGACAUGUGCCAAAGGGACAAAAUUGAGGGUCUACAGAUGGUUAGACACAUAGUUGCUCAUGGGAUAUUUGACUUUGGUAAACAAUUCAGAUUCAUAUGUGGGUUUAGGAAUACCUUUAUUAUGACGGUGUGGUAAUCGUUUCAUGAAUGGAUCAGGUUGCAAAUUAAGAACACCCUCAGCAAACAACGAUUGGUUUGGUAUUUCAGUGAAGACAUCUUCGAACCCAAAUUGUUGACCACUCAUAUCCAACUCACCCGCUUCCUGGUUCACUAGUUCAGAUUGUCCAAAUUCAUCAUUCUCAUAGAUAUGAUAAUCAUAAUCGAGAGUCUGAAUUUCCUUAUGGUACUCCCCCUGAAGUUCAGACUUAGAUGAAAAAUACAUCGAAUAUUCAUGAAACAGCNNNNNNNNNNNNNNNNNNNNNNNNNNNNNNNNNNNNNNNNNNNNNNNNNNNNNNNNNNNNNNNNNNNNNNNNNNNNNNNNNNNNNNNNNNNNNNNNNNNNNNNNNNNNNNNNNNNNNNNNNNNNNNNNNNNNNNNNNNNNNNNNNNNNNNNNNNNNNNNNNNNNNNNNNNNNNNNNNNNNNNNNNNNNNNNNNNNNNNNNNNNNNNNNNNNNNNNNNNNNNNNNNNNNNNNNNNNNNNNNNNNNNNNNNNNNNNNNNNNNNNNNNNNNNNNNNNNNNNNNNNNNNNNNNNNNNNNNNNNNNNNNNNNNNNNNNNNNNNNNNNNNNNNNNNNNNNNNNNNNNNNNNNNNNNNNNNNNNNNNNNNNNNNNNNNNNNNNNNNNNNNNNNNNNNNNNNNNNNNNNNNNNNNNNNNNNNNNNNNNNNNNNNNNNNNNNNNNNNNNNNNNNNNNNNNNNNNNNNNNNNNNNNNNNNNNNNNNNNNNNNNNNNNNNNNNNNNNNNNNNNNNNNNNNNNNNNNNNNNNNNNNNNNNNNNNNNNNNNNNNNNNNNNNNNNNNNNNNNNNNNNNNNNNNNNNNNNNNNNNNNNNNNNNNNNNNNNNNNNNNNNNNNNNNNNNNNNNNNNNNNNNNNNNNNNNNNNNNNNNNNNNNNNNNNNNNNNNNNNNNNNNNNNNNNNNNNNNNNNNNNNNNNNNNNNNNNNNNNNNNNNNNNNNNNNNNNNNNNNNNNNNNNNNNNNNNNNNNNNNNNNNNNNNNNNNNNNNNNNNNNNNNNNNNNNNNNNNNNNNNNNNNNNNNNNNNNNNNNNNNNNNNNNNNNNNNNNNNNNNNNNNNNNNNNNNNNNNNNNNNNNNNNNNNNNNNNNNNNNNNNNNNNNNNNNNNNNNNNNNNNNNNNNNNNNNNNNNNNNNNNNNNNNNNNNNNNNNNNNNNNNNNNNNNNNNNNNNNNNNNNNNNNNNNNNNNNNNNNNNNNNNNNNNNNNNNNNNNNNNNNNNNNNNNNNNNNNNNNNNNNNNNNNNNNNNNNNNNNNNNNNNNNNNNNNNNNNNNNNNNNNNNNNNNNNNNNNNNNNNNNNNNNNNNNNNNNNNNNNNNNNNNNNNNNNNNNNNNNNNNNNNNNNNNNNNNNNNNNNNNNNNNNNNNNNNNNNNNNNNNNNNNNNNNNNNNNNNNNNNNNNNNNNNNNNNNNNNNNNNNNNNNNNNNNNNNNNNNNNNNNNNNNNNNNNNNNNNNNNNNNNNNNNNNNNNNNNNNNNNNNNNNNNNNNNNNNNNNNNNNNNNNNNNNNNNNNNNNNNNNNNNNNNNNNNNNNNNNNNNNNNNNNNNNNNNNNNNNNNNNNNNNNNNNNNNNNNNNNNNNNNNNNNNNNNNNNNNNNNNNNNNNNNNNNNNNNNNNNNNNNNNNNNNNNNNNNNNNNNNNNNNNNNNNNNNNNNNNNNNNNNNNNNNNNNNNNNNNNNNNNNNNNNNNNNNNNNNNNNNNNNNNNNNNNNNNNNNNNNNNNNNNNNNNNNNNNNNNNNNNNNNNNNNNNNNNNNNNAACCAAAGGAAGCAUGUUCCAGACGUCGAUGCCACAACCAAAUUUCAGACUUUUUCUUCUCCUCCUUAGAUCCAUCUGCCAUCAAGGCUUGUUGCAACUUAUUUGAAUCCUUUGAUUGCAAGUCCAAGUAUAGAGUUUCCCCCGCUUAAUACGACAACCAAUCGUCUGUCUUGUUUGAAUGUCCUUAAUCACACAAAAUUCAGGCCAAAAAAUGACAAUACAAGAUAAGGCUGCAGUGAUUUGAGAAACUAACAAAAGAUUGUAAUCUAAAGAUGGAACAACUAAAACAGAAUCCAAAUUCAAAGUAUCAGUAAGAGUUAAGGAUCCUUCCCCAAUGACUGGGGUUGUGUUACCAUUGGCUGUGGAAACAAUUUUUUGUGAGGAAGGUCUAAGGGGUGAAACCUGUCUAGAAUCAAAAGUCAUAUGAUCUGUAGCACCAGAAUCAAUUAUCCAUGCACUAUUAAUAACAGGUGUAAAAGUAUUUAAAAACUUACCACAAUGAUCUGUAGCGGCUACUAAUGCAGAGACUUUCUCAACAACAUUAGUCUUUGUUUUUAUUUCGGUAACAGUUGCAAUCAAGGUUUUCUUGGAAUUCUUCUUCCGUUGAUCACGAUUAUUAUCAUUAAUAACAAAGUGUUGAUAGCCUAAACAUGAUCUAAAGGUCCAUGGUGCAAACCCUCGGUUCCUCAUUGUUUUCCUGGUCAUACCAAGAGUUGUUGCUUUGAAAUUGUGGGAUAUCCAGACUGGUGGGAUCAGUUUUAUUGCAGUGAGUGCAUUUGAAUGUUGACUUAUCAAUAUUAGGGCUUGUCUUCGGAUGGUUGAUUGCUGUUGGACUACCAUAGCGACAAAAUAUCCAGGAUUUCAAUUCCAGGGCUCUGAUACCAUCUUCAAAUUGAUGAAUGAUAGUUUUUCAUUCAUUCUUUCAUGUACAGAGUAUAUAUAGAGGGUAAUCACCAUUCUAAGAAUGGGAAAGAAUGAUACGAGGAAAUAAUGAUAUAAGGAAAUAAUAACUAAUAUCCUAAUAUCUCAACUUUCCUAAUAUCUCAAUAUUCCUAAUAUCUCAACUUUCCUAAUAUCUAAACAUUCAUAAUAUCUCAACACUAAAUGAUACAAGGAAAGAAUGAUAUAAGGAAAACAUUCCUAAUAUCUCAACACCACUUCAUGAUAUAUAUAGUUUCUUACCCUUAAUCAAUGGUUUCUAAGUGAAUUUAUAUAGAAAGAAAUCCAAACUGUAGACAGCAGUAUUGGUAACACUCAAUAUUCUGUAUAUAAUAGAAUAAAUAGCGUCACAGUGAUCGUCGCCUACAAGCAAGGUACAAAUACCACAAAGAGUGACCCACAUAGACAUUCCCCAACAAGAUGUAGUAGUGACUGACACAUAGCCACAAUUAACACGUAGAAAAGGAUAAGACCGGUGCACAGUAGCUCUUAUUUUACAUACUACUUAUGCCAACCAAAGUCACUCAGUUGGGAUGGGAGGGAGAUGGAGGUUUGUGCGGUGGCUUGUGGGGCGGAGUUGAUGGCUUCUUUCCAGGAGCUUCUGGCUUUUUCAUCGGAGCUGAAGGAGGCUCAAUCUUAUGAGGCGGCUUGUACGAGUCUUCUUUGCUCUCGAAAGGAGGGUGGCCAGGGUUGUGACCAUAAUGUGGUGGUUUCUCUCCCUUGGGAGGUUUACCAAUUGGGGUUGGUGGCUUGUGUUCUGGGAGUGGUUUCUCUCCCUUGGGAGGUUUAGUGGGUGACUUGUGUUCUGGAGGUGGCUUCUCCACCGAAGGCUUGUGCUCCGGUGGUGGCUUUUUGGUUGGAGGGGGCUUGGGGUAAUCAGCAAGAGAUGGGGUGGUGAGAACCACCAGUCCAAGGAACAACACUAGCAAGUAUGUGGGAGACAUUUUUGAGUUUGGGCUGAUCAGAUGAUGCAAAACUAAAGCAUUACGUGACCUUUUAUAGCAAGUAGCUCCCAAUACCUACUUGACACGUGUUACUGUGACCCAUAAAUAUUAUGGGGUCUAUUUGUGCCCUACCGGGUUGAAAACUUGGACAAUUGGGCAAGGACCCGCCUGACUAUGGAGGACUACUGAGGUGUGAUCACAGCUUUAGGAUUUUUCUUCCUCUGCAGCCGUCUUGCCGUUGGCAUGAUUUUCUUAAUCUCAAAUAAAGGCAUAGUUAUAGAGUUGUUUAAUCUCUAAAUGGGAUUUUAUAUAUCUUCAGAUAGCCAUUAAUACAUUUGAUGAAGAAAGAAAGACAAGUGCAUACAACAUGUAUACGACUAGCUUUCAUGGAGUUCAUUUAUGAUCAGUUUUCCUGUACAUGUAAACCAAGAUCAUAUAUGUUUUUGUUCCACAACAAUUUUGGAAUCUUGUUUAUCCGUUUUUAUCAUUAUAAUGUCACAUAGGCUGCCAACUUGGGCGCUAAAUUAAAGAUCCAGUUGGGCAAGUUCGUUUCAGAAUUUCAAUGGUGGAUUCAGGAAUUGUUUUAUAAGAUAUGCAAAAUAGUAGAGGGAUGAAUAGUGUUUCAUUAAGAAAAGAGCCCUGUAAAAAUAUUGUUUAAAGGUGCCAUAGAAACUAUAAUCAAUAAAUAACUUUUUUUCCCCAUGGGUGGUGUUUCUUGUGGGGAUCAGUGACUGGUUUGAGUCAACGCCGUGUCUCUUUAGUCCAGAAAUCAACUAUUUUAUGCAUUGAAUACAUCAACAAAGAAAAUAUGAAAGCCAAAUGACACCUCCCCCGCAAAAACUAAACCCUGGUUGCUAACUUUCUAUGUUUCAGUUCCAUUCACACAAGAAUAUUAGUUCAAGUUUGAGAAAAAUGGCGACUUACCUAGUGAUAACUCGGUCUUGGUUUGCGAUUUGACUUUAACGUCAUGGGUUGAAGCCUCCUACAAUCAUCGUGUAUGCUAGUUCAAAGCUCGUGGAAGAAGUUAUACAGGGAGGGAGAAACCUCCACAGCAAGCUCCAAAAGAGAAUUAUCACAUUGAAAGCUCCAGUUGAACACUGGGUGAAAGCCAUAACAAGAUUGGUUUUCUAUCGCUCUUUUAAGUAAUGGAAGAUUAUUAUCUCUGCUUGUCACUACAACCGUGCAUGCUGCUAGAUCUUUCUAGACACUUCAAACAGUGAAACCAAGUAUGAUUCUUUUUCUCUUGAGUGGGUCCACUUGCAUGCCAAUGAACGAGUUGAAAAGUUGGACAAUUGGCCACAGCGCGCACUUACCUUCUGGAACCGAAGGUCAGUGAAGUGGGGUUCCUUUUGGCCCCUUGUGUUUCUGUUCCAACCUACUCCAGGAACCGAAGUUCAGUGAAGUGGGGCUACUUUUGGCCUCUUGUGUUUCUGUUCCAACCAAACAAAAAUGGGAGGGAAAAAUAGCAUUAUGCUUGUGCUAAAGAUCAACGCAUGAUAGCUGAAUAAGGGAGAAAAAGGCAUUGCUAUCUCAAUUUCAUAAACUUGAUAAGUAGUGACAUUAAUAGUCUUCCUCAUAGAUGGAUACAUGGUUUUAUUUUAUUUAUUUAUUUUUAUUUUUUUGUUUUAUGUCAAUGCUAAUGAAUGAAGUGCAUUAGCUUGUUUUGUGACUAGAACUACAAAUGUCCAAAUUGGAGCUUCUCCAAUAUAUUUCUCAGUGAGUUAUUGAUUAGAACUCUUGGAUUGAGUUCCAAGAUUUGAAUCAGACCCCUCUAGCAGCUUCAGGGGUACGUAGCAACCUAUAGCAUAUUAAUGAAGACUUAGGAUUUAGACUUAGGAAUACAAAUUAAUAUGUACCUCAUGCUCUGACUAGCUUCCCUGCGUAUGCACAAAAUGGAGAUGACUCCCAAAAAAAUAGCAGAAUCGCCUUAGUAUGUUUUUGUGGUUAAGAUGAUUCUCCACUUUAUAUAUCCACAUUGGUUCAUUAUGCAAAUUAAUCAACUAAGCUAUUUUUAUUUUUUCUUAAAUGUGAAAUAGGAGCUCCAAAUUAACCUAACCAUUGGCCUGAUUGAAUUGAUUUCACUUGCAUAAUGUUAUAGUAGAAGUCCGUAAUUUGAAUUUUAUUUUUGCAAAAGGUAACGUAAAUGAAGCAUUGUAAUUAAAUUUAUUUGUAAUUACAAACUAAUUUUAUUUUAUUAAGAAUUAAUUUAAUUACUCAUUUAAAAUAAAAAUCAGUUAUACUUUUACCAAGAUGAUAAUAUUCAUAUUUUUCUAGUUAACAUAUAUAAAAUAGUACACUUUUUCAUAUAAAAAAAUAAUUUAUGAUUUAUUAUAAUGUUACUAUUCACAUUUUACUAAAUUGAUGGUACAUGAUAGUGAGAGAAGGGGGUGUCACACUCAGCUAAAGUUCUUUUCAAAAUAUUGCAUGGUGUUUAAUUUUAUGUGUCGGCGCGCGUGUGAAUGGAACCUGCAAAAGUCCAAAUUGGCGUUUCUCCAUUUUCCACAUAGGAUGGUGACGUUAAUAGACAAAGAUACAAUAUCUGUAGACAUUGCUUAAAAAUCGAUGUGAAGUAUUAGAAAUUACAGGGCACUGUACUGGGGGAGCGGCUGCCCCGCCAAAGGAGGAAGAAUGUAGCAAUUUCUUCUGUUAGCCAGGCCUUAGGAUUUAUGCAUGGGAUGCCUAAUAACAAACAGAGAAAAUAUACUUUUGGGGAAGGUAUCCAACAACAGACACCAUCAUUCAGAUGGUGGGAAGGUAUCCAACAGAUGCCAUCAUUCAGAUGGUAACAUAUAUAUACAUUUAUUAGUGAGUUUUUUUAAUACCUAUAAAAAAAAAUAUACACUUUGAUAUUGUGGCUGAAUCCAUUACAUACUCAACUAACCUUGCUCAUUAGGGAUUUGACUUAACAAGGGCAACGUUGCAGUACAAGCUCAAAACUUUAUGCAGGUGACAUUACAUUUGGUAAAGAAGAGGAAAAUAACGAAAGCCAUCCAUAAAAGCAAAAUUCCACAUGGGAUGAAAUUCACAAGCUUCAUUUACGAUAGAGUCGCAUCCAGGCAAUUAAUUCCACAUUAGACCGCCUGUUGACAUGUGUACCAAUCUUUUUUCAAAAAAUAUUUAUAAAUAAUUGAUACUCACAAAAAUAAUUUAAUAUUUAUAAAGGAUAAAAAAAUAUUUUCAAAUCUAUAACAAUUUAUAAAAUAUUAAUAAAAAAUUAUCUCUUAAACUUAGUAUAGUUUUAUCAGAUUAAACUUUUAUUUUGAACAAAUAAUUUUAAUCUAAGUUUUAAAUUCUAAAAUUAUUUCCUUAAAAUAAAAUUUUAAAAUUCAACACUUCAAUUGAAAUUGUCUUUUUAAAAAAUAUCUUCUUAUUUUAAUCCUUAUAAACUAUAGUUGAUUGAAAAUACUAUUGAAGUUCUCUCUUAAAAAAAAGUCUUAUUUUAAUCUUCAUAAAUUGCCCUUGAUUUGAAAAUAAAUUUUCAGUUAUCAUAUUUUAAAUAAUAUCUAUAUUUAAAAUACUCUAUUUAAAAAAAAAUGAACUAAUUUUAAUUAUAUUAUAUUUUAUUUUUUUAUAUAUUUUUAAUGAUAAACCAAACAUAGAAAAUCAUUUUUCUAAAUAUUUUAAAAUUUCUAAGCAACCAAACAUAAUCUUCAAAAUAAAAGGAAAAUAAGGAGGGACAUUUGAGAAAUGGCGAUUAAAAAAAAGUGUACAAAAGCUCAAUUAAUUUUCUUCUAGUCUUUUAUAUAAAAAAGUAAAGGAAUUGAAAAGUAUUGAUAUGUAAAUUAAUAUUUGGAUUUUAAUAGUAUUUUAUUUGUCUUUCUCUAUCUCAUGUAAAAGAGAAUUUAAGAUAUUUCCUAAAGCAAAGCAUUAGUUAUCUGCAAUCAGUGGUGAUCAUGCCCCAUGUCAAUUUCGGACCCAUAUCUUAAAACUGUAUAAUUUGCAUUCAAACAUUACUGAUUUCUCAGAUGUUUCAUACUCCACAGAAGAGCAUUGUUUGUGAAAGCAUGCAUUUAUGUUGGAUUUUGGAUGAUGUGGGAACUGGGGCAAGGAUCAUAUGGAAGAGUGGUCGAUUUUGUUCUGUACUUUAACAUUUGAAAUAGGAGAAGCUCGGGCAUUUGUGGGGCUUAAUUGAUUUUGAAGCCUGAAAUUGCGUUUCUGUCAUUUUGUAAAAAAUAUGGCAGAUUCCAUGCUCUCAUAUGUUUGGUCUGUGGCCAUGUAUAGAUGCCCCUUAGUGACCAGUUUGUAACUGUCAAUCAUAGUGUUUUGACUCUGGCUCAACAACAUCAGCCAUUGACGGAUUUUCAUACUUGCAAAUCAAAUAGUCUUCUUCCUCCCUUAGGAAUUUCGGUUUAAAUGUUAUUAAGCAUACAUUUGGCUGACAAUUAUUAACCACUUCAUGAUAUGGUUUCUUACCCUUAAUCAAUGGUUUCUAAGUGAAUAUAUGCAGAAGGAAAUCUGAACUGUAGACAGCAGUAUUGAUAACUCUCAAUAUUCUUUAUAUAAGAGAAUAAACAACGUCAUAGUGAUCGUCGCCUACAAGAAAGGUACAUUUCCCAACAAGAUGUAGUUGUGACUGGUACAUGGACGCAAUUAACUCGUACAAAAGAAUAAGACCAGUGCACGGCAGCUCUUAUUUUACAUGCUAAUUAUGCUAACCAAAGUCACUCAGUUGGGAUGGGAGGGAGAUGGAGGUUUGUGCGGUGGCUUGUGGGGCGGAGUUGGUGGCUUCUUUUCAGGAGCUUGUGGCUUUUUCGGAGCUGAAGGAGGCUCAAUCUUAUGAGGCGGCUUGUACGAGUCUUCUUUACUCUCGACAGGAGGGUGGCCAGGGUUGUGACCAUAAUGUGGUGGCUUCUCUCCCUUAGGUGGCUUGCCAACUGGGGUUGGUGGCUUGUGUUCAGGAAGUGGUUUCUCUCCCUUGGGAGGUUUACCAAUUGGGGUUGGUGGCUUGUGUUCUGGGAGUGGUUUCUCUCCCUUGGGAGGUUUAGUGGGUGACUUGUGUUCUGGAGGUGGCUUCUCCACCGGAGGCUUGUGCUCCGGUGGUGGCUUCUCCACCGGAGGCUUGUGCUCCGGUGGUGGCUUCUUGAUUGGAGGGGGCUUGGGGUAAUCAGCAAGAGAUGGGAUGGUGAGAACCACCACUCCAAGGAACAACACUAGCAAGUAUGUGGGAGACAUUUCUGAGUUUGAGCUGAUCAGAUGAUGCAAAACUAGAAGAAUUACGGGACCUUUUAUAGCAAGUAUCUCCCAAUACCCACAUGACACGUGUUACUAUGACCAUAAAUAUUAUAGGGUCCAUUUGUGCCCUACCGGGUUGAAAACUUGGACGCUUGGCCGAGGACACACCUGACUAUGGAGGACUAUUGACGUGUGAUCACAGCUUUUGGAUUUUUCUUCCUGUGCAGCUGUCUAGCGGUUGGCAUUAUUUUCUUAAUCUUAAAUAAAGGCAUAGUUAUAGAGUUGUUUAAUCUCUAAAUGGGAUUUUAUAUAUCUUCAGAUAGCCAUUAAUAUAUUUGAUGAAGAAAGACAAGUGCAUACAACAUGUAUACGGCUUGCUUCAAUCGAGUACAUUUAUGAUCAGUUUUCCUGUGCAAGUAAACCAGUUUUUUGUUCCACAACUAUUUUGGAAUCUUGUUUAUCAGUUUCUAUCAUUAUAAUGUCACAUAGGCUGCAAACUUGGGCACCCAAAGAUCUAGGUGGGCAAAUUUGUUUCAGACUUUCAAUGGUGGAUUCAGUAAUUGUUAAAAGGUGUUUCUUCAUUAAGGAAAGAGUCCGGUAAAAAUAUUGUUAAAAGGUGUCAUAGAAACUAUAAUAAAUAAAUAACUUCUUUUCCCCAUGGGUGGUGUUUCUUCUGGGGAUCAGUGACUGGUUAGGGUCACCCAAAAUGAGUCCAGAUUAAAAUUGGUUCGAGUCAAAGCAGUCUCUUUUGUCCAGAAAUCAACUAUUUUGCGCAUUGAAUGAAUCGAUAAAGAAAAAAUGAAAGCCAAAUCACACCUCCCCUGCAAAACCUAAACCCCGGUUGCUAACUUUCUAUGUUUCAGUCCUAUUCAUAUAGGAAUAUUGGUUCAAGUUUGAGAAAAAUGGCAACUUACCUAGGGUUUACUUGGUUUUGGUUUGCGACUAUUUACGCAACCAACCAUGAGUUUGACUUUAACGUCAUGGGUUGAAGCCUCCUACAAUCAUGUAUGAUAGUUCAAAGCUCGUGGAAGAAAUUAUACAGGAAGGAAGAAACCUCCAAAGCUAGCUCCAAAAGAGAAUUAUCACAUCGAUAGCUCCAGAGAUUCCCAAGGGAACUGAAUCAAAGACAAGUUCCUCACUUUUUCUUCUUUUGAGGCCAAAUAUGAACCAAGGAUCACACGACCUCAUUCAACUUCAUAAGUUUGAUUUCAUGCAGUUGAACACUGGGUGAAGGCCAUGACAAGAAUUGAUUAAAAAAUUCUACCACUCUUUUAAGUAAUGGAAGAUUAUUAUCUCUGAUUGGCACCACAACAGCACAUGCUGCUAGAUCUUUCUAGACACUCCAUGCAAUGAAAGCACAAUGGAUCUUGUAAUGAUAGAAACUAAGCCAUGCUACAGUACUAGAUGAGGGGGUAAAACUAGUAGACAUCUUUCUAGACACUCCAUGCAAUGAAAGCACAAUGGAUCUUGUAAUGAUAGAAACUAAGCCAUGCUACAGUACUAGAUGAGGUGGUAAAACUAGUAGACAUGGCUGGCAGUUGAUUACUACUCAAAAAGUACUCUUUUAUAGCUUGAAACUAACUGUUUUAAACACUUUUGAGUAGUAGUUAAUACCUUUUAACUUAAUUGGCACAUUAAGGAACCUAGCAAGGGUUACUAAUCAACAUUUGGCAAGUUUUGAUGUUUUUGGUAGCUAUUUGAUCAUUGAAACAAGCCAAGAAUGAGGGGGAAUUUUGUGAAGUCCAUGGCAAUGCAAGUUAAAGCUCAAAUACAUGAAGAAUCCAAGCUUUGGAGCACUUCAUAGCCCUUUGCCAAGCCAAUCAAAGAUGCAAGGAAGAAAACCAAAGGAAGAAAUCCAACAAUCAGCAUUUUGGCAUGGCUAUGUGAAAUUUCGCACACCAUGCGAAACCACAAGAGGCAGCCAAAGAAUUUCGCAUGGUAUGCGAAAUCUUCUUGUGCACUGACUCUGUUAGAUUUUUAUCUUCAGAUAUUUUGUGUAAUUUCCUAGUUUCUCCUUGUAACCAACUUAGAUAUUUUCUUUUAUAUCUUUUUUUAUAUUUUUUAGGUAACAUCAUAUAUAAGAGGAGAGACAUAAGGAGGAUAUGGAUGUUUUUCAUAGAACACUUGUAAAUUUUUGGUAGUAAGAAAUAUACAAAGCUUUUUGCUCUGCCUUACCUUCUCAAGGGAUGAGUGGCUAGGUUUUCUUGGAGUGAGGGAAGCUAGGUGAAGGACCUGAAUGCAAAGGUGGGAGUUUUCCUUACUUUAAAUGAAAGUAGUUGUUAAACAUUAAUGGUUUUUAUUUUAAGGUUUAGCUUUAAAUCCCUGAAAAACACCUUGAAUGGCCAAUACUUGGUAAGCUUUUUAGAUUCUAUGGAUGCUUAUUGCUAGAUCCAUGGAUGUCUAUUAGUUAUCAUUUACGAGCCAUUGGAAGGUGAUUCAAGGUGAGGGUCUUUAGUGUUUGAAGCCAUUAAUGGGAAGCAAUUACCAUUUUUUCAUGAAUCCUUUGGAUCAAAUCUUAAUUGCUAAAUAUAAAACCGGUUUCGAGAGAUAACCACCAUCCUUUAUGUUAUUAUCCCCAACGCGAGGAGAAGAUCCGAAAUCUUCCUUUUUAUCUAAGGAACCCGAUCCUAGUGACCUAAAGCUCCAAGAUACCUUUUCUUUGUAGUUAACUUCAUUUAUUGUUUUUGCUUAACUUAAAAUCAAUCUUUGCAACCACAAUUCCAUUUUCUUUAAAAGCUAAUUUUUAUAAGGAAAAACACCAUUUUAUUUCCUUCACUAAGUCAACUGUACGAUGAAAACCCAUCCCUGUGGACGAUCCUAGAGCCACUAUACUAUGUUAGCUAUGCUACCCUAGUGUGAGGUGAUUUAGGUUUUAUAAAUUUUUUUGAUAACACCCAUCUGAGCCAGAAUCAAAUGGCACGACUGAACCAGGGACGAAUCAAAUGACGCCGCUACCAAGGAUGGUGCCAAAGUACAUUGACAUGACUUUUGGUGAACACUUGUGAUCUUCACCACAAGUUUGGUGAUUUUUCUUUUACUAAUUUUUUUUAUUUUAGCUUAUCUUUUAUUUAGUUUUUAGUUAACCUUAAAUUUUUCCUAGAAUUGUAUUUCUUUUGUUUUCUUUGUUUUUGUUUCAGUGAUCUUUAGUUGUGCAUGCCCUAUUGGAUAAGAGAUAUUGAGGGAAUACUUGUGAAGAUUGAAACUCCUCGAGAAACUGAGUUAGAAGUGUGCUUGAACAUCAUGGAUGUUCCACCUGAAGACCAGAAUAGCCAACAUGGUUAAGAGGAUAAUUUCAACACAUACCGAUCCAUGAGGAACCGCAUACAUCCACCUUGUAUGAGUGCACCGUCAGGCAUAAUGCCUCCCACUGAGCAGCUAGUAAUCUGACCUCACAUUGUGCCACUCCUACCUACUUUCCAUGGGAUGGAGAGUGAGAAUCCCUACUCGCAUAUUAAGGAAUUCGAGGAGGUUUGUAAUACAUUCCAAGAAGGAGGAGCUUCAAUUGACUUGAUGAGGCUCAAGCUAUUUCCUUUCACUUUGAAGGAUAAGGCCAAGAUUUGGCUUAAUUCUUUAAGGCCAAGAAGUAUCCAAACUUGGAUUGAUUUGUAAGCCGAGUUUCUUAAGAAGUUCUUCCCUACCCAUAGGACCAAUGGUUUGAAAAGGCAAAAUUUGAACUUCUCAGUUAAAGAGAAUGAGAAAUUCUAUGAGUGUUGGGAGAGCUACAUGGAAGCUAUUAACGUUUGUCCUCACCAUGGCUUUGACACAUGGCUCUUAGUGAGCUAUUUUUACAAUGGUAUGUCUUCUUCAAUGAAGCAACUCCUAGAAACUAUGUGUGGAGGAGACUUCAUGAGUAAGAAUCCGGAGGAAGCCAUGGACUUUUUGAGUUAUGUGGCUGAAGUUUCAAGAGGAUGGGAUGAACCAAAUGCUAGAGAGGUGGGAAGAAUGAAGUCUCAACCUAAUGCUAAGGGUGAGAUGUAUGUUUUGAAUGAAGACAUUGACAUGAAAGCAAAGGUUGCAGCUAUGGCAAGGAGAUUGGAAGAGCUAGAAAUGAAGAACAUACAAAAAGUGCAAGCCAUUUCUGAGACAUCAAUGAAAGCUAUGCCUUGUUCCAUUUGUCAAUCUUAUAAGCACCUAGUGGAGGAGUGUCCUACAAUUCCAGCAGUGAGAGAGAUGUUUGGUGAUCAAGCAAAUGUUAUUGAUCAAUUCAAGCCUAAUAACAAUGCUUCAUAUGGCAACACCUACAAUUCAAAUUGGAGGAACCAUUCAAAUUUCUCUUGGAAACGAAAGCCACCUCAAUACACACAACCUACUCAAGCACCUUAGCAAUCCUCGAAUCUUGAACAAGCUAUUGUGAACCUUAGCAAGGUUGUGGGAGACUUUGUGGGAGAUCAGAAGUCCAUCAAUGCUCAACUGAAUCGGAGAAUUGACAGUGUGGAGAGUACAUUGAACAAAAGGAUGGAUGAGAUGUAAAAUGAUCUGUCUCAAAAGAUAGACAAUGUCCAAUACGUAAUCUCAAGGCUUACCAACCUCAACACAGUGUAAGAGAAAGGAAAGUUUCCUUCUCAACCUCAUCAAAAUCCUAAGGGUAUCCAUGAAGUAGAGGCUCAAGAGGGAGAAUCUUCAAAGGUGAGGGAAGUCAAAGUAGUUAUCACCUUGAAGAGUGGUAAAGAGGUUGAUCAACCCACAUCCAAGCCAAAGCAUAAUGAAGAGAGUGUAGCAGAAAAAGAAAAGAGAGGAAAAUAAAGGAAUUAGAAUAGAGAAAAAUACAAAGAAAGAUGACCAUGAGUCUAGUGUGGAUGAAGAGCCCGAGAGGAUGGUGAUCAAGGAAGAUAUGAUGAAGAAACACAUGCCUCCACCUUUCCCCUAAGCUUUGCAUGACAAAAAAAGAACCAAUAAUACAUCAGAAAAUUUUGAAGUAUUGAGGCAAGUGAAGGUCAAUAUCCCUUUGCUAGACAUGAUCAAACAAGUGUCGACAUAUGAAAAAUUCUUGAAGGACUUGUGCACUGUAAAGAGAGGGUUGAAUGUGAACAAGAAAGCUUUAUUGACCGAGCAAGUGAGUUCCAUCAUACAGUGCAAGUCCUAGUGAAGUACAAAGAUCCGGGUUGCCGUACCAUCUCAGUGAGUAUUGGAAGGACUUGUGUGGAGAAAGCUUUGUUGGACUUGGGAGCAAGUGUGAAUUUGCUAUCCUACUCUGUCUAUAAGCAGUUGGGAUUUGGAGAGUUGAAGCCAAUAUCCAUCACUCUAUCUCUAGCGGAUAGAUCAAUGAAGAUUCCAAGAGGGAUGAUCGAAGAUGUCCUGGUUCAAGUUAACAAAUUCUACUAUCCAGUAGAUUUUGUUGUUCUUGAUAUGGAUCCGGUUGUCAAAUGAACUAAUUAUGUUCCUAUCAUACUUGGAAGACCCUUCCUAGCUACAUCAAAUGCAAUCAUCAAUUGUAGGAAUGGAGUCAUGCAACUCACAUUUGUCAACAUGACAUUAGAGCUCAACAUCUUCCAUUUGUACAAGAAGCAUAUCCAUCAGGAGGAAAAAGAAGGUCUAGAGGAAGUGUGAAUGAUUGACACUUUAGUGGAAGAGCAUUGUGAUCGAGAAUGCAAAAAGAUUUAGUUGAGAAUUUUGGGGAUCUUGAUGAAAGGUUACUUGAACCCUCAGAUUUGCUUGCUACCCUACUCCAUUGGAAGAGAAGAGAAGAAAUUCUACCCUUAUUCAAUGAGGAGGAGACGCAAAGAGCUGCAAAGGAGAAACCCCCAAAACUUAUUCUUAAGCCACUACCCACAGAGUUGAAGUAUGUAUACUUGGAAGAAGACAAGAAGUGCCCUAUUGUUAUAUCUUCAACUCUUACCAUUCAUCAGGAGGAUUGUCUACUUGAAGUCCUUAGAAGAUGUAAGAAGACAAUAAGGUGGCUAAUUUCUUAUUUGAAAGGGAUCAGCCCUUUAGUCUGCACCCAUCAUAUUUACAUGGAGGAUGAAGCUAAGCUAAUUCAUCAACCUCAGAGAAGGUUGAACCCUCACAUGCAAGAGGUGGUUCGAGCUGAAGUUCUGAAGCUACUUCAGACCAGUAUUAUUUACCCCAUAUCAAAUAGCCCAUGGGUGAGUCCUACUCAAGUUGCGCCAAAGAAGUCUGGGAUCAUGGUGGUGCAAAAUGAUAAGGGAGAAGAUGUCUCUACACGCCUCACUACAGGUUGGAGGGUGUGUAUCAAUUACAGGAGGUUGAAUGCAGUGAUAAGAAAGGACCAUUUCUCAUUGCCCUUUAUUGAUCAGGUGCUUGAGAGGGUCUCUGGGCUUUUUUUUUUAUUGUUUCUUGGAUGGCUACUCCGGGUACUUUCAGAUAGAAAUUGAUGUUGAAAACCAAGAUAAGACCAUUUUCACAUGCCCAUUUGGAACCUAUGCAUAAAGGAGAAUGCCUUUCGGCUUAUGCAAUGCACCCGCAACUUUCCAAAGAUGCAUGUUAAGCAUUUUCAGUGAUAUGGUGGAGCGUAUUAUGGAAGUCUUUAUGGAUGAUAUCACCAUUUAUGGAAGUGCAUUUGAUGAAUGCUUGGUCAACUUAGAAGCUGUUCUGAACCGAUACAUUGAGAAAGACUUAGUGCUUAACUGGGAGAAGUGCCAUUUCAUGGUACACCAAGGGAUUGUCCUUGGGCACAUUAUCUCCAAGCAAGGCAUUGAAGUUGACAAAGCAAAGGUUGAACUCAUUGUUAAGUUGCCAUCCUCAACAAAUGUCAAAGGAGUAAGGCAAUUCUUUGGCCAUGUCGGGUUCUAUAGGAGGUUUAUCAAGGAUUUCUCUAAGCUUGCAAGGCCUCUUUGUGAAAUAUUGGUGAAUGAUGUUAAAUUCAUAUGGGAUGAUGGAUUUGAAAGGAGUUUUGAAGAAUUGAAGCUAUUUUUGACAACCGUACCAAUAGUGAGGGCUCCCAACUGGCAACUGCCCUUUGAAGUAAUGUGUGAUGUCAAUGAUUUUGCUAUAGGAUUUUUUCUUGGGCAAAGAGAAAAUGGAAAACCUUAUGUGAUCUACUAUGCGAGGAAGGCAUUGAAUGAGGCACAAAGAAACUACACAACCACCGAGAAAGAAUUGUUAGCUGUAGUUUUUGCCUUGGAUAAGUUUCGCGCUUACUUGGUGGGGUCCUUCAUCAUGGUUUUUACUGAUCACUUUGCUUUGAAGUAUCUGUUGACUAAGCAAGAUGCUAAAGCAAGGCUGAUUAGAUGGAUUCUCUUACUUCAAGAGUUCAAUCUCCAUAUCAAAGAUAAGAAAGGAGUGGAGAAUGUGGUAGCAGACCACAUUUCAAGGCUAGCUAUCGCACAUAAUUCCCAUGCUUUGCCCAUUAAUGACGAUUUUCUAGAGGGGUCUCUCAUGUUGGUGGAAGUUGUCCCUUGGUACGCUCACAUUGCUAACUACCUGGUCACGGGAAAAGUUCCAAGUGAGUGGAAAGCACAAGAUAAGAAGCACUUCUUUGCAAAAAUUCAUGCCUACUAUUGGGAAGAGCCAUUUCUAUUCAAGUAUUGUAUGGAUCAGAUAAUAAGGAAGUGCGUUCCUGAAGAAGAGCAACAGGGGAUCCUUAGUCAUUACCAUGAAAAUGCAUGUGGAGGCCACUUUGCUUAUCAAAAGACAGCCAUGAGGGUGUUGCAAUCGGGUUUCUGUUGGCCAUCACUUUUCAAAGAUGCCCACACCAUGUGCAAGAGUUGUGAUCGAUGCCAGAGGCUUGGGAAGUUGACACGCAGGAACAUGAUGCCUUUGAACCCCACUUUAAUAGUUGAUAUUUUUUAUGUUUGGGGCACUAACUUCAUGGGACCUUUCCCUAUGUCUUUUGGCUACUCUUACAUCUUGGUAGGAGUAGAUUAUGUUUCUAAGUGGGUUGAGGCAGUCCCAUGCAAACACAAUGACCAUAGAGUGGUUCUCAAGUUUCUUAAAGAGAAUAUCUUCUCAAGAUUUGGGGUGCCCAAAGCCAUAAUUAGUGAUGGGGGUACUCAUUUUUGCAACAAGCCUUUUGAAACUCUCCUAGCCAAGUAUGGGGUGAAGCAUAAGGUAGCUACACCUUACCACCCUCAAACUCAUGGACAAGUUGAGUUAGCAAACAGGGAGAUUAAAAACAUAUUGAUGAAGGUGGUGAACACAAACAGAAAAGAUUGGUCAGUCAAGCUUCUUAAUUCACUAUGGGCAUAUAGAACAACUUACAAGACCAUUCUCGGGAUGUCUCCUUAUCGCCUAGUUUAUGGCAAAGCAUGCCAUCUCCCUGUGGAAUUGGAAUACAAAGCUUGGUGGGCAAUCAAGAAGCUCAACAUGGAUUUGAGCAGAGCUGGGUUGAAGAGGUUCUUAGACCUUAAUGAGAUGGAGAAAUUGAGAAAUGAUGCCUACAUCAAUUCAAAAAUUGCAAAAGAAAAAUUGAAGAGGUGGCAUGAUCAGUUGAUUUCCCGCAAGGAUUUUCAAAAUGGACAAAGAGUCUUACUUUAUGACUCUAAACUCCACAUCUUUCCGGGCAAGCUGAAAUCAAGGUGGAUAGGUCAUUUUACCAUUCACCAAGUGCAUUCAAAUGGAGUAGUGGAACUACUCAACUCCAACAAUAUCGAGAACUUCAAAGUGAAUGGCCACCGUCUCAAGCCCUUUGUGGAGUCUUUUUCUCACAACAAGGAGAAAUUCAUCCUCCUUGAUCCACAUCAAGCUUAACAAGACCAAUUUUCUUGAUGGACUUAGUCUUUCUAAAGACUAUCGAGUCCAUAACUUUUUGUUUUAUUUUUUAUUUGAGAUUUUUUCGGUAUUGUUACUUGUUUUGUUUUUUAUUUUUCGUUUUAAUUUUAUUUGGUUUGAUUUAACUUAGGUUUUUGAUGAUCAAUUACAGGGGGGAUUUCAAAUAGAGGAAAAACCAAGAUAAUUCGCACACCCUACGAAAAUUUCGCAAGGCAUGCGAAAUUUAUGGCUUAUUUUGCAUGGGGUGAAAAUUUUCGUACAUCUUACGAACCAAUUUCGAACACUUUGCGAAAAUAAACCAACCCUGCGAAAUCAUUUCGAUUACUCUACGAAAUUUUCGUAGAGCAUGCGAAAAAUUUAGCACACCAAACACCAUUUCGCAUACUAUGCAAAAACCUAAGGGGUCUGCGAAACCAUUUCGCACCUCCAAAUCCAUUUCGCACAUUGUGCGAAAACCAAGAGGCGCUGUGCGAAAAUGAAAAGUCGCCCUGUCAUCCCUUUUUAAACCCCUCGAGCCCUAAAAUCUCCAUUUCGCAAGCACCCCUGUCCUUGCGAAUCCCUCAUUUUCCUCUACUACCUUGCAACCUCGUCCCUUUCCAUUUGAUAUUGUGCCCCGCGCACAUCUCAUUUCAGAGACUCGCACUCCGCGCCCCCUCAAAGCAUGGACUCGAGACCCACCUUCCAUUUCCGACGUGGCACGGACCCAAGGAGCCCUUUCUGCCCCUUCACUAAGACACACACCAAGGCAGAAAGCCUCCUUUGCUCAAGUGCCUAGUGAUUCUCCAUCUUAGGCCUCAGAGGCCUCGGAGGCCCCGUGGAUUCCACCUUCCGAGGGUAGAGCAGCCAUUGGUCCUUCCUCUUCUACUCCUUAGCGUAGAUACGAGACGAGGAGACCACCUACUACACAAGGGGCGACUACUUCGAGCCUUGAGAAUUCAGUACGAUGCCUUCCUGCCAAGAGGGUCAAGACUUCAGGUCCAAGUGAGUCAUCCAGAGCUUCAUAGCCUAAGCCUCCUGUAGAUUCCAAGGUUCCUACUGACAUAUCACCGGAGUCUAUUAUCAGAAGCCCGAUGCUCAUAGCACCGCCCAUUGAGGGCAACUCAGAUUAUAGAGCGAGAUCUUUCCACUUGGAGCUAUAUUUUGAUCAGGAGGCCAUACGACAGCAGCCUGAGCUCCGAGACUCUUAUGGCUUACUGCAGAGGUACCAUCUUGAGGAACUUAUGACUCCUCGUGAGUUUUUUUAUCCCAGAGUAGCACUAAACUUUUACCAGUCCAUGACUACUCGUGGCGUCCCGAGUCCUACCACGAUUCACUUCACCAUUGAUAGACGUCAUGGUAUCCUCAAGGCCAGACAUAUUACAGAGGCUCUACAAAUUCCUUUCGAGCUAGAGGAUCCAUCUGUUUUUCGCUAAUGGUCCCCAGUAUCUCAGAGGGACAUGGUCCGUAUUUUAUCUAGGGGAACAUCUACAGAUUCGAUCUUUCUACGGAAGGAGCUUCGACCUGGGAUGCUCCUCUUAGAUGUGGUGCUAUGCUCCAACCUCUUUCCCUUACAACAUUCGGUACAUAGGUGAUGAGCUAUUUUGGACGCUUUAUUCCGUAUAUCAGAGGGCUUCUACUUUGGCCCGCACCACUUGAUCAUGGUCUCCCUCAUCCACUUUGAGGAGAAGGUUCAUAGGAAGAAGCUUCAGAGGGUGGACACCAUUCCAUUACUAUUCCUGAGGUUACUUUGCCAGGUCUUGGAGUACAUGGGCUUUCCUACUGAGCCUCGGCUCGAGCUUUGCCGCCUUUGUCGAGAGUGAUCCACUCUCGACAAAUGGAAUUAGUUGGCGGGCUAUUCUGCACCUCCAGGAGCCCCUCCCAUGGUAGCACCUCCAAUGUCCCCACAGGCAAAGUAGGGCGAGCUCCCGGCAAAGACUGUACCACCAAUGCCCACACUUGAGGCUAUUUCUGCUGCUCUGCCUAUGACUCCUACUGUUCCACCAGUUGGUCCUUUUACAUCCGAGCCUUCCAUCACCAUCUCGGCUUCGGAGUUUCGCGCCCUUGUGCAUACCUUUCAGACACUCACCACCACACAUACUCCUCUCUUCUAGCAAAUGGUUGAGAUGUGUGCCCAUCAGGACCGGAAGACUACUAUACUCUGCCAAAUUCAGCAGCACCUAAGACUUUUGCCUCAACCUCAACCUAACCAUCCCAUAUCAUCAGAGCCUCUAGCUCCAACUGAGGAUACUAUUCCACCUGAGAACACUACCACAGUAGAGGUCCGGUUUCCACCACCUUAAGAGGCCACCACAGCUACAUCAGAGGAUGUGUCAUCUCCACUUGAGGCUCCCACUACUUGAUCAUAGGACAUAUCUUUAUCUUAUUGUAUUUACAUAUUAUAUUACUAGAGAUUUGUCCUUGUUUUGAUACUUUAUAUUCUGGGAUUGGAUGUAUUGCCUGAUGAUAUCUCAAUUGUACUUUCUCAUAUUAAUAUAUAGACAUCAAUUUUUUUUAGUAUACUUAGCAUUUUUCUAUUUCCUCUACUCAUUACUCUUUUGUUUUUUUUUACUCAUGUGGUUUCUCUUAUACAACUCAGACUCCAUUUCACUCAGGAGGUACCACUUCCUCCCUUUAUUUUCAAUUGCUCUUGAAAUAUUGAGUGCAAUGUUGAUCUUGGUUGGGGGGAGAGUUGAGGAAGGAAGUUUUGUUAAUAAUGCUAGGUUAAUUUGUUAAUUUAGUUACUUUCUGCUUAAUUUUAAAAGUUUUCACUCUACUUUCCAUGGUUAUUAAGGAAAAAUUCUCAAAAUGAAAUGGGAGAAAUCGAAUUCUUGCAUUUUUACUUGAAUCUUAGAAUUUGUAUCAUGCUUAUUAAAGUUGAUGAAUUAUUGAAACUCCUAUUGAAUUCAACCUUAUUUUUUCCACUUUAAUCUUACCACACACGGUGCACAUUAGGUUCCAGUUAUAAGAUAAAAAACUAUCUCACCCCCUAAACUUAGAAAAAUUUACACUUGGUACCUUUGACAUCGUUUUAAUAGUGUUGGGACACCUUAUAAAAGGCCAAUGAGCCUUUAAAAAAAAAAAAAAAAAAAAAAAGAGAAAGAACAAAGUAUUGCACUUGCCUUGAAACCUGAGCAAGAUCCGAGGGGUAUACAGUGAAAGUCUUUAAAACCUGGUGCCCUAAGCCUUGAUUGGUUGGGAGUCACCGACCUCAAUGCUCGUUAUAAGGGUGAAUAGGUGGAGUUUAACAUAUUGUAGGUGCUUGGGUAUUGAAUUUCAAUCUCAAAAGUCCGGGAAAAAAUCUAAGGAGUUAGUGGUCAAAAGAUCCUUAAAGCUUGAUGCCCUAAACCUUGAUUGGUUGAGAGUCAUUGAUGGAUCCCCGCUACAUGGACAUUUUAGAAAACAAUACCUUUAGCAUUGCACGCCUACAAUGAAAAAAAAAUGUGAAAUAAAAGAGGUGCGUUCUUAGCCUAUUGGAGGUUGGUCAGUUUGCUAAAGUUUGAGAAAUCUAGGUUGGGGGGAGAGAAUAGUCCGACAUACUAUAAUAAAAAACUAAUAACCUUAACACUUAGAUUUUUGUGGAAGAGUAAGGAUUGGACCUUUAGGGGUGGAAAUUCUUUUGAUGCUUAAAUUUGCAUAAUGCCUACUCUUUAUAAAUUAUGAUUAGGCAAGAGAUUUGAUGACUCUUGUUCAAAGUUGGGUUUUUCCUCUUUGAUGUUCCAUGAGAGAGUAUAAUCCUCAUCAUGCCACUUGAAAUCUUUUUGGAGUGAUUAACAUGAUUUUGUAAAUUAUUUUACUGUCUAUUUUUCUUUAUCUCUCUUUUAUUGCUAAUGGACUAGCAAUAUGUCAGUUGGGGGGAGUGAUUACUACUCAAAAAGUACUCUUUUAUAGCUUGAAACUAACUGUUUUAAACACUUUUGAGUAGGUGUUAAUACAUUUUAACUCAAUUGGCACAUUAAGGAACCUAACAAGGGUUACUAAUAAGUUUUUGGCAAGUUUUGGUGUUUUUGGUAGCUAUUUGAUCAUUGAAACAAGCCAAGAAUGAGGGAGAAUUUUGUGAAGUCCAUAGCAAUGCAAGUUAAAGCUCAAAUACAUGAAGAAUCCAAGCUUUGAAGCACUUCAUAGCCCUUUGCGAAGCCAAUCAGAGAUGCAAGGAAGAAAACCAGAGGAAAAAAUCCAACAACCAGCAUUUUCGCAUGGCUGUGCGAAAUUUUGCACACCAUGCGAAACCACAAGAAGUAGCCAAAGAAUUUUGCACACCAUGCGAAAUUUCGCAUGGUAUACGAAAUCUUCCUAUGCACCAACUCCGUUAUAUUUUUAUCUUCAGAUAUUUUGUGUAAUUUCCUAGUUUCUCCUUGUAACCAACCUAGAUAUUUUCUUUUAUAUCUUUUUUUUAUAUUUUUUAGGUAACAUCAUAUAUAGGGGGAGAGACAUAAGGAGGAUAUGGAUGUUUUUCAUAAAACACUUUUAAUUUUCUGGUAGUAAGAAAUAUACAAAGUUUUUUGCUCUGCCUUACCUUCUCAUUUUGUUUUCACCUAUCUUUCUAGCCAAACAACCUCUGAGAAUGAUUUCUCAGGGGAUGAGUAGUUAGGUUUUACGUUUCUUGGAGUGAGAGAAGCUAGGUGAAAGACCCAAAUGCUAAGGUGGGAGUUGUCCUUGCUUUAAAUGAAAGUAGUUGUUAAAUAUUAAUGGUUUUUAUUUUAAGGUUUAGCUUUAAAUCCCUUAAAAACACCUUGAAUGGCCAAUACUUGGUAAGCUUUUCGGAUUCUAUGGAUGCUUAUUGCUAGAUCCAUGGAUGUCAUUAGUUAUCAUUUAUGAGCCAUUGGAAGGUGGUUCAAGAUGAGAGUCUUUAGUGUUUGAAGCCAUUAAUGGGAAACAAUUACCAUUUUUUCAUGAAUCCUUUGGAUAAAAUCUUAAUUGCUAAAUAUAAAACUGGUUCGGGAGAUAACCAUCCUUUAUGUUAUUAUGCCCAAUGCAAGGAGAAGAUUUCGAAUCUUCUCAUUUGUCUAAGGAACCCGAUCCUAGUGACCUAAAGCUCCUAGAGACCUUUUCUUUGUAGUUAACUUCAUUUAUUGUUUUUGCUUAACUUAAAAUCAAUCUUUGCAACCACAAUUCCAUUUUCUUUAAAAGCUAAUUUUUAUAAGGAAAAGCACCAUUUUAUUUCCUUCACUAAGUCAACUGUAUGAUGAAAACCCAUCCCUGUGGACGAUCUUAGAGCCACUAUACUAUGUUAUCUAUGCUAUCCUAGUGUGAGGUGAUUUAGGUUUUAUAAAUUUUGUUGAUAACACCCGUCUGAGCCAGAAUCAAAUGGAACCACUGAACCAGGGACAAAUCAACAGCCUAUAUGGGAGGGACACAAGUUUAAUUGAUUUGCAUUUCAGCGUUAUAGAUAAGUAUGUUUUGGAAGAUUUGUUCUGGAAAUACUGCACCAAGUACGAUUCUUUUUCUCUUGAGUGAGUCCAUUUGCAUGCCAAUUAACGAGUUGAAAAGUAGGAGCACCUACCUCGUGCUCAUGGAACCGAAUGUCAGUGAAGUGGGGCUCCUUUUAGCCUCUUGUGUUUCUGUUCCAACCAAGGCGGCGUAGGGAAAAACAACAAUAUGUCUGUGCUAAAUAUCAACGCAUGAUAGAUGUUUUUUUUUUUUUUUUUGGUAUGUCAAGGCUAACGAAUGAAAUGCAUUAGCUUGUUUUGUGACUAUAACUGCAAAUGUCCAAAUUGGAGUAUCUCCAUUUCUCACUUCGGAUGGUUAACUUUAUAAACAAGAUAUAGGAAACAUGUGAACAUCUUGAGGAACAAUUCAAAUUAUUCAUUAGAAGUCCUGGGUUAAGUUCCAAGAUUUAAAUCAGACCCUUCUAGCAGCUUCAAGGGUACUUAGCAACCUAUAACAUAUUAAUGAAGAUUUAGGAUUUAGACUCCGGAAUACAAAUAAAUAUGUAUCUCAUGCUUUGACUAGCUUCCCUACAUAUGCAUAAAAUGGAGAUGACCCAAAAAAAAUAGCAGAAUCUAGCUUCCCUACAUAUGCACAAAAUGGAGAUGACCCAAAAAAUAGCAUAAUCGCCUUAGUUUCUGUGGUUAAGGUGAUUCUCCGCUUAAUAUCCACAUUGACUCAUUAUGCAAAAUCAACUGAGCUAAUUUUAUUUAUUUAUUUAAUGUCAAAUAGGAACUCCUAAUUAACUGAUUACUGUCGAAAAGUGCUAUUUUGUAGACCUAAUUAUAAGGGUUUUAAGCACCUUUGAGUAGUAAUCAUAUUCAUUUAACCUAAUUAAUUCAUUAAGCUCCUUAGUAAUUAGUUCUAACCAUUUUUAGUGGCAAGUUUACAUGUUUUUCAUCAGCUUAUGAACCAAUUCAAGCAUGCCAAUUGAUGGAGGAGCUACUUGGGCGAGUUAAGCAAGGAUUUUGGACGUUUACAGGCUUGAAUUUCAAGUGGAAACACGAGCACAAGCAAUGGGAACACCAUUUCGCAAGGGGAGGCAAUUCACCUUGCCAAAUGACCAAUUUCGCAAGGGGAUUUUCCUCAUGGUGCAAAAUUUGGUCAUUUCGCACCAUGAAGAAACCACCUUGCAAAAUUUCGCAAGGUGGAUUUAGGCACCUUGCGAAAUGCCAAAUUUCACAAGGUGGCUUUUCACCUUGCGAAAUUUGGACCUUUCAUCUUCCCCCCUUGCGAAAUGCCUUUGAAAUCCCCUGUUUUGAGACGCUGUUGAUGAUAUUCCACUGCCGGUUCUCCAAGAUAUUUUGCUUGACUUUUAGCUUUAUAAAUACCUAUUUUACCCUUGUAAUCAACCAAUGAAAAGGUUGCUUUUGUAAUAGCUCUUGUAAUUUAGCUUUUUAUUGUCUUUAAAUAGAGGUGAAGAGCCUCAGACACGAUCAUCUUGUAACCUGUAACUUUAUAAGUUAUAAGAGCACUUUUGUUCAUACGCUUCUUUUCUCUUUUCUUUCUCAUUUUCUUAGUAGCCAAACAUCCUUGGAGGAUGAAAUCCCCAAGGAUGAGAGGCUAAAACCUUUUAGUUUCUUGAAGUAAUGGAUGCCAUGUGAAGCUCCCGUGUCAGGAUGGAGAUUUCCAAGCCAUAAAUGUAAGUAGCUGAGCGUCAUAAAUGUUUUCAUUCAAAGUAAAGCUUUUAAUCCCUCUGACUUGCUUUGAAUGGCCAAUACUUGAUAACCUUUUGGUCUCAAUGGAUUCUUAUUGUUAGAUCCACUGACGUUCAUUAGUUAUCUCCUACGAGCCAUUGUAUUGCAAGUCGAGGAGAUGACCUAUACCAAUAAAAGAGCAUUUAUGAGGUUCAACUACCCUUUUUGUAAGUUUUCAAGGACUAAAACUCAGUUGUUAAACUCAUACCGGUUCGAGAAGUAAGCAUCACCUUAGUUGCUUCCCCAACUCGAGGUGAAAAGUCCCAAAAUCUCCAUUUUUACACAGUGAGUUAAGCAUGGCUAUCCAAAGCUUUAAGAAACUUCUUUUUCCAUCUUUUAACCUAUUUUCAUGUUAGUUUAGUUUACAACACCUUCAUCUUUUUAUGUUUUCAUCUUAACCUAAUUUUUAUUAAGAAAAGUUCACUCCAUCCUCCGAACUUCACCAGUUAAAGUAAAAACCCUUCCCAGUGUUCGAUCCUAGAGCCACUAUGCUAUAGUAGCUUUGCUACUUUAGUGUAAGGACCUUAGGUAUAAAUUUUGUUGAUACCCUUACAUGCCAAGCUACCAAGAGUCGGGUUAUCAUUAACCUAACCAUUGGCCUGUGUAAAUUGAUUUCACAUGCACAAUGUUGUAGUAGAAGUCCAUAUUUUGAAUUUUAUUUUUGUAAAGGUAAGGAAAAUGAAGCAUUGUGUAAUUAUAAAAAUAACUUCAUUGGAAUUCACAAGGUUCACCCAAAAUGGAGCUACAUCUGUAUUCUAUCCUACAGUAGACUAUAUAGAUUGUACAAUAGUAAAUUGCAAAUACAAUUAAUAAGUCUUGUGCUUCCUUACUAAUAAUCCUUUGACAUGAACAUUGCAGCACUAAGGUCCUCUUGGGAAGACACCUUGCACCCAUGAGAGCACUAAGAGGAAGCAAGGCAGAGUCAUGGGUGCAAUGUCAUGACUUGUUGUUGCACCAAGAGAGGCUUGGUGAUGCCAUGGUGUUGCAGUAGCAAGAAUGUUGCCUUGGCAGGGACACGAUCUAGGGAUAGAUGCCAAGAAAGGCUUAGCACUCACAUGAGUUGCACAAAGAUGAAUGUAAUAGAGCAUCAGAGAGACGUCUUGGCAAGUAAAUGAAUGGAUCCAAGAGACAACAACAUGAGGAGUUUCAAAUGGAUAAGGAAUGACUCAAAGACAUUUGAAAGCUACAAGUUGGAUUCUAAUUACGAUUGCAAUUUGAGUUUGAGUAGGAGUUUAGAUUUUGAUUGUAAUUGUAGUAUGAGUUGGACUAGGAUUGCUUAUCCUUAGUCAAUAUAGGAGCGGUUCGUGUCACCCUAUGAAAAGAGUUUGAGUAGGGACUAGGAUUGCUUACUCCUAGUCAAAUAUGGAGUAGGUGGUGCCACACCUAUAAAAAAAAGGGACAACAUGAGAGAGAGAGAGAGAGAGAAAGAGAGAGUGAAUUCACUAAAGAUAUUGUGGGAGUUUUGCUUUGUUACGUCUUGUAUUAUUACUUAGAAUAGGAAUAAAAUACAAGUUGGGGCUAGAGCCCCAUAAUUAAUCUCGUGUGCCUUUGUGGUUAUUCUUUAUUUGUCAUCUCGUGUGGAUUGGAUUAGGUUGACUUAGAGGGCUUCUAAGCACCACCUUUGUGGGUUAUUAUUUAUUUUCCAUCUCUUGUGGAUUAGAUUAGGUUGACUUAGAGGGCUUCUGAGCACCACCUUUGUGGGUUAUUAUUUAUUUUCCAUCUAUUGUGGAUUAGAUUAGGUUGACUUAGAGGGCUUUUAAGCACCACAUUUGUGGGUUAUUCUUUAUUUUCCAUAUCGUGUGGGUUGGAUUAGGUUGACAAGGAGAAAAAUUAUGUGGGAAAUUUGUGUUGGGACACUUACCAUAACCAAGUAAAAUCUACCAAGUCCUUUGUAAUAUCUUCAACAAAUAUUUUAGACUAGUUCUUUCAGUUAGUGUAAAGGAGGAAGAAGUGGUAUUGAUUCUAGAAAUAGGGUGUGUGUAUUUGAACUACAAUCCUUAUGAUCCUUAGGUCUCUAAACCUUCGUGAUGGGCUCCCUGACAUUUCAUAGGUUGUGCUACACAUGCGUUUGAAAUUUAGAGUGCGUUUGACAGUGAUUCCGGGAAGUGUUUUUGGCCUUUCUUACACUUGAAAAUUUUUAUUUUUCAAGUAUUAGAAAUGCUACAAACACUUUUGAAAAUUACUGUCAAACACACUCUUAGGAGCGCACAUAUAUAGUAGAAAACUAGAAAUUGUGGUUUUUUUAGGAUUUACUGUAAUGUCAUUAGGAGGGUAGUAAGUUGAAAUUGAGUAUGAACAAAUAUUUCUUUCUUUGGGAUGUUCUUCUAGUAGGUGCUGAUGAAACUGUUCUUUCUACUGCCAAUGUCACAUAUCAGCCAGAAAUUGAAAAUUUCAGUCAAGGUGUCCUCUGUUUUAGUGGUGAGGAAAGCUAGAAAUUUUAAGGUGAAGUUUUGUUAAAAACCUUAAGUAGCUGGGAUAUCAGGCCUGUUUUGCUUGAAAAAAAAAGUUGCAAGAUAACUCAUAUGCCAAACAGGUUCUGAUAUUGUGAAUCUAUCGGCAGACAUCAGUAAUCUCAUCUUCUGAGAUGGAUGUUGGGGGUGCAUGUGGUGGUGGAGGGGCAAGGUUUCAUUUGGUUUAUUUUGUUGAUGGAUAUUGUCUAGCCACCUGCGCCAAGUUUGAGGGGUGGUGGGUUGUGAUGACCCUACAAUUACUAUUAAUUUCUUCAUCUUUUACCGAUUAAAGUGUCCGAACAGUCGAAGUUACCCUUAUGCAUGUCAACUUGAUCACUUACCUCUUCAAUGGAGUUUAUGCUGGUUCAUUUAGGAACUGAUUUUUAUUGUUAUGUAUUAUAUGCUGAUGUUUAGGUCUCUCCAUCAUCACUAUAUACAAAAAUUCUAGGUUGAUACUAUAGGUUGAGAUUUAUUUUUUAAAUAAAAAAUAAUAAAAAUAAAAAUUAUGGUGAUGUUUAGUUGUUUUAUGGAAAAUUUUAACAAGUAAAAGUUAUUUUUGGGCAAGUUUUCAAACAAAAAGAAAAGUAAAAGUUGUUUUGACAAAAACAUAUAGAAAAAAAAAUCAUAGAAAAUAAAUAAUUUCCCCAUAUUCUAACUUUUUUGAAUUUUUCUCAAUGGGCAAAGGAAUAUCAAAUCAAGUUUGAGUAGGAUUUCUUAAUUUUUAAAAUAACUUACAAUUAAAAAAUUUUGGUGUUUUCAUUUUUGGACAAUUUUUUAUUAAGCAAAUGGACUCUGAGUCAUGCAAGAGAUAUGGUUCAUUAACCGGUCGAACAAUUUUUUUAAAUUAAUUUAAAAGUCAAAUACAUAAUCAAUUUCACAAAAUUUAUAAACAAAAAUAGGUUUAGAGAAGAUCUACACAUAAUUUUACUUUUCUAAUUUUAUUUUAUUUUAUUUUUUGUUGGAAAAUAGUCUUCAAAUCAUGUAAGAUUUAAUAGGUUAAAUUUGUUAACAAUAAAUUUUAAAUUAUAAAAUAUAAUCUGGAACUCAAAAAUCAAUUCAAGUAAUGCUAAAAAAAAAUCAAAUUUGGUAUAGAAUGACUUUGUAAAUUUUUUUACAAAACAAAUGAAUUUUAAAUCAAGUGAGAUUUAAUGCAUUAGAUUUUUAUCAAAUAUAGUAAUUUUAAAAAUAAAUUUGGAACUCAACAAUAGACACAAUAAAUACCAAAAAAUAAUGAACCAAAAUUGGUUUGGAAUAACUCCACAACCUUUUUUUUUUUUUUUUGGUGCACACGAAUUUUCUUACUAGGUAUAUUGCUUUCAAAUUGAGAAAGAUUUACCAUUUAGAUUUUUUUUUAAUGAGUUUAAUGGUAUUUUAAAAUAAUUCAAAAUUUAAAAAAUUGACUAAUUAAUAUUAUAAAUUGAUAAACCAAGACUAUUUCAAAAUGCAUUGGGGGCUAAGGGGGUUGAAAAUAGGGACAAUGGGAUGGGUUUGGGACAUGACACUCAUAUCUCAUUUCCAUUCCAAUUACACAGUUAUCUCCCAUCCUUAUCCCAAACUUGUGUUGGAGCAAGUUGAUUUGUUCCCAUCUUUGUUGACGAAAUGACUAAUAACCUCAUCCCCUCCUUAUCUUAGAUGUACAUUUUGUCAAAUUUGAUCAGGUAUGAUUGAUCCAAGCCCUAACCCUAAUUGGUAAUGAGUGAAUACUACACCUAAUUGCAUUCUUCUUUCAUUGCAAAAUAAUGAGAUUAUAAUAAUCUAGCAAAUAAGAAAAAAUAGUAUGGAAGUUCAAAUUAACACCAUAACUAUCAAUAAUUUUAAGCUUAUAGAUGACUUAAAUGAUUAAAAACUAAUGCAAAAUCCUAAAAAAAAUAAAAAUCAUAUAAAGAAUUCACAAGAGAACAGAAUGAACAAAAACCAAAUAUGAACAUGGGUCAACAUUAGUUAUGGAUUUGGAUUCCUUUCAAGGCCAAUCUUUGAACCAAGACUUCAUCAAAUCAACUACUUCAAAGGCUUUUGUGUUCUUCUUGGGUUGUGCUCUCAAACAAAGACUUCGAGGUGAUGUUCUAGAUGAUUGAAUUACACAUAUUUAGGGUGGAGAGAUUGGAGAAGCUUGAAGAUGCCAACGAUGGGUACAAUUGAGUGGUCAAUAAGAACAAUGUAGCCUAUGACUAGUUUGAUGUCAUGGUACAAGAGUUUUAGGCAUUGAGGUUAAAGCAAGAGCAACAUGGAAUUGAUUUCGGAGUCUUUCAGUUAGUGUAAAGGAGGAAGAAGUGGUGUUGAUUCUAGAAAUAGGGUUUUAAGUGGUGCGUGAUUACUACUCAAAAAGUGCUAUUUGAUAGCCUUUAAUUAAUCCUUUUUAACACUUUUGAGUAGUAGUUUAGGCCUUUUAACUCAAUUGGCAUGUUAAGGAUCCUUUAAAGCAAUUUUGAUCACUUUGUGCAAGUUUUGGUGUUUUUGUUAGUAUUUUGAUCACCAAAGCAAGUCAAGAAUGAGGAGAACUAUGAGGAAUCAUGGGCAAAGCUUAGAAUUCAAUUGCCAAGAGUGAAUCCGGAUUGCAAGGAGAAAAAGCAAAGAGAAUCUGUCAUGAAGCCUAUUCUUGAUGACAGUCGUAGCAGCCACUUUUGGAGCACUUUCUGAAGUCCAAAUGAUGCAAGCUAUAUACCAUUUCAAAGAUCAGGAAGUCAACAAUCCAAUGCUUCAAACGGUGCGCGAUUCGGAGUUGAAACGAAGAAGUUGCAGCCAUUACAAGCCAGUCACUCUAAAGUGUUGCGGAAUCAGCCUUUUGUUGCGAGAAUUUCGCAGCACUUUUGUACAGUAAGGUGUUUCUCCUUCUGACGAUGCACGAACCAUGCCGCGAGAGGGAAGCUAGGAACUUCAAGAUGGAAGCCAACUUUGCAGCCUGGUGAAGAUAGCUUGGUCUUGCGAAAUAAUUUCGCAGCCCUCUUGGGUGUCUGCGAAAUUUCGCAGGCACCACUUUUUUCCUGCGAAAUGGCUCCGGAAGCCUCCCGAAGCUUGCUACCGACAUUGGGAGAUAUUUUCCAUUAGAUUUUUGUUGUCUAAAUUCCAAAAUACUCCUUGUAAACCACCAAUUACAUGAUUCCUUAGUUUUUAAGUUAGUAAAAAGACCAAAUAUCUAUGUAAUAAUUAGUUUUAUAUUAGUUUGCUAUAAAUACCUCUCGGGAGCAUGUUCUCAGAGAGGAGUUCCUUCUGUAACCAUUUUGGUAAGCAAGUAAAGUCUUUUCUUUCUACUGCCUUACCUUCUCACUUUGUAUUUUCAUUUUAUUUCUAAGUUAUGAAUUCUCUGAGGAGCUUUCCCCAGAGAAUGAGUAACUAAACCUCCAAUUCCUUGGAGCUAAGGUUGCCGGGGAAGGUUCCAAGUGCAAGAAUGCAAAGCUCUGUGGUUUUAGCUAGUAAUGAAGAGGAAGUGAAAUCCUUUAGUGAUUUCAAUGUUUUUAGUUAACUUAAAACACCUUGGAGUCACCUGGGCCAACACUUGGUAAGGCAAGUGAUUUCCAACCGUGGAAAUGCACUAGUUUACCCCUUGCGAGCCUCUGGUAGGUGACUUCAAGGUAGGAUUUUCUGGAAUUACCAACACUUGGUAAGCUUUUGGACUCCUAGGAGACAUCCAUUAGUUAUCUCUUGCGAGUUUGUGAAGGGGAAUCCAAGGUUAAAGAUCACCUUGAAUGGUAAGUGCUCGUGAGAGGCAUGAACCAUUGCAAGUUGUAUCAGUGAGAGAAUUAAAGUGAAAUCUAAUUGAAGGAGUCUCUGUACAUCACCGGUUAGAGAAUUGACUAUAAGUUGAAUCUCUAAUGCGAGGAAAUGAACCAUCUGACCGGAGCUAUGUCUUUUGCAUGAGGAACCACCCCAGUGAACCUAAAUCUCCAAGGAAUGCUUUUCUUCCUAAAUUAUUCCAAACUUCUGUUAAGUUAGUUAGUUUAAGUCUAAACCUUUACCAAUCAAACUUUGUGUUUUAUUUCUUAAGCUAACCGUGAAAUGAAACAAAACCAAUUCACUUGGAAUUGGUAUCCUUGAUUGCUUGCAAAUCAUUCCCAGUGAACGAUCCUUAGAGCCACUAUACUAUAGUAGCUUUGUAUUUGCUACCCUAGUGUAUGGUGUUAUAGGUAUAAAUUUUGUUGAUCACUUCCUCAAUCAAGGAACACCAGCUGAACACAAAUCAGCUGAGACACCAAUUGGGCAUGAGUCAAAUGGCGCCGUUGCCGGGGAAUGAGUGUCAAGAUCAUUGUGAUACCAUUUUUGAGCACUUGUGAUUUUCAUCACAAGUUGGUAAAGUUUCUUUCACUUUACUAAUUUUCAUUCUCUCUUUGUUUAUUUACAAUCUAAGUUUAUCUUUUUAAAAUUUAGUCUAGUUUAAUUUUGCUAUUGUAGCCUUGUUUCUCUUGUUGUCCUCUGUUCUUGUUGUCCUCUGUUUUCAUUUUAGUUGCAGCUGAAUACUAGUUGUGUAUGCCAAAGUGGAUACGAGACAUUGGAGGUAGGCUUAUUAAGUGUGAUACACCUCAGAGAGGAGAAUUGGAAGUAAUCUUGAAUAUCAUGGAGGCUGCACCUGAAGAUCAGCAUAGUCACCAAGGUCGUCAAGACAAUCUCAAUGAAUUCAGAUCAAUGAGGGACCGUAUGCAUCCACCUCGUAUGAGUGCACCAUCAUGUAUAGUGCCCCCUACAGAGCAACUAGUGAUCAGACCAUAUCUUGUUCCACUUCUACCAACUUUCCAUGGGAUGGAAAGUGAGAAUCCGUAUGCACACAUCAAGGAAUUUGAAGAUGUUUGUAAUACAUUCCAAGAGGGAGGAGCUUCAAUUGAUUUGAUGAGGCUUAAGUUAUUUCCUUUUAAUUUAAAGGAUAAGGCCAAAAUUUGGCUUAAUUCUUUAAGGCCAAGGAGUAUCCGCUCUUGGACUGAUUUACAAGCUGAAUUCCUCAAGAAAUUUUUUCCUACUCAUAGAACAAAUGGCUUGAAAAGGCAAAUUUCAAACUUCUCAGCUAAAGAGAAUGAGAAAUUCUAUGAGUGUUGGGAAAGAUACAUGGAAGCUAUAAAUGCUUGUCCUCACCAUGGCUUUGAUACUUGGCUACUGGUGAGUUAUUUUUAUGAUGGUAUGUCCUCCUCAAUGAAGCAACUCCUCGAGAAAAUGUGUGGAGAAGAUUUCAUGAGCAAAAAUCCAGAGGAAGCUAUGGAUUUCUUGAGCUAUGUAGCUGAUGUUUCAAGGGGAUGGGAUGAACCAACUAAAGGAGAAGUGGGAAAGAUGAAGUCUCAGUUGAAUGCUUACAAUGCAAAGGCUGGGAUGUAUACUUUAAAAGAGGAUGAUGACAUGAAAGCAAAGUUGGCAGCUAUGACAAGAAGAUUGGAGGAGCUGGAGCUGAAAAGAAUGCAUGAAGUGCAAGCUGUUGCUGAAGCACCAGUGCAAGUGAAGUUGUGUCCCAAUUGUCAAUCGUUUGAACAUUUGGUAGAGGAAUGCCCUGCAAUUUCAGCUGAAAGGGAAAUGUAUAGAGAUCAAGCAAAUGUUGUUGGACAAUUCAGGCCCAAUAACAAUGCUCCUUAUGGAAAUACCUACAAUUCAAGUUGGAGGAAUCAUCCAAAUUUUUCAUGGAAGGCCAGAGCAACUCAAUACCAACAGCCGGAUCCACCAUCUCAACAAUCUUCAAGUAUUGAACAAAUAAUAGCUAAUCUCAGCAAGGUAGUGGGAGAUUUUGUGGGAAAGCAAGAAGCCACCAAUGCUCGAGUGGAUCAAAGAAUGGACAGAGUGGAUCAAAGAAUGGACAGAAUGGAGAGUAUGUUGAACAAAAGAAUGGAUGGAAUGCAAAAUGAUAUGAAUCAAAAAUUUGAUAACAUCCAAUAUUCAAUUUCAAGGCUUACAAAUUUGAAUACACUGCAAGAAAAGGGAAGAUUUCCUUCUCAACCUAACCAAAAUCCCAAAGGUGUCCAUGAAGUGGAAAGCCAUGAGGGAGAAUCAUCACAGGUGAAAGAUGUGAAAGCUUUGAUCACUCUAAGGAGUGGUAAGAAAAUUGAGCAGCCAACACCCAAGCCACAUGUUGAGAAAGAAGAAGAGAUGAAGAAAGGGAAGGAAAUGGAAGAUAAAGGCAGUGAGAUCAGUGAAGAAAAGAAGGACUCUGAUGCAACAAUGAAAGUAAUUCCAGAGAAGGAGCUUCUGAAGGAAGAAAUGCUGAAGAAAUCAACUUUUCCACCUUUUCCUCAAGCAUUACAGGGGAAAAAGGGGGUUAGAAAUGCAGCUGAAAUCCUAGAAGUAUUGAGGCAAGUGAAAGUUAAUAUUCCACUGCUGGAUAUGAUCAAACAAGUUCCAACGUAUGCAAAAUUCCUAAAGGACUUGUGUACUAUCAAAAGAGGGUUGACUGUAAACAAGAAAGCCUUCUUGACUGAGCAAGUAAGUGCAAUCUUACAGUGUAAGUCUCCUUUGAAGUACAAAGACCCUGGAAGUCCUACCAUUUCAGUCAUGAUUGGAGGAAAGGUAGUGGAGAAAGCCUUGCUAGACUUGGGAGCAAGUGUGAAUUUGCUUCCAUAUUCUGUCUACAAGCAACUGGGACUUGGAGAGUUGAAGCCAACAGCAAUCACUUUGUCUCUGGCAGAUAGAUCAGUGAAAAUUCCAAGAGGGGUAAUUGAGGAUGUAUUGGUUCAAGUAGAUAAUUUCUACUAUCCUGUAGAUUUUGUUGUUCUUGAUACAGAUCCUACUGUAAAGGAAGCUAAUUUAGUUCCUAUCAUCCUUGGAAGGCCAUUUCUUGCAACUUCAAAUGCAAUCAUCAACUGUAGAAAUGGGCUUAUGCAACUCACUUUUGGUAACAUGACACUGGAUCUAAAUAUUUUCUAUAUGUCUAAAAAGCAAAUCACUCCAGAAGAAGAAGAGGGUCCAGAAGAGCUAUGUAUUAUUGAUACUUUGGUGGAGGAGCACUGCAAUCAACAUAUGCAAGAUAAGUUGAAUGAAAGUUUUGUGGAUAUUGAGGAAGGUUUUUCUGAAUCUCCUAAUGGGCUUGCUACUCUACAAAGUUGGAGAAAGAUAGAAGGAAUUCUACCUUUGUUCAAUGAAGAAGAGGAGGCAGCUGUUGAAAAAGAAAUUCCAAAACUCAAUCUGAAGCCUUUACCUAUGGAGCUGAAAUAUACAUAUCUUGAAGAAAAUAAUCAAUGUCCUGUCGUAAUAUCUUCAUCUCAAACCAAGUCUCAAGUGAAGGAUGCAAGCUUCAAAUGGGAUCCGGGCAAACUGAAUCAGGAAGGGCAAAAAGUUUUGAUGUAUGACACAAGACUCCAUAUCUUUCCUGGGAAGCUCAAGUCAAGGUGGAUUGGUCCAUUUGUUAUUCACCGAGUAUAUUCCAAUGGAGUGGUGGACUUAUUGAAUUCCAAUGGCAAGGACAGCUUUAGAGUCAAUGGAUAUCGUCUUAAGCCGUUCAUGGAGUCAUUCAAAUCAGAAAAGGAGGCAAUCAACCUCCUUGAACCUCAAAAAGCCUAAGUGAAAUGGGUUUGCUGGACGUGGUUUUACCACAGUCCAAAAAUUUUUGUAAAUUUUGUAAAUUUUCAAGUUGUUUCCAUGCUUUUAAUCUUAGUUUUUGAUUUUAAAUCAUGUUUUUAGGUGUGUUUUAAUCGUUUUAUAUGAUCCCAGGCGGAAGAAAUUUCAAGGGGAUUGAAAAGAAAAAAAUCGGGUCGAAAUUGGAGCCGAAACAGAGCAAAAACAGGGGAAAAACAGAGCUCUGCGAAAUUUCGCAGGGUGAAGGAAACUUCUGCGAAAUUGGCAUUUUGCUGCCAAACCAUUCCGCAGCACUGUAGAAGCCUCUGCGAGUGUAUUUCGCAAUUGCGAAAGUGGAUUUGGCACACGAGUGCCACUUCGCAGCACAGUGACAUCAAUUUCGCAGCUGCGAAACUCACUGCGAAGUUGCUGCGAAAAUGGCAAGUUGCUGCGAAAUUGGCGUUUUGUUGCGAAACGUAAUCUGACCCCUGGGCUUCCGUUUUUCCUAUUUAUACCUGUCAAAAGUGCUGCGAAAAAGGUUUCAAAAAUUAGAGCACCAUUCUCGCAGCCCUUUCAUCUUCUUCGCCAAGCCACGCCGUCCGUUUCUCCGGUCGUCUUCUCCGUUUAGCAGCGCCGGCCAAAGAUCGAUAGCCCAAAAAUGGCACGAACGCGAGGGGCAAAGUCUUCAUCCCCUUCGAACCGCAAAAGGAGUCUGCGAAAGGAGCCAAGUUCAGGCUCUGUUCCAGAACCUGCUCCAAAGCCUUCGCCGUCGAGACCACAACCUUCUCCAGUGAAGCCGGCGCCACCAAAGCCGCCGGCAAGGCGAUAUUUAACCAGGUCAGGUGGUCAGCCAUUGAAGAAGAAAGCCAGAGUUGAGAGCUCUGAACCAAUCGAUUUGACUGAGCAAUCCCCUGAGAAAUCACCAAAUCCUUCACCGGUACAAAUUCCAGUGCCAUCACCGGUUCCCUCGCCAAUUCCCUCACCAGAAGCAACUCCAAUUCCAUCGCCGGUACCAUCUCCGGCACCCCAAGAAAAAGCUCAGGAGCCUCAAGCGCCAAUUCCAGAGCCCCAAAUUGCAGCUGAAGCACCUCUGGAAGAAGUGAUCCGAAGGCCAAUGCUGCCUCAGCCCCCAAUCGAAGGAAACCUGGAUUGCCGAACUCGGGCAUUCCAUUCUGAGCUUUGCUUCGAUUUAACAGCAUUCAGAGUGAGGCCAGAGCUUGCCCAAUCCUUCCAACUGCUGAGGAGAUAUCAUAUGGAGCAUCUGCUAGCUCCAAGGGAUUUUUUCUAUCCCCGGGUAGUCACGGAUUUCUACCAAACCAUGACAACCAAAGAAGUAAGAAAUCCAACUCUGAUUCAUUUCAUAAUUGAUGGAAGGCAUGGUAUUUUGGGAGCAAGACAUAUUGCUGAAGCCCUGCAAAUUCCUUUUGAGCCAACUCAAUUCGACAAUUUUAAAGCUUGGACAAAUCCUACUGAGUUAGAGAUGGUUAGCACACUAACCAGAGGAGCUGCAAAUCGAUCGCAUUUGUUGAGGGGGGAGCUACCUCCAGUUAUGUUUUUGAUUGAUGCCUUUUUGAGGCAUAAUAUCUAUCCCCUGCAGCAUUGGACCCAAAGAAGGGGAAUUCUCCUAGAAGCCUUGUACAAAAUGUCUGAAGGAUUCUUCUUUGGGCCUCAUCAUCUGAUCAUGGCAGCCCUUCUAUACUUUGAGGAGAAGGUUCACAAGAAGAAGCUUCAAAGAGCAGAUUGCAUUCCACUCCUCUUCCCAAGGCUGCUAUGCCAAGUUUUGGAGCAUCUCGGAUACCCCUCUGAGCCUCAGCAGGAAAGAAAGAGAAUAUGCCGUGAGCCUUUUACCCUUGAUAAAUGGAAUAAUAUGACGGCCUACAAAAUUGAUCAGCCUGGGCAGCCUCAGCCAGCAGCAAGGAGAGUCUCCCCAAGACAUAUACCUGAAGGUAUAACACUUGCUACUCCUGCCAUCCCUCGAGCUCCACCAGCUGCACCUGCUCCAUCACAGCCAUCCACAUCAGCUGAGCCGAGGAUGGCCAUCCCUAUAUCCGAAUAUCGAGAGCUGUGCCGUGCAUUGGAGACUCUUACAGCUUCUCAGAGCAAUCUUGCUCAGGAGUUGGCAGCCAUUAAAGCAUGCCAGGAGCAGAUGUUAGCCUCUCAGACUCAACAAGCUGCCAUCCUAAGGCAGCUUCAAGUCCAUUUCGAUCUGCCACAAGCUGUAGAGCCCUCUAUUCCUACUCCACCAGAGCCACACUCUCAGCCUUCAGAGUCUCAUCCUCCAGAACCCGAAGCACCAGCUGAUCCACCUACUGAGGAGGCAGAUCCUUCUGCCUAGCACCAUCACCCCCCUCAUCAGACAUUAUAUAUAUAUUUGCUGUUUAUGUUUUUAUGCAUGUUUGUUUUGUUUUAGUUGAAAAGAAAUCCCAGUAUUUUGGUACUAUAUAUGGGAUUCCUUGUGUUACUUGUCUUUAGUAUUGUAAUCACAUGAACUCAAAGUAAUACAAGUUGACUAUUUCUUGUUAAAAGUUAGCAUUAAAGUUUCCUUAUUUCCUUUUCUCACAUAUUCUAUUCUUUUUGAAACAUGUGGUUUUCCCCAAUCAAUAUUCGAAUUUGAUAUCAGCAUGGAGGUACCACUUCCUCCCUUUUAUUACAGUCACUCAAAUCACAUUGAGGACAAUGCUCAGUUCGGUUGGGGGGUAUGAGGAAGGAAGUAUUCUAAACCUUUUUGGUAUUGCAAUUAUAUUGGUUAAUUAGUUGUAGAUUUUACUUUUUACUAGUGUUACUCUAUUCUCCAUGAAUUUUGAGGAAAAAUUUUCAAAUUAAACCAAGAGAAAUUGAACUGUUGUUUUUCACUUGACUUAGAGUAUGGAUUAUGCUUACUAAAGUGGUUCAAUUGUUGAAACUUCUACUGAAAUUGAAUUGAGUUCUUCCACUUUAAGCUAUCCACACACUGUGCACAUUAGUUUCCGAUUAUAAGAUGAAAAGCUAUUUCCCUCUUGACUUAGUAUAUUUUUGGGACUUGGUAUAUUUGACCUCAUUUGAUAAAAAUUGAAACACCCUGCAAAAGGCCAAUGAGCCUUUGAAAUAAAGAAAGUUGUUUGCUUGCCUUGAAACCCGAGCAAGGUCUGAGGGGUAUAUGGUGAAAAUCUUUAAAGCCUGGUGCCCUAAGCCUUAAUUGGUUGGGAGUCACCGACCUCAAUGCUCGUUACAAGGGUGAAUAGGUAGAGUUAGCAUAUGGUAGAUGCUUGGGUAUUAGAAAUUCAUUCUUAAAAGUCCGGGGAAAAAUCCGAGGAGUUAGUGGUUGAAAGAUCCUUAAAACUUGGUGCCCUAAACCUUAAUUGGUUGGGAGUCAUCGAUGGACCCCCAUUACAUGGACAAGUCAGAAAGAGUACCCCAUAAAGCUACCUUAAAAAAAAAAAAAAAAAAAAAAAAAAAAAAAAAGAUGAAAGUGUGUUCUUUUCUUAUUGAUUUUGGUCAGUUUGCUAAAGUGUUGAAAAGAGAUAGGUUGGGGGGUGAGAUUAGUAGCAUAUUAUUCUCGGAACCUAAGGAACCAAUACACAUAGAUUUUUGUGGAAGAUUGAAGUUUAGUUCUUAGAAAAUGAAAUGAUUUUAAAACUUCAGUUUGCAUAAUGCACUCCCUUGAUUGACAGUGUUUAGCAUAGGUGUUAUGACUCUUGUUGAGAUUUGGGUUUGUAUUUCUUUAAUGAUUCAUGUGAGAAAUAGAUCAUCAUGCCACUUGAGAAUUAUUUUCCUUUUAGCAUGAUGUUGUAAAUUUUAGAUUAGUUUGCUAUUUAUUUUUUAUUUUCUCUCCUAUAUUGCUAAGGGACUAGCAAUAUGUCGGUUGGGGGGAGUGAUUACUACUCAAAAAGUGCUAUUUGAUAGCCUUUAAUUAAUCCUUUUUAACACUUUUGAGUAGUAGUUUAGGCCUUUUAACUCAAUUGGCAUGUUAAGGAUCCUUUAAAGCAAUUUUGAUCACUUUGUGCAAGUUUUGGUGUUUUUGUUAGUAUUUUGAUCACCAAAGCAAGUCAAGAAUGAGGAGAACUAUGAGGAAUCAUGGGCAAAGCUUAGAAUUCAAUUGCCAAGAGUGAAUCCGGAUUGCAAGGAGAAAAAGCAAAGAGAAUCUGUCAUGAAGCCUAUUCUUGAUGACAGUCGUAGCAGCCACUUUUGGAGCACUUUCUGAAGUCCAAAUGAUGCAAGCUAUAUACCAUUUCAAAGCUCAGGAAGUCAACAAUCCAAUGCUUCAAACGGUGCGCGAUUCGGAGUUGAAACGAAGAAGUUGCAGCCAUUACAAGCCAGUCACUCUAAAGUGUUGCGGAAUCAGCCUUUUGUUGCGAGAAUUUCGCAGCACUUUUGUACAGUAAGGUGUUUCUCCUUCUGACGAUGCACGAACCAUGCCGCGAGAGGGAAGCUAGGAACUUCAAGAUGGAAGCCAACUUUGCAGCCUGGUGAAGAUAGCUUGGUCUUGCGAAAUAAUUUCGCAGCCCUCUUGGGUGUCUGCGAAAUUUCGCAGGCACCACUUUUUUCCUGCGAAAUGGCUCCGGAAGCCUCCCGAAGCUUGCUACCGACAUUGGGAGAUAUUUUCCAUUAGAUUUUUGUUGUCUAAAUUCCAAAAUACUCCUUGUAAACCACCAAUUACAUGAUUCCUUAGUUUUUAAGUUAGUAAAAAGACCAAAUAUCUAUGUAAUAAUUAGUUUUAUAUUAGUUUGCUAUAAAUACCUCUCGGGAGCAUGUUCUCAGAGAGGAGUUCCUUCUGUAACCAUUUUGGUAAGCAAGUAAAGUCUUUUCUUUCUACUGCCUUACCUUCUCACUUUGUAUUUUCAUUUUAUUUCUAAGUUAUGAAUUCUCUGAGGAGCUUUCCCCAGAGAAUGAGUAACUAAACCUCCAAUUCCUUGGAGCUAAGGUUGCCGGGGAAGGUUCCAAGUGCAAGAAUGCAAAGCUCUGUGGUUUUAGCUAGUAAUGAAGAGGAAGUGAAAUCCUUUAGUGAUUUCAAUGUUUUUAGUUAACUUAAAACACCUUGGAGUCACCUGGGCCAACACUUGGUAAGGCAAGUGAUUUCCAACCGUGGAAAUGCACUAGUUUACCCCUUGCGAGCCUCUGGUAGGUGACUUCAAGGUAGGAUUUUCUGGAAUUACCAACACUUGGUAAGCUUUUGGACUCCUAGGAGACAUCCAUUAGUUAUCUCUUGCGAGUUUGUGAAGGGGAAUCCAAGGUUAAAGAUCACCUUGAAUGGUAAGUGCUCGUGAGAGGCAUGAACCAUUGCAAGUUGUAUCAGUGAGAGAAUUAAAGUGAAAUCUAAUUGAAGGAGUCUCUGUACAUCACCGGUUAGAGAAUUGACUAUAAGUUGAAUCUCUAAUGCGAGGAAAUGAACCAUCUGACCGGAGCUAUGUCUUUUGCAUGAGGAACCACCCCAGUGAACCUAAAUCUCCAAGGAAUGCUUUUCUUCCUAAAUUAUUCCAAACUUCUGUUAAGUUAGUUAGUUUAAGUCUAAACCUUUACCAAUCAAACUUUGUGUUUUAUUCCUUAAGCUAACCGUGAAAUGAAACAAAACCAAUUCACUUGGAAUUGGUAUCCUUGAUUGCUUGCAAAUCAUUCCCAGUGAACGAUCCUUAGAGCCACUAUACUAUAGUAGCUUUGUAUUUGCUACCCUAGUGUAUGGUGUUAUAGGUAUAAAUUUUGUUGAUCACUUCCUCAAUCAAGGAACACCAGCUGAACACAAAUCAGCUGAGACACCAAUUGGGCAUGAGUCAGUGCGUUAGAGGAUCAAGAAGAAGAAAAAGAAGGAACUGUUGGAAUUAGUAUGAGUGUGAAGAGAAAAGUAUAUAAAUAAGGGGAAGUAAAAGCAAAGUUCAAAAAGCUAUAUUUUUUUAUUGUUGGUGUAUGGUUGCAUGAUUAUCCCUAUAAAUAAUAGGAGUUUUUUGGUAUUCUACUAGUAGUUGAAGCAUAAUUUCAUAAAUUAAUAUUUAGAGCGGGGUGGGGUGAGUUGUGACAAAAUUCAUACCCGUCCCAAACCUUGGUUCAGAUUUUUAAAAUAUUCUCAAACUUAUCAUAUACCCAACUUUUAUAUUUCAUACUUGUCCUAAUAGAGGCACGUUAGGCCGGGUUACUUGAGUAACCUACAUAAUUGUCAUCCCUAGUUGAAAUACACUUUUUGGCAGUGGCCACCAACUGAGCUAGAAGCUUGAUUGAUUGACCUACAAGAUUAGUUCUCAUCAUUUUAAAAAAAGUUCUGGCUUUGGUUGUGAGUGCAAUUGAAUCUAAACUGGCAUUUGCUUAAUGCAUCUACUUCAAUCCUAAACUUCUUACUUCUUAAGCCUCAAUUGUUGUUAGGAUUUUGGAAAACCCAUUUCCUUAAAUUGUAAAUUUAAGAUAAAAUAAAAUAAAAGUGAGACAUUUCUUGAUUGAAUAUUGUUAAAGGUCCCUUGGCAUUAAGACUUGGUUGAAGCCUUGGAAGAUUAGUGGAACUCUCAACAUGUGUUUGAAUCUUGAGGAGAGUGGAUGUAAGCCAAAAUUUUGUCAAACCAUUAUACAAAUUGAGUUUGAAUCCUCAUUUCUUGAUUUCUUAUUUAUUUGCUUUUUCUUAUUAUUACUUGAAUUGUCAUUUGCAUUCAUUAAUGUUAAAAUUGGUUAUAAUUAACCAACACUAAUUCUCUUUCCCCUUCCCUUUCUUGGGUGUAAACCUAGGUUGGAUUAACUAGAUAAAUCUAUUAAGAUGGUAAAAGAAUAAUUAUUCUUAACAUACAUAAGAUCAUCUUCAAUCAAAUGACUCAUUGGCUAAUAUGUUGAAUUUGCUUAUUACUUGCAACUCAAAAUUGUGUUCUAGUUGUGUCAAGUCCCCAGUGUAUGGACAUUAAAUUUGUAGUACGUGAUGAGUAAUUAGAUGGUCCAACUCCAAGAAAGUGAUUGAAAAGUAGUUCAAGAAAGGUGCAAAAGGGAAUUGUUUUGGUAUUUUCGUUUUUAUUCUUGAAGGUGGCAGAGCUAAAAUUUGAGAAAUCAAGCAAAACAUACUGAAAUUACAUUGAAAGAAAGAAGAUGGGAGUUAAUGUCUUGCAGUACAUGAUAAGGACUUCAUGCAUGUAGUGUGACCCAUGUCUUGGACUGAUGCCAACUCACGGUUACACUUAUACCCUUGGUUCUCUCUUUACUACCUUGGCUAACCUAGAUCAGGCUAUGAGAUAGGCUCCUCACCACACCAUUACUUGCCCAUUAAUUAGAGACAUUUUCAAGCAAUGAGGUAACAUGGUGACACCAAGAGGGUCUAUUCCUCGCCCGGAACAAGUCUAGACUUGGUCUCAAAAAAAUGGAGAAAAAUGAGGUGUCGUUAUGUAGAAAUACAACAACCAUGCCUUCCUCAUUACUUAGAUUCAGAAUGUGAAGGUGAAAUUGAGAAACAGAAACUCUUGAAACCAAAAUGAAAAUUGAUACUUUUACGAAGAAUUACAACAACAUUAGAGGAAGACUACAUUCUUCCUCUUUAUUCCUACAUUUCUACACUACUUCUACUCCACUCCAUAUUUCUACAUACAUCUUUAAUCAGUCUUCCCUCCUUUAUAUAGAGCCAUCUUCACACAAAUUUCGCAAGGUAGAAAAGAGGAAUGAAACUUGGAGCAAGGUUCGACUACUGGUUGUAGCUUGUCAAGGCUGGAAGUGAACUUUUCUUGGCUUUCUGGGCAUGGGUAGUAACUUGUGGGUUCCUGUUUGGCAUAAAAAUGGCUAGAACAUGUGGCACUAUCUUGUUGGAUGAUGUGUCAAGCAUGUGGCAGCCAUCUAGUGGCGAUUAUGUCAAUUUUGGGAUGGAGAGUUGGCAUCCAAUUGCAAAGAAAUAUGACGUCUACCAACAUGCAAUGUAAACCUAUGUAGAUCAUAUGAAGAUAGAGAGGAAAAAUAUAGAAAUGGAUAUAUACCUAGAACUAGCUUUUUAUUAAAUGAAACGGAGAGACAACAAUGAAGGAAAAUAAAAUUUUUUGGCUUAUAUCAAAGAGUUCACAUUGUGUUACCCUAGGUUUUCUUAAAACUUACUUUUAUGAUAACAAAAAAGAAAAAACCAUUAUUGUUUAAUCCUUUGUUUUAAACGCAUGUAAGGUGUAAUUAAGUUAGUUCAAUGCAUUAAUUUAAGAAACUUGACCUAUCAAAAGUACAAAAUUAGAUGAAAUCCAUUUCAAUGGUUAAAAUGAUCAAAAUCAAACUUUUUCUAAGUAUUUUUUAAAAGCAUCAAUAGUGAAAGACAAUUUUAUAUUUAGUCGGAGUUUGGACAAAACUGAAAAACACACAAAAUCCAAGCGACCAUCUCUAGCUUGGAUGGUCGCUUGAUCCCACCUAGAGAUGUGCAUGAGUAAAAGGAUUUGAAAAUGGAAAUUGACUAUGUAGUCGAUCAAUUAACUUUGCAACAUCAUAUGCAAUCCUAAUUGCUAGUCAUCUAAUCAAUUAGGUAGUCAAUCAACAGGCCAAAAAUAUGUUUAUAAUGACUAUUUUGUACAAAAACCACCUGUAUAGUUAAAUAUAAUGCAUUUCAUUUAUAAAUCUUCUAAUUCUUGAAUAACGAUCCUAUCAUCCUUUGAAAGUUUUUAUUACACUUUUUUUACUUUUGUUCUAAAACUUACACAUCACCCUUAAUUGUACCAUGAGAACCUAGCUAUUUUUUAUUUUUUUUUUUGUAAUUCAUCAAAGUUAGCUUUUGUAUUCAUUGUUGUAUUAUUUUUAGUAUAACUUAGAAAGCUAGUGUUUUCAAGUGAGUAAAAUUAACUUGUAAAUAUUGUAAAGAUUCAUCGACAUGUAUCUUAAACUAAGUGUACAAGUUAAAACAUUUGCUAGUAGAUUUUCUCAAAAUUUAGAAUAGAGCUUGAGACUAUUGAAAUAGGUGGGGUUGCACCAAACCACAUCACAUCGUUGUUUGCACCUUUUUUCACUCUCUUUUACUUAGUUGCUCUAUAUUUGUUGUCUAGUAAUAUCCUAUAGGCUUGAUGGGUUAGGGAGCAUCCCUUUGUGAAAAAAUUUUAUUCAAUCCUUAGUUGUAUCACGCAUAUAUAAAAUGCCUCAUUGUUUUAAUGGUAUUCAGUCGUGGCAUCACAGAUAUGGGCAUCUAAAUUUUAAAAGUUUGAAACUUUUAUCUAAAGAAAAUAUGGUGCUUUGCCUUUUUGUAAAGCAUGUUGAUGAAAUCCAUGAGAAUUGUGUACUUGGGAAGCAACACCGAGAUGACUUUUUUUUUUUUUUUAUAAUAUUGUUUGUCCAAAUUCCCUACAAAUUAGGCCACCAGAUGUUCAUAAUUCUCCCUUCUUGAAUUUGAAAACUCGGACAAUUGGACAAUGCGACACCUAAGUCCGGUUUCUAAAUGCUAAAGUGAAAGGGUAGGUAUGGACCAUUGAAAUGUGAUCACAACUUUUCUCUGUAGCCAUGUUGUCUCUUUUUUCUUUUGCAUGAUUUUCUUACCUUAACAGAAUCAUAGACUUGUUUAGUCUCUAAAUGGGAUUAAUUUCAUCCAGCUUUAAGCUACUAUAUUAUAUCUAGGUGGAGGACUUUUAAGAGUGCAACCGACAUAGAGCACAUGGAAGUGGGUAUAUGGGACAUGAAAUUUCUUCUUAUAAAGAUUGCAUGAUUUUUAUAUUAGAGUUGUUGAGGCGCUAUGUAUUUAGCUUGUUUUGCAGUUAAAUUAAUUGGAUAAGUAGACAUUGGCGUUUCUAAAUCUACUGUGAAGUGCUUCAUGUACGUGUGAAGUAUUAGAAAUUUCUUUCUUGGCAACUUGUUUUUCUUUGCGGUCUACUGAUAGGUUUGACUAAAAUUAUAUUCCCUGUCAUGCUAAUUAAUUUUCACGUGCAUGCUCAAAAGAAAAGUAUGACCUUAGUGCACCAAAAUCACUUUGAUUAAUUUGUGAUAGGUUUUUGUGCAUCAUGACAUUAGCCUUAUUCAUUUAGAUAAUGUUUAGUUUUUAGAAAGUAUUAAGAAAAGGAAAAUAAAUAUUAAGAAAAAUAUUCUUAUAUUUGAUUGUAUUAUGAAAAAUAUCAUAAAAAAAUCAAAUAUAAUUUAAAUUAAUUAAUAAUUUAUACAUUUUCAAAUUAUUUAAUCUUUAUAUUGAAGAUAUAAUAUAAAUGAAAUGAGUUUUAAGUAUUAUAUAAAAGUGAUUUAUUGAUCUUACAUAUAUAUAUUUCUUUUUUUUUUCCUUCUAUUUUUUCUCUUUAUUUUAUUUUCCUUAUGUUUUCCUCAACAUUUUCCGGAACCAAACAUAGCCUUAGGAAAUCCACAAUUACCUUCAACUGAGUAGAUUCUGUUGUUUUAGCAAUGUUAGGCUGCUAACUUGUGUUGGUACGAACCUAUUAAGCCUAAAGAUGUAAUUAGUUAGGAUAUUCUUUUCCCUCUAGUCUUGUAGCUCCACGUGUACAGUUGGUUAGGACCUCAUUGUAUAUAAUGCUUGCCCUGUUAUUGUAGAAGACAACAAAGAUAAAUAAUAUUAACAUUUUUCCUCUCAUCUCUCUCUGUUUCCCUCUGUUUUCAUCUCCUCUCUCAUCUUGGUAUCAGAGCCUCCAUGGCUUCUUUCAAAGAAACCUCCGAAUCACCUUCUGCUAGCAUUGUUAAUGUGCAAAACCCAUUAUCUCAAUCAAACAACCUUCCUUCACCAGUAGCCACACCCUCUUUUUCUUUCUCGUCUAUGAAUCAACCUCUCACAGUGAAGCUGGAUAAUGGGAACUACCUCAUAUGGAAGAAUUAGCUUCUAAAUGUCAUCAUUGCUAACGGACUCGAUGAUUUCAUUGACGGAUCUCGACCCUGCCCUCCUCGAUUUCUCGAUCUGCAACAACAAACCCUCAAUCCAGAGUACUCAGCUUGGCAGAGAUACAAUCGACUUCUGAUGAGUUGGCUGUACGCAUCCUUGUCCAAAGAUAUAAUGGCUCAGAUUGUUGGGUAUUCAACAGCUAUGGAGAUUUGGAAUGCCCUUAAUCAGAUUUACUCUGCCUCUUCUAUGGCGCGGUUUACUGAGCUUCGCACCAAGCUUCAAACGCUCAAGAAAGAUGGACUCUCAGUUGGUGAAUAUAUUCAAAGGCUCAAAUCCAUUUGCAAUAGUCUUGCAGCAAUAGGAGAACCAGUUUCUGAGAAAGACCAUCUUAUCUAUUUGUUCAAUGGAUUAGAUUGUGAGUAUUAUUCUUUUGUUACCUCCAUUCAAAAUCGAUCUGACCAACCAACUAUUGACAAAAUCCAUAGCCUAUUGCUUAGCUAUGACUUCCGGCUUGAACAACAAAACUCUGUUUCUCUCCAUUCUGCCCAAGUCCAUAUGGCUCAUCUGAACAAGAAACCUUAUAAAUCAACUCCUCAACCUACAUUCAAUCAUAUUCACAUUCAACCUAGAUACUCUUCUCCACCUUUUAAGCCAACCACUAGUCAAUAUCAACCCAACAUUUUGGGCAAACCACAACCACAACCAUGACAGCCUCAACCUCAAUGGAAACCACAUUUUUCAAUCUAAAAUCAAAAGCCUCAGCGCCAAAUUUGUGGUAAAUUUGGACACACUGCUCUUAUUUGCUUCCAUCACACAAAUUUGAACUAUUCACCCCAACCUUCUCCUAAAUCUUUCAAUACUGUUCUCACCACAAAUUCCCAGCUCCCUAAUCCUCCAAAAUUUUCUUACCCUACAAUGGCUCAUCCUGCUGCUACGCAUAACACGGUUCCCGAUACAAAUUGGUACAUGGACUCAGGUGCUACACAUCACUUUACUCUGGACAUCAACGUGCUUGACACUGUGACACCAUUUAGUGGUUCAGAACAGGUGACAGUUGGGAAUGGUAAGCAACUCUGUAUCUCACAUCUUGGUACUGCAAAACUACCAUCUUCGUAUUCUCCUCCUGUUCUACAUCAGGUAUAUCACACUCCAAAAAUUUCAAAUAAUCUUAUUAGUGUUAAAAAAUUGUGUUCUGAUAAUAAAGUUUUUGUUGAAUUUUAUGCCACUCAUUUUCUUGUCAAGGAUCAGGUUUCGAAGAGAGUUCUCCUUUAGGGUCAACUUGAUAAUGGCUUAUACAAAGUUCAGUCGUCAUGCUCUCCUUCUGCUGUUUCCUUUCCUCCUCAAGUUUUCAUAGCCAACAUCAAGUAUCCAAAUCUGUGGCACAAGAGACUAGGCCACCCAGCUUUAUCUGUUGUUAAUCAAAUCUUGGAUUCUUGUAACAUUGCUCGAACACAGAAAAUUUGUUUUAAUUUUUUAAAUUCUUGUCAAUUAGCAAAGAGCCACAGGCUUCCUUUUUCUCUGUCUCCAUCCAUUGCAGAAAAACCUUUUGAGUUAAUUCAUACAGACCUAUGGGGUCUUUCGCUCGUUCGCUCUAUUUCUGGUGCUCUUUAUUUUUUACUUUUCAUUGAUGAUCAUACUCGUUUUACUUGGUUUUAUUUGCUCAAAACAAAAGAUGAAGCAUAUCCUACUUUUCUCAAGUUUCAAGCUCUCAUUGAAAAUCAAUUUAAUACCAAGAUUAAGGCUGUCCAAUCUGAUUGGGGAGGUGAGUUUCGAUCUCUCUCCAUACCGUUUUCAAAUAUGGGCAUUGUCUAUUGUUUAUCGUGUCCAUACACCUCACAACAGAAUGGGCGAGUUGAGCGAAAAAAUCGCCAUGCGAUUGUCCUUUCUUGCUUGCUCUAUGCCCUUAUCUUAUUGGCCUUAUGCCUUUCAAACUGCCACUUACCUUAUUAAUCGUCUCUCUACCCCUGUGCUGCAUCAUCAAUCCUCUUACUUCGCACUCUAUCACAAACUCCCAACUUAUACUCAUCUUAAGGUCUUUGGUUCCUCUUGUUUUCCGUAUUUGCACCCUUAUAAUACCCAUAAACUCCAAUACAGGUCACUAGAGUGUGCUUUUCUUGGUUACAGUUCACACCACAAAGGUUAUCUAUGUCUUGACAUUCAUUCUAGCAGGGUGUAUAUUUCUCGCCAUGUGAUUUUUAAUGAAGAUUCUUUUCCAUUCAAGAAUUUGAAAUCUUCUCUCUCUCAGUCUAUUUCUUCUUCCUCUUCUUUAUAAGUUCCUCUGUUCAUUCUCUUGCCUCCCCUUUCCCCAUCUCCUCUUAUUUCUUCAUCUAUACCUCAUUCUUUUCCCUCUUCUUCUUCUACCUCUAGUACUUGUUCCCCUCUCGUUGCUCCUACCUCUCUUCCUUCCUCUUCACACUCUGUGUCUCCAUCUAUUCCACCUCCUUCUCCACCUUCUCCGAGUGUGGACCUGCUUGCACCUUGUGUGAAUACAAAUUUACAUACUUCUUCUCGCACUCACAAUAUUCAUCCUAUGGUGACUAGAUCUAAGGUUUGUAUCUAUAAACCUAAGUUGUUGUUGAGUGUCUCCAUAGGUUCUCUCACUAAGCCUACUUCCUUUCUUCAAGCUAUUAAAGAUCCUUCAUGGAAGCAAUCCAUGGAAUUCGAGUUUGCUACCCUUCAACACAACAAGACCUGGCAUUUGGUUCCUUCACCUUCCUCAGGCGAAGUAAUCGGUUGUAAAUGGGUCUAUAAGCUAAAGCUUCAGCCUGAUGGCUAAAUUGAGAGAUACAGCCUGCUUAGUAGCUAAGGGUAUCAUCAAAUUGAAGUAUGGACUACUUCGAAACAUUCAGCCUGAUNNNNNNNNNNNNNNNNNNNNNNNNNNNNNNNNNNNNNNNNNNNNNNNNNNNNNNNNNNNNNNNNNNNNNNNNNNNNNNNNNNNNNNNNNNNNNNNNNNNNAGCUUCAGCCUGAUGGCUAAAUUGAGAGAUACAAGGCCUGCUUAGUAGCUAAGGGUUAUCAUCAAAUUGAAGGUAUUGACUACUUCGAAACAUUCAGCCUGAUUGUCAAGCUUUCUACUAUCUGUAUUGUGCUCAGUCUUACUUUUUCCCAGAAUUGGUGUAUUAGACAGCUGGAUGUUCAUAAUGCCUUCUUACAUGGUGACUUAGCUAAAGACGUUUUCAUGGAACAACUGCCUGGAUUUGUUGAUCCUCUCUAUCCUACUCAUGUCUGCAAGUUGGAUAAGUCUCUCUACUGUCUUAAAUAGUCACCUCGGGCUUGGUAUACUAAGCUGAGUACUUCUCGCUACACUUGGGAUUUGUUACUUCUAAGAAUGACUCUUCCUUAUUUAUUUGUCAUUCGUCUCAUGGGUUACUUCUUGUUCUUGUCUAUGUGGAUGAUAUAAUCGUCAUUGGGAGCCACUCUCCUCAGGUUACUCACCUUAUCCAACAGUUGCAUCAUUAGCUUUCUUUAAAGGAUCUUGGUCCUUUACAUUAUUUUCUGGGCUUGGAGGUUCAUCACACCCCUACUGGUAUUCACCUCAGCCAAGCAAAGUAUAUCACUGAUCUCCUUACCCGGGCGGCUAUGUUGGAUGCCAAGCCAUGUCCCACUCCUAUGUCCUCCAACACAUAUCUCUCUUUUCAUGAUGGAGUGGCUCUUGAAAAUGGUUCAGAUUAUCGAAGUUUUGUUGGUGCCCUUUAGUAUUGUACCAUGACACGCCCAGAUAUAGCUUUUGCAAUAAAUAAAGUGUGUCAAUUCAUGCACCAUCCCUCUAAUGUUCACUGGCAGGCUAUAAAACGUAUUCUCCGGUACUUAAAGGGCACAUCUCAUUUUGGUCUCUUCCUACAGCCUUCCUAUGACUUCAACAUCACUUGCUAUACAAAUGCCGACUGGGCUUCCUGUCCUGAUGACAAGUGUAGCACCAGUGGCUACUGCCUCUUUCUUGCCUCUAAUCUGGUUUCUUGGUCAUCUUCCAAACAAAAAGUGGUCUCCCGCUCCAGCGCCGAAUCAGAGUACCGAGGGGUAGCAAAUGGGGCUGCUGAAAUUGCUUGGACUGAAUCUCUUCUUUGUGAACUUUCCAUUACUCCCCCUCCCCUCAUUCUCUGUGACAAUAUCAGUGCCACGUACUUAGCUGCCAAUCCUAUUUUGCAUGCCCGCACCAAACAUGUGGAAAUCGACUAUCACUUUGUCACGGAACGUGUUCUUCAAUGCUCUCUUUUUGUCCAGUUUACACCUUCUGAUGAUCAACUUGCUGAUUGCAUGACCAAGCCUCUCUCCACCCAACGUUUCAUCACUCUACGCUCCAAGCUCACUGUUCUCACUAGACCAAUGAGCUUGAGGGGGGAUGUUAAGCCUAAAGAUGUAAUUAGUUAGGAUAUUCUUUUCCCUCUAGUCUUGUAGCUCCACGUGUACAGUUGGUUAGGACCUCAUUGUAUAUAAUGCCUGCCCUGUUAUUGUAGAAGACAACAGAGAUAAAUAAUAUUAACAUUUUUCCUCUCAUCUCUCUCUCUGUUUCCCUCUGUUUUCAUCUCCUCUCUCAUCUGAACCAAAUGAUCCAUGUUAACCUUGGCUUGGUUUGAUUUGGCUCUAUCUUAGAGAGCUCAAGGAUCACGUCAACUCUGGUUUCUACUAUUCAGGUCCAUUCCCAUAUGAACUGGUUCAAAUUUGAGAAAAUGGUAACAGACCUUUAGUGAUGUUGGUUUGGAGCCAGUUGCCAAACCCGCCCUGAGCUUUACCACUAAUGUCAAGGGAGAAAGCCAUUUGAACAAAAACAAUAGCUUCAAGGGACUGAAUCGUGGAUGAAAUCUGAUCCACAUUUCUUCUCAUUUUGGAAACAAAUGAGAACUUAACUAAGAAGAUUCUACGGCCUCAUAGUGCUUUUCCUGAUCUAAGGUUGGUUCGUUUCCCAAACUGUGAGAUGCACGUGCCAGACUUCAGAACUCUCACGCUCAGGAGUGUAUCCACGUGGUGGACAUAAGAUGGUGGCUUAAGAUCUGGUGUCGGUGGCUUUACUUUACUAGGAGAGUAGUGUGUCUUCAUCUCAUUCACUGCCGGAGGGUGGCGUAAGCAGUGACGCUAAGGUGGGGCACAGUCAAUAUCAUUUGCAUUUGACCAUUAUAGUUUUCUCCCGGCUUUAAAGUAACCUUAUCGUGAUAAAGGAUUACUAGCACUAGUUCAGAUGAUAGUCAUGUUAAAUUCGGACCAUGUUUGUGUCACAUUAUCAGCAACCAUGUGUUUAUGGUUCAUGCUUUCUGCAACUAAAAUUGAUAUAUAACCAGGUGAACUUCAAUCUAAAUUCUGAAAGUACUCAUGUGAUAGAUGGUGCCCGUCUGCAGAGUCCAUCAAUUGAAAAAUGGAGUGAGUGUAUCUAUAAGAGGGAAGGCUUGGAAAAUGUUCAGUUUUCUGGGAAUUCAACAAGGAUCUAAAAUAGAUUGUUUUCUUUGCUGAUUUCAAUGGUUGAAAUUUGAGAAGAUUGUGUCCACAUAACACAACUAUUACUGGUCCUUCUGUUGCAAUUUAUCCUCUAAAGCUCUAGCAUGUCUUCCAAUUCCCACUUCCCUGUUACUCCAGGAAAGCUAUUUCUGUCAUUGUGAAGAAGAAAAGAGAAUGUACAUAUCGAUGCUUUUAAGUGACUGGAGCAUUUAUAUCAGGUGGUCUGCAGCCAUAUAUGCCACUUUGUGAAGAUUGGAACAGUCAAUCACUAGGCUAUAUAUUAGUGUGGCCCAGCCACUUUAAUCAAGGACAAGUCUUCAUACUUAAAGUCAAAUUCUGCCUUUAGUCUCAUUAUAAAUUUCUGUUUAAAUAUUAAGCAAACAUUUGUUUAAUGCGAUUAAGACAGUACUAACUCAAUACCUGUUCUAUUUUUGGAUGCAAAUGCUUGAUGGUUUCAUCAUUGGAUGGGAUAAAGGUGCAUUCAUGAUUAGGAAUACUAGUAGUUAUAUUUUAAUUCUCUUUUUUCUCAAUGAGACUUGUUGGCACAAUUUUGCUGUUGAGAAACCUACCUCUCCAUGGAAAAUAAGUUGUGAUUGAUAGUACUGGAUAUAUUCAAGAAAUCUAAAUAUAGAUAGCACAAAAUAUUAUCGACAUAAAUAGCAUUAACAGCGUACGUAUGUCUCAGUGCUCAUCAGCUAUAAGCAUGGGGCAAACACUUACUAUGAGCAACUUACGUCAAAAUUCCAGAAUAGGACAUAGAAGUGACAGAUAUAGAACAUUGCAUAUGAGUCACAAGAAAGGAAAUUACGGGUGCAUAGCAGCUCUUAUUUUACAUACUACUACUCAUACUGAUCAAAGUCACUCAGUUGGGAUGGGUGGGAGUAGGAGGUUUGUGGGGUGGCUUGUGCGGAGGAGUUGGCAGCUUCUUUCCAGGACCUGGUUGCUUCUCUGCUGGAGUUGAAGGAGGCUUAAUCUUCCGAGGUGGCUUGUAUGAGUCUUCAGCAUUCUCAGCUGGAGGGUGACCAGGGUUGUGACCAUAAUGUGGUGGCUUCUCUCCCUUAGGUGGUUUGCCAACUGGGGUUGGUGGCUUGUAUGAGUCUUCAGCAUUCUCAGCAGGAGGGUGACCAGGGUUGUGACCAUAAUGUGGUGGCUUCUCUCCCUUAGGUGGUUUGCCAACUGGGGUUGGUGGCUUGUGUUCUGGGAGUGGCUUCUCCCCCUUGGGAGGUUUUUCCAAUGGGGUUGGUUUGUGUUCAGGAGGUGGCUUCUCCACUGGAGGCUUGUGUUCAGGAGGUGGCUUCUCCACCGGAGGCUUGUGUUCAGGUGGUGGCUUCUCCACCGGAGGCUUAUGCUCUGGUGGUGGCUUCUCGAAUGGGGGAUGCUUAGGAUAAUCAGCAAGUGAGGGGGCGGUGAGAACCACCAGGCCAAGCAACACCACUAGCAAAUAUGUAGGAGACAUCUUUGGGUUUGGGCUCAGAUGGUGCAAAACUAGGAGAAUUGGCUAGCCUUUUAUAGCGGAUCGUACCCAAUAAUGAAAUGACACGUGUCAUUAUGACCCAUGUGUAAUGGGGUCGAUUUGGGUCCUACAGUGUUGAAAACUUCGACAUCCACUUUUGGCCUUUUGCUUUCUCUACAGCCGCCUUGCUUUUUCCCUCUUUCCUUUUGUUUUCCUCCUGCCCCAUUCUAUCAACUAAACACAAUUAUGUAGUUGUUUAAUUCUUAAAUGAGAUAUUAUCCGUCAAUCGUAUUAUAUUUUAUCAAGAGAGAACGGAGUGCAAUGUGGCUGUAAUUUUAUCGUUUAGUUUUAUCUCUUGGACCACUGCAUUUUUGUUAAGAGGUGCAAUAAUACACGUCUUUAUCUGCCAUUCAAUAUUUACAGUAAAGAGAGGGCACAAAACUCUUCACUUCGCACCAUAAUUAUUUUGUUUUCUGGACACCCCGGGGCCCUUUGGUUGGUUUGGGGGUCAGAAAGUGAACAUCAUAGGGGGUUUUUCCCUUAUGUGCAUUUGUAUCUGAUGGCUUUAACUCGCCUUGUUACUACAAAGAAACUGUCACAGAUAGGAACUUAUUCCAGGCUGAGUAUCUCCUCAUAGACCCUAUAAAAGAAGACAAGUCAUAAUGAACAUCUAACCUUUGUUCAAUUUGAUUCAAUGCCCCCAUUGUGUCCAUCUCACAAAUCUGAAUUAUUAUAUCCAUUGAAUACAUAAAUUAAUGAAGAAAAUAUGAAACCCAAGAUACAUCUCUGCACAACCUCAACCCUGGUUGCUAUGUUUCCCUUCUAUUCACAUGAUUUGAUGCUAAUUGCCAAACUUGCAACAAGCCCUGAGUUUGACACCUAGUAUCGAUGGGCGAAUUUAAAGUCUCCUCCAAACAUAUAUUCCACAGCUUGAAGCUCACAGAAGAUGUUACAGGCAGGGAAAAACCUUCAGAGUUCGCUACCAAAGAUAAUUAUUAAGGAGAUAUCACAAAGAGAAUUCCAAGGGGUCUGAAUCAAAGACAAAUUGGUCGUUCGUGGGGGUUCUUACUUUCUUUUGGGUAUAACUCACUGAGGGCACUGUCUUUGUUAUUUGCAUUUCACAUUUAGAGUUCUGUUCUGGAAACAUAUAAAAGGAGCAUCAUUUUGUUCUUGGGUAACCCAUAGUCGUGAGUGGGUCCAUUUGCAUGCUACUUAGUUGAAAAGUUGGACCAUUUGCUCCGACGCCUACCUCCCGGAUUCCAUGCUCGGAUAAAACAAGAAUAAAAAAAAUAUUUAUAAUUUACAAAUGGGGGAAAGAAAAAAAUGUCAACAACAAACCAGGAAAAAAGAGUAGUAAAAUUCAUGUCACAUGCUAGUGAGAGAAGGGGUUGUUACACUCACUCGAAGUUCUUUCCAAAAUAUCGCAUGGUAUUUUAUUUUAUGUGUCAGCGCAGUUGUGAAUGGAACGUGCAAAAGUCCAAAUUGGCGUUUUUCCUUUUCCCGUGUAGGAUGGCGACCUUUAAUAAAUAUUUAAAACAAAAAACGAAAAAAAGGAGGGAAAAGGGAUCAGAAAAGAUAAAACAAUGUGUACAAGAGCUCAAUUAGUUUGCAAAUUACUGUUUGGAUUUUGAUAGUAUUUUAUUUGUCCAUCUAUAUUUGAUGGAAAAGAGAAUUUAAGAUAUUUCUGAAACAAAAGCAUUAGUGUAAAACUAAAUUAAGGUAUAAUUAAGUUAGUUCAAUGCAUUAAUUUAAGAAACUUGAUCUAUCCAAAGUACAAAAUUAGAUGAAAUCCAUUUCAAUGGUUAAAAUGAUCAAAAUCAAACUUUUUCUAAGUAUUUUUUAAAAGCAUCAAUAUUAAAAGACAAUUUUAUAUUUAGUCGGAGUUUGGACAAAACCAAAAAGCACACAAAAUCCAAGCGACCAUCUCUAGCUUGGAUAGUCACUUGAUCCCACCUAGAGAUGUGCAUGAGUAAAAGGAUUUGAAAAUGGAAAUUGACUAAAUAUUUAGUUGAUCAAUUAAAUUUGCAAUGUCAUAUGCAAUCCUAAUAGCUAGUCAUCUAAUCAAUUAGGUAGUCAAUCAAGUGUUUGUAAUGACUAUUUUGUACAAAAAACCACAUGUAUAGUUAAAUAUAAUGCAUUUCAUUUAUAAAUCUUCUAAUUCUUGAAUAACGAUCCUAUCAUCCUUUGAAAAUUUUUAUUACACCUUUUUUACUUUUGUUCUAAAACUUACAUAUCACCCUUAAUUGUACCAUGAGAACCUAGCUAUUUUUUUUUUUUUUGUAAUUCAUCAAAGUUAGCUUUUGUAUUCAUUGUUGUAUUAUUUUUAGUAUAACUUAGAAAGCUAGUGUUUUCAAGUGAGUAAAAUUAACUUGUAAAUAUUGUAAAGAUUCAUUGAUAUGUAUCUUAAACUAAGUGUACAAAUUAAAACAUUUGCUAGUAGAUUUUCUCAAAAUUUAGAAUAGAGCUUGAGGCUAUUGAAAUAGGUGGGGUUACACCAAACCACAUCACAUCGUUGUUUGCACCUUUUUUCACUCUCUUUUACUUAGUUUCUCUAUAUUUGUUGUCUAGUAAUAUCCUAUAGGCUUGAUGGGUUAGGGAGCAUCCCUUUGUGAAAAAAUUUCAUUCAAUUCUUAGUUGUAUUACGCAUAUAUAAAAUGCCUCAUUGUUUUAAUGGUAUUCAGUCGUGGCAUCACAGAUAUGGGCAUCUAAAUUUUAAAAGUUUGAAACUUUUGUAAAGCAUGUUGAUAAAAUCCAUGAGAGUUGUGUACUUGGGAAGCAACAUCGAGGUGACUUUAUUUUUUUUUCCUUUUAUAAUGCCACACCUAAGUCCGGUUUCUAAAUGCUAAAGUGAAAGGGUAGGUAUGGACCAUUGAAAUGUGAUCACAACUUUUGGCCUUUUCCUUUCUCUGCAGCCAUGUUGUCUCUUUUUUCUUUUGCAUGAUUUUCUUACCAAAACAGAAUCAUAGACUUGUUUAGUCUCUAAGCUACUAUAUUAUAUCUCGGUGGACUUUUAAGAGUGCAACCGACAUAGAGCACAUGCAAGUGGGCAUAUGGGACAUGAAAUUUCUUCUUACAAAGAUUGCAUGAUUUUUAUAUUAGAGUUGUUCACGUGCAAUGUAUUUAGCUUGUUUUGCAGUUAAAUUAAUUGGAUAAGUAAACAUUGGCAUUUCUAAAUCGACUGUGAAGUGCUUCAUGUACGUGUAAAGUAUUAGAAAUUUCUUUCUUGGCAACUUGUUUUUUCCUUGCCAUCUACUGGUAGGUUUGACUAAAAUUAUAUUCCCUGUCAUGCUAAUUAAUUUUCAUGUGCAUGCUCAAAAGAAGAGUAUGACCUUAGUGCACCAAAAUCACUUUGAUUAAUUUGUGAUAGGUUUUUUUGCAUCAUUUAGAUAAUGUUUAGUUCUAAGAAAAAUUUAUAUAAAAAUGGUUUAUUUAUCUUACAUAUAUAUAUAUAUAUAUAUAUUUUUUUUUUUUUCAUUUUUUUUUCUUCUAUUUUAUUUAUUUAUUUUAUUUUCCUUAUGUUUUCCUCACAUUUUCCGGAACUAAACAUAGUCUUACGAAAUCAACAAUUGCCUUCAACUGAGUAGAUUCUGUUGUUUUAGCAAUGUUAGGCUGCUAACUUGUGGUGGUACGAACCAAAUGACCCAUGUUAAUCUUGGCUUGGUUUGAUUUGGCUCUAUCUCAGAGAGCUAAAGGAUCACGUCAACUCUGGUUUCUACUAUUCAGGUCCAUUCCCAGAUGAACUGGUUCAAAUUUGAGAAAAUGGUAACAGACCUUUAGUGAUGUUGGUUUGGAGCCAGUUGCCAAACCCGCCCUGAGCUUUACCACUAAUGUCAAGGGAGAAAGCCAUUUGAACAAAAACAAUAGCUUCAAGAGACUGAAUCGUGGAUGAAAUCUGAUCCACAUUUCUUCUCAUUUUGGGAAAAAAUGAGAACUUAACUACAAAGAUUCUACUGCCUCAUUCAUAGUGCUUUUCCUGAUCCAAGGUUGGUUCGUUUCCCAAAUUGUGAGGUGCACGUGCCACUCUCACGCUCAGGAGUGUAUCCACGUGGUGGACAUCAGAUGGUGGCUUAAUAUCUGGUGUCGGUGGCUUUACUUUACUAGGAGAGUAGUGUGUCUUCAUCUCAUUCACUGCCGGAGGGUGGCGUAAGCAGUGACGCUAAGGUGGGGCACAGUCAAUAUCAUUUGCAUUUGACCAUUAUAGUUUUCUCCCGGCUUGAAAGUAACCUUAUCGUGAUAAAGGAUUACUAGCACUAGUUCAGAUGACCGUCAUGUUAAUUCGGACCAUGUUUGUGUCACAUUAUCAGCAACCAUGUGUUUAUGGUUCAUGCUAUCUGCAACUAAACUUGAUAUAUAACCAGGUGAACUUCAAUCAAAAUUCUGGAAGUACUCUUGUGAUAGAUGGUGCCUGUCUGCAGAGUCCAUCAAUUGAAAAAUGGAGUGAGUGUAUCUAUAAGAGGGAAGGCUUGGCAAAUGUUCAGUUUUCUGGGAAUUCAACAAGGAUCUAAAAUAGAUUGUUUUCUUUGCCGACUUCAAUGGUUGAAAUUUGAGAAGAUUGUGUCCACAUAUCACAACUAUUACUGGUCCUUCUGUUGCAAUUUAUCCUGUAAGGCUCUAACAUGUCUUCCAAUUCCCACUUCCCUGUUACUCCAGGAAAGCUAUUUCUGUCAUUGUGAAGAAGAAAAGAGAAUGUACAUAUCGAUGCUUUUAAGUGACUGGAGCAUUCAUAUCAGGUGGUCUGCAGCCAUAUAUGCCACUUUGUGAAGGUUGGAACAGUCAAUCACUAGGCUAUAUAUUGGUGUGGCCCAGCCACUUCAAUCAAGGACAAGUCUUCAUACUUAAAGUCAAAUUCUGCCUUUAGUCUCAUUAUAAAUUGCUGUUUAAAUAUUAAGCAAACUUUUGUUUAAUGCGAUUAAGACAGUACUAACUCAAUACUUGUUCUAUUUUUGGAUGCAAAUGCUUGAUGGUUUCAUCAUUGGAUGGGAUAAAGGUGCAUUCAUGAUUAUGAAUACUUGUAGUUAUAUUUUCAUUCUCUUUUUUCUCAAUGAGACUUGUUGGCACAAUGUUGCUGUUCAGAAACCUACCUCUCCAUGGAAAAUAAGUUGCGAUUGAUAGUACUGGAUAUGUUCAAGAAAGCUAAAUAUAGAUAGCACAAAAUAUUAUCGAUAUAAAUAGCAUUAACAGCGUACGUAUGUCUCAAUGCUCAUCAGCUAUAAGCAUGGGACAAACACUUACUAUGAGCAACUUACGUCAAAAUUCCAGAAUAGGACAUAGAAGUGACAGAUCUAUAUAUAUAGAACACUGCAUAUGAGUCACAAGAAAGGAAAUUACGGGUGCAUAGCAGCUCUUAUUUUACAUACUACUACUCAUACUGAUCAAAGUCACUCAGUUGGGAUGGGUGGGAGUAGGAGGUUUGUGGGGUGGCUUGUGCGGAGGAGUUGGCAGCUUCUUUCCAGGACCUGGUUGCUUCUCUGCUGGAGUUGAAGGAGGCUUAAUCUUCCGAGGUGGCUUGUAUGAGUCUUCAGCAUUCUCAGCUGGAGGGUGACCAGGGUUGUGACCAUAAUGUGGUGGCUUCUCUCCCUUAGGUGGUUUGCCAACUGGGGUUGGUGGCUUGUAUGAGUCUUCAGCAUUCUCAGCAGGAGGGUGACCAGGGUUGUGACCAUAAUGUGGUGGCUUCUCUCCCUUAGGUGGUUUGCCAACUGGGGUUGGUGGCUUGUGUUCUGGGAGUGGCUUCUCCCCCUUGGGAGGUUUUUCCAAUGGGGUUGGUUUGUGUUCAGGAGGUGGCUUCUCCACUGGAGGCUUGUGUUCAGGAGGUGGCUUCUCCACCGGUGGCUUGUGUUCAGGAGGUGGCUUCUCCACCGGAGGCUUAUGCUCUGGUGGUGGCUUCUCCACCGGAGGCUUAUGCUCUGGUGGUGGCUUCUUGAAUGGGGGAUGCUGAGGGUAAUCAGCAAGUGAGGGGGCGGUGAGAACCACCAGGCCAAGCAACACCACUAGCAAAUAUGUAGGAGACAUCUUUGGGUUUGGGCUCAGAUGGUGCAAAACUAGGAGAAUUGGCUAGCCUUUUAUAGCGGAUCGUACUCAAUAAUGAAAUGACACGUGUCAUUAUGACCCAUGUGUAAUGGGGUCGAUUUGGGUCCUACAGUGUUGAAAACUUCGACAUCCAGUUUUGGCCUUUUGCUUUCUCUACAGCCGCCUUGCUUUUUCCCUCUUUCCUUUUGUUUUCCUCCUGCCCCAUUCUAUCAACUAAACACAAUUAUGUAGUUGUUUAAUUCUUAAAUGAGAUAUUAUCGGUCAAUCGUAUUAUAUUUUAUCAAGAGAGAACGGAGUGCAAUGCAGCUGUAAUUUUAUCGUUUACUUUUAUCUCUUGGACCACUGCAUUUUUGUUAAGAGGUGCAAUAAUACACGUCUUUAUCUGCCAUUCAAUGUUUACAGUAAAGAGAGGGCACAAAACUCUUCACUGCUCUGCAUGUGUCCCAAAAAUGCGAUUGGACAAAUUAUGAUUUGCAUGCUAAAAAGAGGCAAAUGAGGUUAAUUCGCACCAUAAUUAUUUGGUUUUCUGGACACCAUAAAAAGAUGUUAUACAGGCAGGGAAAAACCUUCAGAGUUAGCUACCAAAGAUAAUUAUCAAGCAGAUAUCACCAAGAGAAUUCCAUAGAGUCUGAAUCAAAGACAGAUUGCUCGCUCGUGGGGGUUCUUACUUUCUUUUGGGUAUAACUCACUGAGGUCACUGUCUUUUUUAUUUGCAUUUCACAGUUAGAGUUCUGCUCUGGAAGGUUUGUUCUGGAAACAUAUAAAAGGAGCAUCAUUUUGUUCUUGGGUAACCCAUAGUCGUGAGUGGGUCCAUUUGCAUGCUACUUAGUUGAAAAGUUGGACAAUUUGCUCCGACGCCUACCUCCUGGAUUCCAUGCUCGGUAAAACAAGAAUAAAAAAAAAUAUAUAAUUUACAAAUGGGGGAAAGAAAAAAUGUCGGAAAAAAUAGUAAAAUUCAUGUCACAUGCUAGUGAGAGAAGGGGUUGUUACACUCACUCGAAGUUCUUUUCAAAAUAUCGAAUGGUAUUUUACUUUAUGUGUCAGCGCAGUUGUGAAUGGAACGUGCAAAAGUCCAAAUUGGCGUUUUUAUUUUUCCCAUGUAGGAUGGUGACCUUUAAUAAAUAUUUAAAACAAAAGACGAAAAAAAAAAGGAGGGAAAAGGGAUCACAAAAGAUAAAAUAAUGUUUACAAAAGCUCAAUUAGUUUGCAAAUUACUGUUUGGAUUUUGAUAGUAUUUUAUUUGUCGUUCUAUAUUUGAUGUAAAAGAGAAUUUAAGAUAUUUCCGAAGCAAAAGCAUUAGUUUGCUCUGUGAUGUCCCACAUCGAAUAGGGGAGAAAGUUUCUGGCGCUAUAUAUGUAGAGGCUCCUCUUAACCAAGUAGAUGCGUUUUAAAACCAUGAGGGCCCCCUUAGGUCCAAAGCGGACAAUAUCUACAUGAUUGGGUGUAAGUCAUUACAAAUGGUAUCAGAGCCGAUCCCCGACCCCGGUGUGGGGGUUUGUUUGGCCCUGUAAGGGGUGUUUGUCUGUUUGACCCCACAAUCCCAUGGGACACAACGAGGACGUUGUGUCUGCAUGGGGGGGCGUUUGUGAUGUCCCACAUCGGAUAGGGGAGAAAGUUCCUAGUGCUAUAUAUGUAGAUGUUUCUCUUAACCAAGUAGAUGCAUUUUAAAAUUGUGAGGGCCUCUUUGGGCCCAAAGCGGACAAUAUCUACAUGGUUGAGUGUAAGUCAUUACAUGCUCCAUGUCAAUUUCAGCAUUUCUCAUAUGUUUCACACAUACACAGAAGAGCAUCGUUUUUUAAAGCAUGCAUUUAUGUUGGAUUAAUUUGGAUUUUGUGGGAACUGGGGCAAGGAUCACAUGGAAGAGAGGUUGACUUUUUUCAGUACUUCAAUGGUUGAAAUAUGUGAAGGCUUGAUUGAUACUAAAGCUUGAAAUUGCGACUCUGUCAUUUGUAAAAAAAUAUGACAGCUUCCAUGCUCUCGUUUGGUUGCAUUGUCCGGUCGAGAGGUGCAAAAAGCAUUCUCUCUCUUCUAAUAGUCUUUUCGUUUAAAUCAAGGGAUUUGCCUUCCCGGUCGAGGUCCAAUAGAGGGUAACGGUCACCUACUAAACAUUAAAUGCUCCAACAACUAGUGAACUGAUCGACCCCAGCUCGACUAGUUGAGGUUACUUUUUGGUUUUCUUGUCUCCCGAGGUUAGAAACCUAUAAAUAGAGAGCUUCACUUCAUUUAUGAGUAAGAGAACACCUAAAUUUAUUUGUUUACCUACUUGUUUUUGCCAUAAAAGCUCUCAUUUCUUUUCUUGGUGUAUUAAAUCUCCAUUUGCAUAUCCUUUAGUGCACCUUUGUGAUUCAUUCUAGCCUUGAGUUGUAUUUAAGCCUUUGUUGAGCUAGGUUGAGAGUUUCAUACUUGUUUAUUGAGUGUUAAAGCCUUCAAGUGAGUUAAAACUUGAAGAGAUUGUGUAAGAGCCCAUUGGAGUCGGAAUCCAAGUGUAAAGGUGAUUAAAAGCUUGGUUGAAGCUUCAAGUUAGUGGAACUCUCACUCGGUUAUGAGCUUGAGAAGAGUGGACAUAGACAAGGCAGUGUCGAACCACUAUAAAAUCUGAGUUUGAUUUCUCUAACCUUAUCUCUUUAUAUUUGCUUCUCUUGUGCUUAAAUUUUUUGUGUUUAAAAAGAAUUUUUAAAAACUCAAUUCACCCCCUUCUUGGGAGUUUUUCUCUUUUAAGAUCAGCUUUUAUUUUCUCAAUUGGUAUCAGAACUAUGCCUCUUGUUUAAGACUUAAUCGUCUAAGAGGAAAUGGCUAAUCCAUCAAGUUCAUCUCACAUUGAAAGUUUUGCAACCAAUAGACUUCUUUUUUUUUUUUUGCGGGAACUGAUUAUCCCUAUUGGAAAACUAAAAUGACUUGGUUUUUACAAUCAAUUGAUUUAGAUGUAUGAGAUGCCAUUGAAGAUGACCUAACUUUUCCUUCAAAACUAGUUGAUGGAGUCAUGGUUCCAAAACCUAAGCAAGAAUGGGAUGAGCGUGAUUGAAGAAAUUUUCAAUUAAAUGCUAAAGUCGUUUAUACUUUGCAAUGCUCUAUGGACAGAAAUGAAUAUAAUAGAAUAUGUCAAUGCAAAUCGGUUAAAGAAAUUUGGAGAUUGCUUGAAAUAACUCAUAAAGGAACAAAUCAAGUUAAAGAGUCAAAAAUCAAUUUACUUGUUCAUAGAUAUGAAUUGUUUUUUAUGAAAGAUAAUGAAACUAUUGUUAAGAUGAUCACUAGGUUCACCAACAUUGUUAAUGGUCUUAAAGCCUUGGGAAAGACCUACAAGGAAUCCGAAAACGUGAUGAAGAUCUUGAGGUCACUUCCAUCAAAGUGGCAUACCAAGGUCACCGCAAUUUAAGAAGCAAAAGACUUGAUCAAGCUACCUUUGGAGGAGUUCAUAGGGUCAUUGAUGACAUAUGAAAUCAAUUUGGCAAAGAAGUAACAAAAAGGUGAAGACAAAAAGAAGAAGAACAUAACUCUCAAAGCUACAACUAAGGAAGAAGAAGUUGAAGAAGAAAAACAAAUUGAAGAAGAUGAAGAUUUAGCCCUCAUCACAAGAAAGUUCAACAAAUUCAUGAGGGGUGAAAGGUUUAGAAGAAGAAGGUUCACUUCUAGAAGAGACUUUUCUAAAAAGGAAUCUUCAUCUAAUGGUGACAAAAAGAGAUGGGAAGAGAAAAGAGACUUGGUGUGUUUCAAGUGCAAGAAACCGGGACACAUUAAAUAUGAUUGUCCUCUCUACAAAAGUGAAGUCAAGAGGAAAAAGAAUAAGGCAAUGAUGGCCACUUAGAGUGAAAGUGAAGAUGAAUCAUCCGAAGAAGAAAAUGAGAAAGAAGUGGCAAACAUGUGUUUCAUGGCAAUAGAUGAACUUGAUGAGGUAAAAUCUAACCUUAGUGAUUAAGAUAUACAUGAUGCAUUUGAAGAAUUGUAUGAGGAUUUUUAAAAACUUAGUUUGAAAAAUAUUUCUCUUAAAAAGAAAGUUCAACAACUUGACAAAGAACUUAGAGAAGUAAAAGAAAAAUUUUCAAAUGUUAAAGUUUCUAAAACUCAUCUUGAAAAAGAAAAUGAGAUUCUAAGAAAGAAAAAUGAAUAGUUGAACUCCUCUCUUUCAAUCUUUUCUUCUAGACAAAAAUCUUUUGAAAUGAUUCUAACUAGCUAAAAAUGUGUUUUUGACAAACAAGGGUUAAGAUUUAAAUCUUCAAAAAAUCAAAAGUAUUUUAAAAACUAUUUUGUAAAGGAAUCCACAAGUGCAAGUCCUUCCACUACUUGCAACUUUUGUGGAAGAGAAUGGCACAUUAGUAGUACGCCCUUUAAGAAAUGGUUCUCAAAAGAAUUUAAAUGCAAAAACUAAAAAAGAUUUGGAUUGAGAAAUCCAAGGUCACUAACCCUCAAGGACCCAAAAAGAUAUAGGUACCUAAAUCAACUUGAGUUUUAUGUUGUAAGGUUCAAAGAAUGAUAAGUGGUUCUUAGAUAAUGGUUGCUCAAGACACAUGACCGGAGAUGAAUCCAAGUUUGCUUUUCUUAAAAAGAAAAAUGGAGGAUAUGUUACCUUUGGAGACAAUGCAAAAGAAAGGAUGAUUGGUCAAGGCAACAUUGGUAAUGGCACAUCCUCUCUCAUUGAAAGUGUUUUAUUAGUAGAUGGUUUCAAACAUAACCUUUUAAGCAUUAGUCAAUUUUGCGACAAAGGUUUUUAAGUGAUUUUUUAAGCAUCUCAUUGCAUCAUCAAGGAUAUUCAAAAUGAUAAAACCAUUUUCAUGGGCCAUAGAUGUGAUAAUGUUUAUGCUAUAAAUAUUUCAAAAUAUGAUGGCCAUGAUAGAUGUUUUUCAAGCAUGCAUGAUCAAAGUUGGUUGUGCCAUAGGAGAUUGAGACAUGCUAACAUAGACCUCAUUUCCCAACUCAACAAAGAUGAACUUGUUAGAGGCCUUCCCAAAAUAAUUUUUUAAAAAGAUAAAGUUUGUGAAGCUUGUCAAGUGGGAAAGUAAAUCAAAAACUCUUUUAAAAACAAAAACUUCAUUUCCACAUCUAGGCCACUUGAGUUGUUGCAUAUGGAUUUAUUUGGUCCCUCUAGGACACCAAGUCUUAGAGGAAAUUCUUAUGCAUAUGCUAUUGUGGACGACUUCUCUAGAUACACAUGAGUCUUGUUUUUUAGUCAAAAGAAUAAAGUUUUUUAUGAGUUUUCAAAGUUUUGCAAUAAGAUUCAAAAUGAAAAAGGUUUUUCAAUUACUUAUAUAAGAAGUGAUCAUGGGAGAGAAUUCGAAAAUAUUGAUUUUGAAGAGUAUUGCAAUGAGCAUGGAAUUGACCACAAUUUUUUGGCUCUUAGAACUCCUCAACAAAAUGGGGUAGUUGAAAGGAAAAAUAGAACUCUUCAAAAAAUGACAAGAACCAUACUAAAUGAAAACAACUUACCAAAAUAUUUUUAGGCCAAAACGGUUAACACUUCUUGUUAUGUUUUAAAUAGAGUAUUAUUGAGGCUCAUACUUAAGAAAACUCCCUAUGAGCUUUGGAAAAACAAAAAACCCAACAUUAGUUAUUCCAAAGUCUUUGGAUGCAAUAUUUUAUAAUAAACACCAAAGACAAUCUUGGAAAAUUUGAUGCAAAAUUGGAUGUUGGAAUUUUCCUUGGUUACUCAACUUCAAGUAAAGCUUUUCGAGUUUUAACAAAAGAACCAUGGUUGUAGAGGAGUCCAUCCAUGUUAUUUUUUAUGAAUCUCCAAGAAAGAGAGAGGAUUGAUGAUGAUUUAGGUUUGAAGACCUCUAUAGGAAGAUUGCAAAUCGAAGAUAGAAGACAACAAGAAGAAAAUGGAGAGAAUCCAAAGAAAGAAGGAUCACCAUUGGCACUACCCCCUCAUCAACAAGCGCAAGGUGAAUCAAGUCAAGAGCUUCCUAAAGAAUGGAAGUUUGUCAUCAAUCACCCACAAGAUCAAAUUAUAGGCAAUCCAUCUAGUGGGGUAAGAACUAGAUCCUCUCUUAGAAAUAUUUGCAAUAAUCUAGCUUUUAUCUCUCAAAUUGAGCCUAAAAAUAUAAAUGAUGUUUUAGAUGAUGAAAAUUGGAUAAUUGCAAUGCAAGAAGAGUUAAAUCCAUUUGAAAGAAGUGGAGUAUGGGAAUUAGUACCAAGACCUUCAAAUCAAAGUGUUAUUGGAACUAGAUGGAUCUUUAGAAAUAAAAUGGAUGAAAAUAGCAUAAUUGUUAGAAAUAAAGCAAGAUUGGUAGCCCAAGGUUUUAAUCAAGAAGAAAUGAUAGAUUAUGAAGAAACCUUUGCCCCCGUAGCUAGGUUGGAAGCCAUUAGGAUGCUACUUGCCUUUGCAUGUUUUAAAGACUUUGUUUUAUAUCAAAUGGAUGUGAAAAGUGCUUUUUUAAAUGGUUUUAUAAAUGAAGAAGUAUAUGUUGAACAACCACCCGGUUUUCAAAGUUUCAACUUUCCUAACCAUGUUUUUAAACUUAAAAAGACACUUUAUGGUUUGAAACAAGCACCUAGAUCAUGGUAUGAAAAAUUGAGUAAAUUUCUUUUGAAAAAAAUGUUUUAAAAUGGGAAAAAUUGACACAACUCUUUUUAUAAAAACCAAAGAAAAUGAUAUGCUCUUAGUUCAAAUAUAUAUUGAUGAUAUCAUUUUUGGUGCUACUAAUGUCUCUCUUUAUGAAGAAUUUUCUAAGUGCAUGCAUAGUGAGUUUGAAAUGAGCAUGAUAGGAGAACUCAACUUCUUCCUUGGACUUCAAAUCAAGCAACUAAAGGAAUGAACCUUCAUCAAUCAAGCAAAGUAUAUAAGAGAUCUUCUCAAAAGGUUCAACAUGGAAGAAGCCAAAACAAUGAAGACUCUAAUGAGCUCAUCCAUUAAGCUUGAUAAGGAUGAGAAAGGUAAAUCCAUUGACUCUAUUAUGUAUAGAGGCAUGAUAGGUUCUUUGCUCUAUUUGACCACUAGUAGACCUUACAUUAUGUAUAGUGUGUGUUUGUGUACUAGAUUUCAAUCUUGUCUUAAAAAAUCUCACUUAAGUGUCGUGAAAAGAAUCCUCAAAUAUUUGAAAGGGACAAUGGACAUAGGCUUAUGGUAUCCUAAGAGUGAUAACUUUGAAUUAAUUGGUUUUUUGGAUGCUGAUUUUGUCAGUUGUAGGGUUGAAAAAUAAAACACUAGUGGCACUUUUCAUUUCUUAAGACACUUACUUGUCUCAUGGCAUAAUAAGAAGCAAAAUUUGGUAGCUUUGUCAACAGCAGAAGCUAAAUACAUAGCAACUGGUUUAUGUUGUGCACAAAUCCUUUGGAUGAAAUAAACACUUAGUGAUUUUGAUUUAUCUUUUGAGCAUAUUCCUAUUAAAUGUGAUAAUAGUAGUGCCAUAAGUAUAUCAAAAAAUCUCGUGCAACACUCUAGGACUAAGCAUAUAGAGAUUAGACAUAAUUUUCUUAGAUAUCAUACACAAAAGGAUGAUAUAACACUUGAAUUUGUAAGCAUAAAAGACCAACUUGCCGAUAUCUUUACAAAACCUCUAAGAACAUUUUGUUGAUAUUAGAGGACAAUUAGGAGUGAUUUCUUUAUGAUCUAAUGUGAUGAAUUCUUGAUGAAUAUACUUUUUGAUUGCAUGAAUUUCAUGUCAUAUAUGCAUCAUAUAGAAAUAUACUUAGAUAAUGGUCAAAUUUCGACCAAAAAUCAAAAUUCCCAUGGCAUUAGGCAUAAAAAUUUUGGAAUUUCAACUGAAAAUGGUAGGAGGAGGAUCACAAAAUGAGAAAGUAUGCAAAAAUUGAAAAAUCAAAACGUUGACCAAGCGGUCAAUCGGACUAGACCGAUCGACUAGUUUGUCGAGAUUUAGGAUUUUUAAGAGACUCCAACGCUUCAAUUUUUGCACCGUUCUCCUCUAUUUCUUCACGGUUUCUCUGAUUUUGUCUUUUAGAGACUAAUUUGAGUGCGUUUUGGAUCAAUUGAAGCAUUUUGGAUUGGAUUUUAGGAAGAUUGAAAGUUAAGGUUUCGGAUUUGGGUCGCCUUCUCUUCCUCUCGCGUGUCACAAUCAGCUUUAGCAUUGUUCUCUUUCCAUUUUCACACACCUAGGGUUUCAGUUGUGAGCAUCUCUCUCUCUUUACCAACCACUACUCCCUUGCUUCUUCCAUAUGGCUCCUAGGCGAGAGUCCGCUACUUCUAGGGCACAAGGCAAGCACCCAACUGAGUCGUCUCAGUCAAAGGCACGUCGAAAAGUGAGAUUUGACAUUGCCUUGUUCAGUUCCAUGGAGGACUACCAACUAUACAAGCAACACUUUGCUUAGAGACGAGUAGUUCCCAAGAGAAAUAUUAAUUUUCCUCAACUUCAGCAUUUCGAAUUUAAGGGUCUAUUUACUAGGAUGGUUGGUUGUCUAUUGUCACAAUUUCGGAGCCGGUUUUCCUGACCUUAGUGCGAGUUUUUUACUCGAGGGCGACUUAUGGCAUGGGUGGCAUGAUCAUUUCUACUGUUGGAGGAGUUGAGAUCUGUCUGGACCCAGAGAGCAUCUGCCAUAUUUUCGAUAUUGCUCUGGUUGGACUCAAAGUAUACAAGUCCAAAAUGUGGCCCAUUGUGCCAGGAUUUGAGCUUAGAGAGGUCAUUCAGAGGAUUUGUGAACUUCCAGACGCCCAGGAGAUGGGCAAACCAUUGCCACACAGUUUGACGGUCAUCAACAGGGUGCUACACCAUAUAUUGUGCUCUAUCUUUCUACCACGAAGUGGACAUUGAGAUGAGGUCUCUUAUUAUGAGGCAUUCCUUAUUGACUCCAUUCUAACGGAGAGACGAAUUCAUCUACUAUGUCAUCAUUCACUAAGCCUCCUCACAGUGACAUACCACCUCAUCAGGCACCUCUUGCUCCUGACCAUGCUCCAUUGAUGGAUUUAUUUACUCAUAUUAGCUCUCUAGGCACUCGCAUGAAGGAGUUUGUUGUAGUUAGUGAUACAUGGUUCUACUCCAUAGAGGAUCGCAUGGAUCAGUAUCAGACUGGCUUCACGUCACAGUUUGAGUAUCUCCAAUAGAGGAUUGAGCAUAUUGAGGAUCACUUGAGCAUGAGAAGAUGAUGGCUUUUCUAUGCUCUGUGUUUCCACCUCCACCUCGUCAACCUUGAUUUCUUAGAGACCCAUUGUUUUCAUUUUGUAAUGUUGCCAAAAGGGGGAGAUAUUUAGGAUCUAGGACUCUAUAGGAGACUUACAUGCAUAUCAUUUUCAUAUCAUUGUUUGGAUCGUACAUAUUGGAUAGUGAUACUUUUUACUUAUAUAUGAUAUGCCUAUAUGUUUCAUGUCUUACAUUGUUUCUUAUUGCAAAUUAUCUCUAACAUGUCUUGAUUAUCUUUUUUUUAACUUCAUAAAUUUUGAUUGUUAACCCAUGAUUGGUUUGAGGGGAAGAUUCUUCUUCUCCUAGAUAACCAAGGUUUGUCAUCAUAAAAAAAUUGGAGAUUGUUAGCCCAAGGGUUCUCCUAAUCAUGUUUUGAUGAUAACAAACCAUGCUUAAGUUACUAAUUGGUUUGAAUUAUAAAGAAUUUCAAGUGUUAAUUUGAAAAUUCAUCAAAGAACCUAAUGGAUGCAAGAUCAAGAUUUUUGGAAGACCUUUAAUCAUAAGAAACAUAUGUAAGAUGAAUGCAUGGGUGCACUUAAGAUUUGCAUAUCAUUUCAUGCAUAUUUGGAAAACACGGUUUAUGCUUUAAAGUUACAUUUCCAUCAAAAUUUGAGAUCCAUCAAAUGAACCUUAGGAAAAAUGUUUUAAAAUUGGCAUAUAAUUUUACCUAAAGACCUUGCCUAAGUGUUAGAAGCAAAAGGACAAAAAAAAUAUAGGUUUUCUGGUCAAAAAUGGUGAACCAGUCAAGGCAUUGUCUAAAUCAGCUCAAUCGGCCAAGGUACCGGUCGAUCGGUUUCCCUUUCCCUGUCGAGAUCUAGUCAAGAGGUACAAAAAUCACAAUCUCUGUCUCUUUCUCUCUUUGUCUAUCUUCCAGUAGUCUUUCCUUCCCGGUCGAGGGAUUUGCCUUCCCGAUUGAGGUCCGAUUGAGAGUAAUAGUCACUUGCCAAAUAUUAAAUGCUCCAACAGUUAGUGAACUGGUCGACCCCCACCUUGCCCAGUUGAGGUUACUUUUUGGUUUUCUUGGCUCCCGAUGUUAGAAACCUAUAAAUAGAGAGUUCCACUUCAUUUAUGAGCAAGAGAACACUUGCAUUUAUUUGUUUACCUACUUGUUCUUGCCUUAAAAGCUCUCAUUUCUUUUCUUGGUGCAUUAAAUCUCCAUUUUGAUAUCCUUUAGUGCACCUUUGUGAUUCAUCUUAGCCUUGAGUUGUAUUUGAGCCCUUUUUUUAGCUAGGUUGAGAGUUUCAUACUUGUUAAUUGAGUGUUAAAGCCUUCAAGUGAGUUGAAACUUGUAGAGAUUAUGUGAGAGUCGAUUGGAGCCGAAAUCCAAGUGUAAAGGUGAUUAGAAGCUUGGUUGAAGCUUCAAGUUAGUGGAAUCCUCACUCAAUUAGGAGCUUGAGGAGAGUGGACGUAGCCAAGGAAGUGUCGAACCACUAUAAAAUUUGAGUUUGAUUUCUCUAACAUUGUCUCUUUAUAUUUGUUUAUCUUGUGCUUAAAUUUAUUGUGUUUAAAAAGAAUUUUUAAAUACCCAAUUCACCCCCCUCUUGGGUGUUUUUCUCUUUUAAAAUUAGCCUUUAUUUUCUCACAAACUAUUGUAGUAUAGUGGUUUUUAGGUGUCAUCCAUUAGGAUGAAUUGUUCUCGGUAAUUAAGGCGUGAAUGAGAGGAGAAUUAAUGAUUGUGAUUAAGUAAAAUUGAUUUGAAAAUUCAUGGUGAAAAAUCAAUUUAACAAUGGUUUCUAAUUGAGAAAAACAAUGAAAUGUGAAAUAAAAUAAAAUUAAUAGGAAAUGAAAUUCUCGAAGUUAGAAUUUUCUAAAAAACAAAUUCCAUGGUGAAUGGAUGUUGAGAUCUAAUUUUCAUCAAGUUAGAUUGAAAACCGAAAUUUUCAUAUAAACUGAUUUUUUAUUUAGUUUUAGGUCUAGAUUUAAUUUCCCUUAAAAUUAGGUUAUUUAAUCCAAGAAAUCAAUUCAAAUCAUAUAUUCAAUUCAUCUUAAAUUAUCUUCCAAUUAUUCACACAAUGCAACUAUUCAAUCUCAUCAAAUCUAGCUUUUAAGAAUUUAAUGAAUCUACCUAGUUUGCAUUGUAAUAGUCAUCCAUGACAAUUUGAAGAGAAAAAUAAUUCAAUUAAUCAAUCACUUGGAUCAAAUUACCUUUGCAAUUAAAGUUCAUUUCUCUAAUUCACCACAGAUUUUGUCUCUAGAUCCUCCUUUCUCAAAGAAAAAUGAGAUUUAGCCACACAUGAUUGGAGAUUUGGUCUCAUAAGGCAUGUUUAGCUAGUGAUAAAAUGAGAGAAAAUAAAGAAAAAUAGAGAAUUCGAUUAAGAAAGAAAAUCUAAAAAAUUCUACAAUUAGAAAUGUCCAAAAAGCUUUUUCAUGAGAAAAUCAAGUUUCUAUUUAUAGGCCAAGGUCAAGUGGACACUUGACAUCAUCUAAGAGGUCUUCCGGAAGCUUCUUCAUCAAGAAAUCUGGAGUUUAAUAAUAAAAUGGUCAUUUCACAAGAGCUCAAACAAUUUCGCAUGAUUAUGUGAAAUAAAAAAUGCAACAACAGCAAUUUACAUCUUCUUGGAGCAUUUCGCAUGACUGUGUGAAAUUUUCACAUGAUCAUGUGGAAUCGACUUGACAACUCUCAUUUAGCCUACAACAUAAUUCCACCUUUUGGUCCAUUUUUCAUAGUCAUGCGAAAUGGAAAUAUUUGAUUUUUAAGUUUUCUUUUGUCAUUUCUUUCAUUUCCUUCUCUUGAUUCCACUUCAACUACCUCCGAAUCCUGGUCCAAACCAAUUGCAUUACUUCUUUCAUUAUGCAUUUGGAUCAUCAUCAACAUUAUUUGUUCUCUUCAAUUUGAUUCAUCUCUUUUGUCACCAAUUUAUCAAAAUCAUACCUUGAAAUGACUCCAAAACUUCAUAAAACUUGUUAGUAACUCUUGCAAGGGCAACAACAUAUUAAUUAAGUGUUUUAGGCAUAGUUACUACUCAAAAGAUGCGAAACUCAUGAUAAUUAUUAUAUAAAAUAUGCUCUUUUUGAGUAGUAAUCAACUUUCUUGCAUAAGCAGACCUUUUAGGGUGGAGUACUAAAGACCAAUAUGCUUGUCCUUGUUGUAAUAAAGAAACUUGCUCUUAUUGAUUGCACCAUGGGAGAAAAUUUUGCUACAUGAGUUAUCAUCAAUUUCUUCCCACCAAUCAUAGAUUUAGACGUGACAAGAGGCCUCUUAAUGGCAAGGAGGAACUGACACUCACACUUAUACAAUUAUCGGGCAUUGAUGUGUUGCAACAAUUAGAAUAACUUACACCAAUUAUGUUGGGGAAGUCACAAAAGGCAAACAUGAAAACUAAAAGGAAAAAAGAAAAAUGUUACAUAUCACCACAACUGGAAAGAAAAAAGUAUUUACUUUCAUUUGCCAUAUUGGAAAGCACUUAUUUUACAUCAUAAUAAUUUAGACAUAAUGCAUAUUGAGAAAAAUGUGUGACAAUAUAAUUGAGACAUUGUUCAGUAUUGACGAAGAAACAAGGACAACCUAAAUAGUCAUCUCGAUUUACAAGCUCUAACUAUUAGAAAUGAGAUUCACCCAAUAGAAAGCAGGACCAAAUUUAUUUUGCUUGCAACAUGCUACUCACUCACCCCAAAUGAGAUUAAGGAAUUUUGCAAGUUUUUGAAAUCAAUAAAGGUCCCCAAUGGCUAUUCUUUCAAUAUCUCUCGUUAUGUGCAACUCAAUGAAAGGAAGAUAUAUGAGCUCAAAUUGUAUGAUUGUCAUGUCCUAAUGCAACAACUUCUCUCACUUGUAGUUCGUGGAGUUCUACAUAAGAAUGUUUGUGGAGUUAUCAUAGAAUUGCGUAAUUUUUUCAAGCAAUUGUGCUCAAAGGUGUUAGAAACAAAUCACUUACACCAACUUGAGAACAAUAUUAUUGUCAUACUAUGUAAAAUGGAGCAAAUAUUUCUUCCAUCAUUCUUUGAUAUUAUGGUGCAUUUACUUGUGCAUCUAGUAAGGCAAAGGUUGCAAGACUUGUGCAAUAUUGUUGGAUGUACCUAAUUGAACGAUAUUGUUAUAAUUUCAUAUGAAUCAUUUAAUUUUAUUUUAUAUUAUGUUCAGUUCAUUAACAUGUACAUUGGUCUACAUAUGGAUGAUGAUAGGUACCUAAGCACUUUAAAGUCAUAUGUGCGUAAUAGAACUUUUCUAGAAGGUUCUAUUGUAGAAAGGUACCUUGCAAAAGAAUGUACAACAUUUUAUUCUAGGUACUUGAAUGAUGUGGAAAUAAAGUAUAAUCACAAUGAUAGAAACUUUGUUGGUUUCAACACUAGAGGAGAUGAAAGGGGUUAUCUUUAAACAUAUUGGACAUGCAUUGGGAAAGCCCAUAUUUCAUUAACUUAGUUCAAAAGAGUGGUCACAAGCACAUUUAUAUGUGUUGACAAAUUGCGAAGAUGUCAUACCAUUCAUUGAGUAAAAAAUUUAUUUGAAUUUUAAUUAAAGCUCUAGUUUAUAUCCUUAAUCAAUGUUUUUUAAAUUCACAAGGAGCACAAGCAAACCAUCAAGGCUAGACCACAUAUACGUGUUUGAGACGUAGAUUUAAUUCAUAACAAGGAAUUUAUCAAGUGGUUUGAAAGACAUGUAAGUAUAUUCCUUAUUAUAAGGGAUUUAUUUCACAUUAUGUUUAUAUUGAAUCCAAACCUAUUAUUGAAUUGUAGGUUGAACAAUUACAUAAUGAAGGUCAUAUAUCUGAACACCUUCUCACAUUAUCAUGUGUUCCAAAUUCAUUAGUUACAUGCUUCAAAUGAUAUAUUGUCAAUGGAUUUAGAUCCCACAUUAAAGAACGUGAUAAAAAAGUUUUUAAAAAAAGACUCAGAAUAAUGGAAUUGUUGUAGUUGCAAAAACGUCAAGCUUUACAAGUGCAUGUGAUAUGAGUCCAAUUAUUAGUGAUGCUCUCUACUAUGGUGUUCUAACUAAAGUUGUUGAGUUACAUUAUCUUGGUGAAAAUAAGGUUGUUUUAUUCGAGUUUGAUUGGUGGGAUGUUACAAAUAUUGGAAAAUUGAUAAAAGAUGAUGAGUACAAUUACACAUUUGUUAACUUUGCAUGAAUUCUAACCACGAACGAACGAUUUGUACUUGCAUCUCCAGCAAAGUAAGUGUUCUAUGUGAAGAAUGCGAAUGAAUCAGAUUGGCAUACUAUCAUGGAGAUGCAACCUCAAGACCUCUAUAAGAUGAACGGGAUAGGAUCCAAUGGUGAUUUUGAACCAUUUCAACAAAGUGAACUACAUGAUCACUAAUAUAUCUCAGAUUUAGUUGAUGAAGAUAUAAUCAAGUGGAACAAAAGUGAUGUUUUAGGACUAAUCAUCCUAAAAAAUAUUGUAGUUUCUUAAAAAAAAAAUGAAAAUGAAGAAGAUAAUUGAACCUUUGUCAUACUUUAAAAAGCAACUAUGCAUUGUUCAUUUUGUAUGUUUUGGUUUUCUUCAUUUAAUUUCCUGAUUUUUGUGAUUCAAUGUCAUAUUAUUGAUCUUGAAAUAUUUUUCUAAUUUUUCAUUCUACGAUGGUUUCAACAAGGAUGACAUCAAGUCAAAAAAGGAAAUGUGGUCCCACACACAAUAUUGCAUUACAGGGAUUAAGGUCAGGGAAGAAGGUAAAAGUUGCAUUUAAUGAGUACAAUCAAUUGGUUAAACAGAAAAAUGGAAAACACUUAUCGAGCUACAUAGGGACACUUGUAUCUAACCAACACAAUGUACCUCUCCAAGCUAGUGAUUGGAAAAAUGUUCCAAAUGAUGCAAAAGAGAAAGUAUGGCCUUUGUUUUGGUAUGUUGUAUUUCUCACUAUAUGAUGUCAUUUCACUGUUAUUCUAUUUUGUGACUAACGUUUGAAUCAUAUGUAAGAAAAAUUUGAAGUAGAUAAAGACUGAAAAGAUUACAUGUUGGGUAUAGCCUCAAAUAAAUAUAGAAGCUAUAAAAAUAUGAUGAAUGCAAAAUACUAUGACCCUUGGCAUAAGGAUGCAUGAGGAGAGGUUAAUACAUAAAUCACCAUUUGUCUCUGAUGUUGAUUGGAAGUGGCUUGUCUCUGAUGCAUAAACCAAAUCCCCCACUGAAUGUUUGAUAUUUGAUAGCAGGAAAAACACACCCGCAGCUAUACACCUCCAUCAUUCAGAUAAUUAUAGUGGGGGAGAUGAUUCAUGGUUGCCCUUAUACCCUUUAUUUGCACCAUCUAUUGAGAUUCUUUAUCAUGGCCAGGUUUUACUGCAGCAAUAAGAUAUGGUGGCAACAAUUUUAUCUAUAGGUGCGGUUCCAGACCGCCUCCAUAGGUGCGGUUCCUGACUGCCUCCAUAGGUGCCUCUUCUUGUAAUGUUUGUUCUGGGAAUUACACUUGAAAGCCUUAUCGUGAUAAGGGAUUACAAACACUAGUUCAGAGGACAGCCAUGUUAAACUUCCACUAUGUUUGUGUCACAUUAUCAGCAGCCUAGUGUUUAUUGGUCAUGCUAUCUGCAACUAAUAUAACCCGGUGAACUUCAAUCUAAAUUCUGAAAGUACUCAUGUGACAGAUGGUGCCUUUCAGCAGAUAUCAUCAAUUUAAAAGUAGUGUGUGUGCCUAUAGGUGGGAAGGCCUUGGCAAAUGUUCAGUAUUCCGGUAAUUCAAGAAGGAUAUAUCUAAAAUAGAUUUUCUUCUUGCCCAUUUCAAUAGUUAAAAUUUGAGAAGAUUGUGUCCACAUCACACAAAUAUUAUUGGUCCUUCUGUUGCAAUUUACCUCUGAACAUGUCUUCCAAUUCCCACGGUCCUGUUACUCCAGGAAAACUAUUUCGGUCAUAUUGAAAAAAAAAAUAUUAAAGAAGGUACACAUGCUUUUAAGUGGACUGGGGCAUUCAUAUCAGGUGGUCUGUAUCCACAUAUGCCACUUCGUGAAAGGUGGAACAGCCUAAUCACUAGGCUAUUUAGUGUGGCCCAGCCACGUUAAUCAAGCACAAGUCUUCAUACUUAAAGUCAAAUGGUGUCUUUAGUCUCAUUACACAUCGCUAUUUGAAGAUUAACUCAUCACUAGUGUAAUGCGAUUAAGACAGUCCUAACUCAAUAUUUGUUCUAGUUUUGGAUGCAAAUGCUUGCUGGUUUCAUCAUUGGAUGGGAUAAAGGUGCAAUCAGGACUAUGAAUACGUGCAGUAAUACUUCAUUCUCUUUUUUCUCAAUGAGACUUCUUGGCACAAUUUUGCUGCUCAGCAACCUACCUUUCCAUGGAAAAUCAGUUGUGACUGAUAGUAAUGGAUAUAUUCUAGAAAGCUAAACAUAGAUAGCAUUCAAUAUUAUCGAUAUAACAUUAACAGCGUAUGUCUCAAUGCUCAUCAGCUACAAGCAAUGGACAAACACUUUGAGUAACUCACAGCAGUCAAAAUUCCUAAACAGGACAGACGUGACAGAUCUAUAUAUAGAACACUGCAUAUGAGUCACAGGAAAAGAUAAUACGGGUACAUAGAAGCUCUUAUUUUACAUAUUACUCAUACUGAUCAAAGUCGCUCAGUUGGGAUGGAUGGGAGAAGGAGGUUUGAGGGGUGGCUUGUGCGGGGAAGUUGGCAGCUUCUUUCCGGGAGCUGGUUGCUUCUUUGCUGGAGUUGAAGGAGGCUUAAUCUUCCGAGGUGGCUUGUAUGAGUCUUCAGCAUUCUCAGCAGGAGGGUGACCAGGGUUGUGACCAUAAUGUGGUGGCUUCUCUCCCUUAGGUGGUUUGCCAACUGGGGUUGGUGGCUUGUUUUCUGGGAGUGGCUUCUCUCCCUUGGGUGGUUUGCCAACUGGGGUUGGUGGCUUGUGUUCUGGGAGUGGCUUCUCCCCCUUGGGAGGUUUUUCGAAUGGGGUGGGUUUGUGUCCUGGUGGUGGCUUCUCUCCCUUGGGAGGUUUACCAAUUGGGGUCGGUGGCUUGUGUUCUGGGAGGGGCUUCUCUCCCUGGGGAGGUUUAGUGGGUGGCUUGUGUUCUGGAGGUGGCUUCUCCACCGGAGGCUUAUGCUCUGGUGGUGGCUUCUCGAAGGGGGGAUGCUCAGGGUAAUCACCAAGUGAGGGGGUGGUGAGAACCACCAUGCCAAGCAACAACACUAGCAAGUAUGUAGUAGACAUCUUUGGGUUUGGACUCAGACAGUGCAAAACUACGAGAAAUCGCUAGCCCUUUAUAGCGGCUCGGACCUAAUACUGACAUAAUAUAAAAUAAAUAUUAUAUUUUAUCAAGAGAGAACAGAGUGUAAUUUUAUCAUUAAUACCGAUCGAGGCCAAAGAAAGAAGACCCAUAAUCCAUUUCCCACAAGCAUACACAAUGCAGCUGUAAUUUUAUCAUUUACUUUUAUCCCUUGGACCACUGCAUUUUUGUUGAGAGACACAAUAACACAUUUUUAUCUGUCAUUCAACAUUUACAGUAAAGAGAGGGCACAAAACGCAAUUAGAUAAAUUAUGUUUUGCCUGCUAAAAAGAGGCAAAUAACUUUAUUUGCAACAUAAUUAUUUUGGUUUCUAGUGACCCCGGGGCCUUUCGGUUGGUUUGGGAUCGGAAAAUGAACAUCAUAGGGGGGGUUGUGCCCUUAUGGGCAUAUAUAUCUGAUAGCUUCAACUGGCCUUGUUCCUAGAAAGAAAUUGCCAAAGAUAUAAACUUAUUCCAGGCUGAAAGUAGAUGAGAGUCAUAAUGAACAUCAACCUUUGUUCAGUUUGAUUCAAUGCCCCCAUAGUGUUCAUUUCACAGAUCUGAAUGAUUAUAUCCGUUGAAUACAUAAAUUAAUGAAGACAAAUAUGAAACCCAAGAUACAUCUCUGCAUAACAACCCCAACCCUGGUUGCUAUGUUUCCCUUCUUCUAUUCACAUGAGGAUACUGGUUAUAAUUGUCAAACUUGCAACAAGCCCUUUGACACCUAACGUCAAUGGACGAAUUAAAAGUCUCCUUCAAACGUCUAUUUCACAGCAUGAAGCUUAUAAAGGAUGCUGACAACCUUCAGAGUUAGCGACAAAAGAUAAUUAUCAAGGAGAGAUAGUUCCAUGAGAAUUCCAAGGAGUCUGAAUCAAAGACAAAUUGCUCACUCAAGGGUUCUUAUUUUCUUUUAGGUACAAAUCUCUUGAGUGUUGUUAAAGAAACACGUCACUGUCAUUUUGAUUUGCAUUUAACAUUUCACUUUUGUUCUGGAAGGUUUGUUCCGGAAACAUAUCAAAUGAGCAUCAUUUUCUUCUUCGGUGACACAUGGUCGCGAGUACGUGGGUCCAUUUUCAUGCCACUUAGUUGAAAAGUUGGAAAGAAAAAACAUGCCAACAAGAAGAUAGUGAGAGAAGGGGCACUUCAAGCCUUUAACAUGAACAAACAGUAAAUAAAAGAUGUUUCUCCACUCAUAAAAGUGUGUUAGAUAGCAAUAUAACGAAUCACAUCCAAAAUCUUUACUAGGCUCAAACAUAAAGAAGACUCAUUUUUAAGAAAAGAUAAAAAUGGCAUUGUCUGAUAGUAUCCAAUACACGAGAUGGCACUUAAUUUGUACAAGAUCUGUCAAUGCUGACGCACAUUUUCUGAUUAAAAAAAAACUGAUCAGUCAAAAGCAAUGAAGAGAAGUGAUGACAAUGAAUGAUGCUUCCAAUAUUUUCACCCCUUAUAGUGUUCUUCAUGAUUCAGAUAUAUAAUUGGAAAUAGAACAACCCUAUGCCAUACAUUCGUCUAAGUAUGGUGUCUAAUUUUUUGUGUCAGCGGUUGCGAAUGGAGCGUGCAAAAGUCCAAAUUGGCGUCUCUCCAUUUCCACAUAGGAAGGUGACCUUUAUUGACAAAUACCCAAUAUUUGUAGACAUUCCUUAAAUAUCAUAACUUCUUGUUGAUUUGAAAAUCAUUUUUCAACUACCAUGUUUUAAUAAAUAUUUUUUAAAAUGUAUUUUUAUCAAAGUCCACCAUGAUGGAUAAUAUUCACCAUGCAAUAAUUAAUAAAGUACAAACUAAGCGAAAUGAAAAGCAUUUUCUUUGCUUUGAGUUGAUUUUGGUUGCAUUGAGUUGAUUUUGGUUUCAUGGUUUUUUCAACUCUUAUUUUGAUUGGAAGAUGUCAAGAAAAGAAAACAUAAAGAAAAAUUAAAAGGGAAAAAAGAAGAAAAAUAAAAAAAAAUAGAUUUAAAAGUUAAUAAAUUAUUUUUUAUAUUUAUUUUAAUUCAUUUCACUUAUUUUUCUUUUACUAUAUAAAAUUUAAAUAAUUUAAAUUUUAUAAUUAAUUUAAUUACAUUUCAUUUUCUUCUAUAUUUAAAUAUUGGAAAAAUAUUUUACUUAAUAUUUUUUUCUUUAAUUUCUUUGGCAUUUUGGGAACCAAACUUAGCCUUUAAAAUAAAAAACAAAAAAAAAAUGAAAAUAAGGAGGGAAAAGUGAGAAAAGAUAAAAACAAUAUGUAAAGGAUUUGAAAAGUAUUAGUUUGUAAUUACUAUUUGGAUUUCAAUAGUAUUUUAUUUGUCUUUCUAUAUUUCAUGUAAGAGAGAAUUUAAGAUAUUCCCCAAGGCAAAGCAUUAGUUACCUGCAAUCAGUGGUGAUAAGGCUCCAAGCCAAUUUUGGGCCCCAUAUCUUAAGACAGUACAAUUUCCAUUUCAACAUUUCUGAUUUCUCAGAUGUUUCACAUACCACAGAAGAACAUUGUUUGUGAAAAUAUGCAUUUAUGUUGGAUUUUGUAUGCUGUGGGGACUGGGGCAAGGAUCAUAUGGAAGAGUGGUUGACUUUUUCUGUACUUUAACGGUUGAAAUAGGAUAAGCACGGGCAUUUGUGAGGCUUAAUUGAUUUUGAAGCCUGAAAUUGCGUUUCUGUCAUUUUGUCAAAAAAAUGGCAGAUUCCAUACUCAUAUGUUUGGCCUGUGGCCAUGUACAGAUGCCAUUUAGUGACCAGUUUGUAACUGUCAAUCGUUGCGUUUUGACUCUGCCUCAACAACAUCUGCCAUUGACGGGUUUUCAUACUUGCAAAUCAAAUAGUCUUUCGUCCCAUCAGGAAUUUCGGUUUAAAUAUUAUUAAGCAUACGUUUGGCUGACAAUCAUUAUCCAGUUCAUGAUUUGGUUUCUUACCCUUAAUCAAUGGUUUCUAAGUGAAUAUAUGUAGAAGGAAAUCCGAAGUGUAGACAGUAGUAUCGAUAACUCUCAAUAUUCUCUAUAUAAUAGAAUAAACAGCGUCAUAGUGAUCGUCGCCUACAAGCAAGGUACAAAUACCAAAACGAGUGACUCACAUAGACAUCUCCCAACAAGAUGUAGUAGUGACUGACACAUGGACACAAUUAACUCGUAGAAAAGGAUAAGACCAUUGCACAGCAGCUCUUAUUUUACAUACUACUUAUGCUAACCAAAGUCAAUUAGUUGGGAUGGGUGGGAGAUGGAGGUUUGUGCGGUGGCUUGUGGGGCGGAGUUGAUGGCUUCUUUCCAGGAGCUUCUGGCUUUUUCAUCGGAGCUGAAGGAGGCUCAAUCUUAUGAGGCGGCUUGUAUGAGUCUUCUUUACUCUCGACAGGAGGGUGGCCAGGGUUGUGAUCAUAAUGUGGUGGCUUCUCUCCCUUAGGUGGCUUGCCAACUGGGGUUGGUGGCUUGUGUUCAGGAAGUGGUUUCUCUCCCAUGGGAGGUUUAGCAAUUGGGGUUGGUGGCUUGUGUUCUGGGAGUGGCUUCUCUCCCUUGGGAGGUUUAGUAGGUGACUUGUGUUCUGGAGGUGGCUUCUCCACCGGAGGCUUGUGCUCCGGUGGUGGCUUCUUGGUUGGAGGGGGCUUGGGGUAAUCAGCAAGAGAUGGGGUGGUGAGAACCACCAGUCCAAGGAACAACACUAGCAAGUAUGUGGGAGACAUUUUUGAGUUUGGGCUGAUCAGAUGAUGCAAAACUAAAGCAUUACGUGACCUUUUAUAGCAUGUAGCUCCCAAUACCCACUAAGUAUUGUGGGGUCCAUUUGUGCCCUACGGGGUUGAAAACUUAGACAAUUGGGCAAGGACCCACCUGACUAUGGAGGACUAGUGAGGUGUGAUCAUAGCUUUAGGAUUUUUCUUCCUCUGCAGCCGUCGUGCCGUUGGCAUGAUUUUCUUAAUCUUAAAUAAAGGCAUAGUUAUAGAGUUGUUUAAUCUCUAAAUGGGAUUUUAUAUAUAUCUUCAGAUAGCCAUUAAUAUAUUUGAUGAAGAAAGAAAGACAAGUGCAUACAACAUGUAUACGACUAGCUUUCAUGGAGUUCAUUUAUGAUCAGUUUUCCUGUACAUGUAAACCAGGAUCAUAUAUAUGUUUCUGUUCCACAACUAUUUUGGAAUCUUGUUUAUCAGUUUUUAUCAUUAUAAUGUCACAUAGGCUGCCAACUUGGGCGCUAAAAGAACCAGUUGGGCUAGUUCGUUUCAGAAUUUCAAUGUGGAUUCAGGAAUUGUUUUGUAAGAUAUGCGAAAUAGUAGAGGGAUGAAUAGUGUUUCAUUAAUAAAAGUGUCCUGUAAAUUAGAAGGUGUCAUAGAAACUAUAAUCAAUAAAUAACUUUUUUUCCCCACGGGUGGUGUUUCUUGUGGGGAUCAGUGACUGGUUUAGGUUCACCCAAAAUGAGUUCAGACUAAAAUUGGUUUGAGUCAAUGCCGUGUCUCUUUUUUCCAGAAAUCAACUAUUUUAUGCAUUGAAUAAAUCAUACAAAGAAAAUAUGAACGCCCGCAAAACCUAAACCCUGGUUGCUAACUUUCUAUGUUUCAGUUCUAUUCACGCAAGAAUAUUAGUUUAAGUUUGGGAAAAAUGGCAACUUACCUAGUGAUUACUUGGUUUUGGUUUGCGACUAUUUACGCAACCAACCAUGAGUUUGACUUUAACGUCAUGGGUUGAAGCCUCCUACAGGAAGGGAGAAAGCUCCACAGCUAGCUCCAAAAGAGAAUUAUCACAUUGAUAGCUCCAGAGAUUCCCAAGGGGACUGAAUCAAAGACAAGUUCCUCACUUUUUCUUCUUUUGAGGCCAAAUAUGAACCAAGGAUCACACAACCUCAUUCAACUUCAUAAGUUUGAUUUCAUGCAGUUGAACACUGGGUGAAGGCCAUGACAAGAAUUGAUUCAAAAAUUCUAUCACUCUUUUAAGUAAUGGAAGAUUAUUAUCUCUGAUUGGCAUCACAACAGCACAUGCUCCUAGAUCUUUCUAGACACUCCAUGCAAUGAAAGCACAAUGGAUCUUGUAACGAUAGAAACUAAGCCAUGCUACAGUACUAGAUGAUGAGGUAAAACUAGUAGACACGGGUGGCAGCCUAUAUGGGAGGGACACAAGUCUAAUUGAUUUGCAUUUCAGCAUUAUAGAUAGGUAUGUUUUGGAAGAUUUGUUCUGGAAAUACCGCACCAAGUAGGAUUCUUUUUCUCUUUAGUGGGUCCACUUGCAUGCCAAUUAACGAGUUGAAAAGUAUGAGCACCUACCUCGUGCUCGUGGAACCGAAGGUCAGUGAAGUGGGGCUCCUUUUGGCCUCGUGUAAACUUGAUUCAGAAGUGAAGUUAAUAGUCUUCCAUUCAGAUGGAUACAUGGGAAUUUUUCUCUUUUAUUUAUUUAUUUAUUUUUUUUUUGUGUGUGUAUGUCAAAGGAUAAUGAAUGAAGCGCGUUAGCUUGUUUUCUGACUGGAACCGCAGAUGUCCAAAUUGGAGUUCCUUCAUUUCUUACUUAGGAUUGUUACAUGUAUAAACAAGGUAUAAGAAAUAUGCCAACGUGUCUUGAGGAGUUAUUGAUUAGAAAUAACAAGUCACCCGACUGUAGAGUUCCAAGAUUUGAAUCUUCAGACCCUAUAGCAGCCUCUGGGGUACGUGGCAUCCUAUAGCAUAUUAAUGAAGGCUUUUUCGAUUUAGACUUCACAAUACCAAUUAAUAUGUAUGCACAAAAUGGAGAUGACCCCAAAAAAAACAGAAUCGCCAUAGUUUAUGAGGUUAAGGUGAUUCUCCACUUAAUAUCUACAUUAGCUAAUUAUGUAAAUCAAAUGAACUUCUAUUUUUCCUUUUUUUUUUUGGUUUAUGUCAAAUAGUAGCCCAUAAUUAACCCAACCAUUAGCCUGUUUGAAUUGAUUUCACAUGCACAAUGUUGUAGUAGUUCAUAUUUUGAAUUUUAUUUUUACAAAGGUAGUUAAGGAAAAUGAAGUAUAAUAAUUAUAAAAGCAGACUAUAUACACUACAAUAAUUGUUAGAAUGGUAUCUCAAAUUCUAAUUUAAAAUAUUAUUUUUUGUAAAAGAAAUAUUAUAUAGAAUAUUUCCUAAUUUUAUAAAUGAUUAUAAUUAGAUCUUUAUAAAAUAAGGAAAGUUGGUAAGAAUAUCUUUAUAAAUAUUUUAGGUCAUGAGAGAAAGAAAUGGGAUAAAAAUGUGAUGAAGAGGUGAAAUAAGAGAGUUGAUUAGGAUAUAGAUGUGAAGAAGAAAGGGAUUCAAUAUAUAUAUAUCUUUCAAUUACCACAUUAAAACCCUGUGAACCUUUUAUAUGGUUUACUUUAUUUUUAUAUUCCUCCUUUAAUAUAUUUACAUUAAUGCUUCCAUUGGCACAACAAUAACGAAUUACAAAUACAAGCAACAAGUCCCAUGUUUUAUUACCAAAAGCAGGUAAAAUCCACCUAAUAUAUUACAAUAUAUUCAUCCAAUAUUUUAGACCAAUUCUUCACCAUAAAUAUCAUAAUGUGGCUUUUGUUCUUUCUUAAAUUUAAAUUGAAUUGUCUUAUAUCAAUUUGUUUGUGAUUUUUUCAUUAACUUCACUUUCAUUUGGUUAUCUUUGGUUUUUGAAAAGUAUUAAGGAAUUAAUUAACAAAAUAAUGUUAAGAAAAAUAAUUUUCUCUCUUUUGAUUUUGAUUUUGUAGUAGAAAAAUAUAAUUAAAAUUAUUUAAAAAGUAUGUAAUUUUAAAUUAUUUAAUAUUUAGAUAAAAAAAAUAAGUCUAAUGAGUUUAAAAUAACAUAUAAAAAUAAUUUAUUUAUUUUAAAUUUAUUUUUUAUUUUCCAUUAUGUUCUCUUUCUCUUUUACUUUUUCAUAUUUUUUCUUACGAAGAAUCAAACACAACCUCAUAUUAUAUGUCAAGUGUUUGUCUAUAUUUGAGCAAUGUUAGAUACGGCCAUGGAUUCAUCAAACUAAACUGAUUUUAAUAGAUACUUCACAAAUUGAUUUAUACACUAAAUCAUUGGAUAGCAAUGAUGCAUUGGAAUUAAACGUAGGAUGAAGCUCGAAGAACACUGUUUGUGUAACAACAUAUUUAUGAAAUUAUGCAAAGGAUGAGCUUCGGGGUAGUAGUACAAGGUCAUUAAUGGAGAGCCGUGUUAAACCUUGAUUGUGAUUGGAUUCCGUUAUCAGCAACAGCAACCUUGUUUGUAACCUUGAAAGUCAUUCUGUCCACAUCGAAACUCCAAUUUGACGUUUGUAAUUACCAUUCCUGGAGUGUUCCUUGAUUGAAAUUUAAAUAAUAAUUGCGGCCCACAAGGAAUAUUUUCGAUUCUGUGGGAAUUUGACAAGGUUUGUUAGAGAAGACUGGUGACAUGUUGACUUCAAUGGUUCAAAUAGGAGACGUAUGUGGAUUUGGGGGGUUUAAUUGAAACUGAGUCCCUAUGGCUUUUUAAUAUUUGCAUUGAGCAGUCUCCAUGUGACUUCCUAAUUCCCACCAACCCUCCUGUCCAUGCUGUGAAACUAAAUUGUAAUUUAUCAGCCUUUGUCAAUGGUUUCUAAAUUAAAGAUAUAGACCAUGCAUGUACUUUAAUAAAAGCAAAUCUAAAGUGUAGAUAGCAGCAAUGGUGACACCCAAUAUUCUCCAUAAAAUAGAAUUAGAAUAAGCAGUGUUACAUUGUUCAUGAUCACCUACAAGCAUACAAGAACUUCCAUGAAUAACUCAUAGCAAUUGCCAACAGGGCGUCGUAGAGACUCAUACAUAGAACACUAUCCACCCAGAGGAAAGGACAAGACCAGUGCGCUGCAGCUCUUAUUUUUCACAUGUAUACCACCACUCGUAAUAACCAAAUUCACUCAGUUGGGAUAGGUGGGAGAUGGUGGUUUGUGGGGUGGCUUGUGGGGAGGAGUUGGAGGAGGCUUUAUUUUCUGAGGCGGCUUGUAUGAGUGUGCAGGAGGAUGCCCGGGAGUGUGACCAUAAUGUGGUGGCUUCUCUCCCGUAGGUGGUUUGCCAAAUGGGCUUGGUGGCUUCUCUCCCUUAGGAGGUUUACCAAUUGGGGUUGGUGGCUUGUGUUCUGGGAGUGGUUUCUCUCCCUUGGUAGGUUUGCCAAUUGGGGUUGGCGGCUUAUGUUCUGGGAGUGGCUUCUCUCCCUUGGGAGGUUUGCUAAUUGGGGUUGGCGGCUUAUGUUCUGGGGGCGGCUUCUCUCCCUUGGGAGGUUUGCCAAUUGGAGUUGGCGGCUUAUGUUCUGGGAGUGGCUUUUCUCCCUUGGGAGGCUUGCCAAUUGGGGUUGGCGGCUUAUGUUCUGGGGGUGGCUUCUCUCCUUUAGGAGGUUUGCCAAUUGGAGUCGGCGGCUUAUGUUCUGGAAGUGGCUUUUUUCCCUUGGGAGGUUUGCCAAUUGGGGUUGGCGGCUUAUGUUCUGGGGGUGGCUUCUCUCCCUUGGGAGGUUUGCCAAUUGGAGUCGGCGGCUUAUGUUCUGGGAGUGGCUUCUCUCCCUUGGGAGGUUUUGUUGGUGGCUUGUGUUCUGGAGAUGGCUUCUCCCCUGGAGGCUUGUGCUCCGGAG
rnacentral:lncRNA from 1 species